rnacentral:lncRNA from 1 species
AAUGCUUAUGAUCCUCAACUUUCCUCCUCACUGUCCCAGUGUCCCUGCAAACAAUUCUGAUUUUCCUGCCAGAGAAAAAAAACUGAGAAACAAUGGCGGCUGAACAAGAAGCUGUGAGCAAUAAGCGAGUGAUUCUGAGCAACUAUGUGACAGGUUUUCCAAAAGAAUCAGACAUGAAGAUAACAAGUGGAUCAAUAAAGCUGAAGGUAGCAGAGGGUUCAAAAGACACAGUGCUUUUGAAGAAUCUUUAUCUUUCUUGUGAUCCUUACAUGCGAUGGCGUAUGAGCAAGCUUGAUAGACCUUCUUUUGUUGAUUCAUUCCAUCCUGGUGAGGUUAGUUCAUCACGACCCAUCUCUUGAUUUUUCCAUUUGGUUUAAGUUUUGGUGAGUUUCUGAGUUCAUUUUUACGGUUUUGGAAUGUGAACACAAUUUUGGUGCUGUAACUGUCAUUAAUGAUAUGUAGUAAUUCAAUCAGAAUUUGGAUUUAUUGCUGAUAUAAGCUCUGCUCAUUUUUUAAAAUCUGGUGUCCACAUGCAUGUUUAUAAUCUUUUUGGUUGAGAUUGUAUGUAGAUUCAUACAGUAUUCUUGUCUAACAAUUACUAACCACAACCUUAUAAGACGAUCGAAACUAAGCUCAGAUCAAUAAUCCAAUCAAGAGAGGAUCCUAACUCAAGCUUGUCAUGUAUGGGAAUAUUUCGGUUAAAUUGUAAUCAUGAUCAUGAAUCAUGCAGGAAAAAGGGAAGUUGAGGUCAAUUUAUGCACUUGAUGGAAUUAAAGAACCAAUAUUUGGUUUACAUUAUUUCUUAGUAAUGGUGACUGUGCCUUCUAGCAGAAUUUUACAUGCUUUAUGUUCUAACUAAGCAUCAAUAUUUGAUCGUGAUCAUUAGCGAGGUCAAUAAUUUUUUUUGACUAUUUUUUCAACAUAAGGUCGAUUUGUUGAAGAACAAGUUUGGAUUUGAUGAUGCUUUUAACUACAAGGAAGAGCCAGACUUGGAUGCAGCACUCAAAAGGUCAGCUGCAACAAACGUUUCAACUCUAAUAUUUCAUUUUAAUAUUACAGAGCUUUGGUUGAAGUGUGUGAGUUGAUCCCAAAAACGUAACUUCAUCAGUGUCUCUGUUUUCAAAAAACAGGACAAAUAGAAAUCUGAUUUUGCUUUAAAAAUUUCCUAGAUGCUUCCCUCAAGGAAUCGACAUAUAUUUCGAAAACGUUGGGGGAAAGAUGCUGGACGCAGUGCUACUCAACAUGAGGCUCCGGGGCCGCAUUGCGGUAUGCGGUAUGAUCUCGCAGUACAACCUGGAAAAACCUGAAGGCGUACACAACUUAGAGCAACUAAUCGGGAAACGGAUUCGCCUGGAAGGAUUUCUAGCUGGUGAUUACUAUCACCUCUAUCCAAAAUUCUUGGAACUGGUCAUUCCUGCAAUCAGAGAAGGAAAGAUGGUGUAUGUGGAAGACAUAGCCGAAGGACUCGAGAAUGCUCCCGCAGCCCUUGUCGGGCUCUUCACUGGCCGGAACGUCGGCAAGCAGCUAGUUGCAGUUGCUUAAUACAAAAGCCAAUAUGGAUGAGCUGAGAAUAUGUGACUGAAUCCAUUGUCCGGUUAAAAAUGUUUGCAUGUGUUAAUAUGAACUAUCCUCGUUUAGUAAUGGGAUUGGAUUGUCCUGUCAUUACUUAAUUUUGUUGAGCUAGGGCAUCUGUGUGUAAAGUGUCAAAUAAUUUGGAUUCAGACAAGAACUUAGUGGAUGCAUUGAAGGAUUUUUUUUUUCUUUUUUUUUCUUUUCCAAGAUAUUGAGAUAAUGAUUGGAACAUUUGAGGGAUAAGAUCAAAGUAUCUUUUAGGAUACCUCAUUGGUAAGUAUUAAAAUAUCAAUUGCGUCUUUAUAAGGACAGGUGGUCCAGGAUCAAGAUUAAUGAAGAACAAAUUACAGCCAUUAGAUUAAAGUGAAAUUAAAGCUGUGAAUAGUACACACUUGUUGUGUGAAAAACUUAAAGGAGACAUUCCUCUGUACAAAAUUAACUUAAUAAUAUGUCCUUAUUCAUUCAUUUGAUUCUUCCUUCUCAAUCGUCAUUAAUAAAUUAAUAAUACAAAUAAGUCCCCGUUAAAGGUUAAGUCCCCGAUUGGCUUUACCGUCACGCUCAUGCAUGAUCAAAUUUCAGUUAAUGCUGACGUGAUCGAUGAUGAUUUCAUUGGGAGCUUCCUUUGUCGUGGCACUCUCAUGUUCACAUUUAUUUUUAGGGUUAAUAAUAAUAAUAGCUUCUAGAAACGCUUUGUUUUAAUGAGAUUUUAUUUUUCAAUUAGUGUAAAAAAAAAAUAACAAAAAUUAAUAAAAACUGAUUAUUUAAUGAUGUUCGGCCCUCGAGACAGUUUAUACUCGUAAUUUAUUGUUUGAAAAUUAUUUCAACAUAUGAAAAACAAAAUUUCCCAAAUUUACAACGAAUUUUAAAACAAAAUUUCGAAAUUUCAAAGAAAAUUACAAAUUUGACUAGAUUGACUGGAAAAAAUAAAAUAAAUAAAAUCGUCAAAAAUCCUGGGACCGACCAUUUCAAAAGUCUGGCUCUUUUCCAGGCUUUCCUUCCAAAUUUUCACACACAAAAUUUCUCGUAACUGCUACACAUUAAACGCGUUUCACAUUUUCACUCUCUCUCUAUAAAUAAAUACGCACAUAAAAUUUCUCACCAUCCAAAAACAAAAUCUACAUAAAAAAUGGCGGGUGAAGAAGCAGUGAGCAACAAGCAGGUGAUUCUGAGCAACUACGUGACAGGGUUUCCCAAGGAAUCAGACAUGAAGAUAAUAACAGGCUCAAUAAACCUGAAGGUGCCAGAGGGCUCAAAAGACACAGUGCUUUUGAAGAAUCUUUAUCUUUCCUGUGAUCCUUACAUGAGAGGACGUAUGAGUAAGCUUGAUAAGCCUUCGUUUGUUGCCUCCUUCAACCCUGGCGAGGUCAGUUUCUUCAAUUCCCACCUCUUGGUUUCAUAAUCUUUUAUGGUCUUAGAGGUGUUUUAGGGAAACAUUAUGGUUUUGGUUUGUGGGCAUGAAUCCUUGAAGAGAGUAUGAUGUGUCGGACUAUGUAUGCAAUAAUAAGUAUAGGGGAUCUUGUUAAGAGAAGAUUCUCUUAAUGAGAUUAAAACUUUUGUCUUAUCAAAACAUAUGUUUAGUUAUGAUAUCAUGUUAGCAUUGUUUCUGAGGAUUUGAUUGCUUGCUUUGGGAAAGGGAUGUUGAGGUUACAUUAUUCAGUAAUGAUUUUUUUUUUUUUUCAAAUGUUCAAAUUAUGCAGCCUUUGAGCGGAUAUGGAGUGUCCAAAGUGUUGGAUUCCACACAUCCAAAUUAUAAGAAAGAUGACUUGGUCUGGGGCUUAACCAGUUGGGAGGAGUACAGUCUCAUCCAAUCACCACAACAUCUGAUUAAAAUUCUGGAUACAAAUGUGCCUCUGUCAUACUAUACUGGGAUUCUUGGUAAGUUGUUACUAAAUUUAUCGAUGUCCAGUUUGCAUGAGCCGAAAAUCGUGUUUUAUUCAAUGCAAUGAGAUAGGGAUAUAUAAUAUGCCUGCUUGAACGUCUAGCAUUUUGAAUUUUCAACAAUUGGUCCGUCUGUAUGGGCAUGUAACUGAAGGAUUUCAUUUGAGGAAUUUACUAUUGUUGCUGAUUAUUGGGUAUUUUUCUGUUGAUUCUAGGUAUGCCUGGUUUGACUGCAUAUGGUGGUUUAUAUGAGCUUUGCUCUCCUAAGAAAGGAGAGUAUGUCUAUGUAUCUGCAGCAUCUGGAGCUGUUGGUCAGCUAGUUGGGCAAUUUGCAAAGUUGGUUGGUUGCUAUGUUGUUGGAAGUGCAGGAAGCAAAGAAAAGGUGAGUUUGCACUCUUGACCCUUAAGCUCCAAAUAAAAACAUAAUAACUUCCAAAAGAAUUGUGCAUGUCACAGUAUUUGUGUUCUAACUGAUCAUGGAUAUUUGAUCAGUAGUCUAGUAGAAACAGACCUAUUAAUACAUAGUUGAUUCGUCCUCAAGAAAAUUUAGUUGAUAUAUGCUUGAAAUUAUAUUCUGUUUUUUAUGCCAGAUUAUAUUAUUAGAUGACUAUAUUAACCAGAUUCUUUUUCUUUGUGCUGUUUCUCAUUUGAUUACGUUUUCAACAUUAGGUCAAUCUGUUGAAGAACAAGUUUGGGUUUGAUGAUGCUUUUAACUAUAAGGAAGAGCCAGACUUGGAUGCAGCUCUUAAGAGGUUAGCACGAAUGAAUGCUUUAACCACUUUUCUCACUUCAUUAUUACAAUGCGCUGAUUGAUGUUAUCUGCGUUGGUCCUGUAAAUGUAAAACAGGACAAACAGAGAUCACUGAUCUCAUUUGUUACAUUGAUAUUUUCUACCAUUGCCAUACAUAGUAUAAACUUGGAAUGAAGAUAGAUAUUCAAUUCAGAGGGAAAUUUUCACUUGCAGCUAACAGAAUCAUGUUUGUGAUGUAUGUUUAUUUAGGAAAUGAAAAGAUUCGUUGCAUUAUUUUAUUCCAAGUUUGCUGAAAUCAUAUUUGUUUUCCCAGGUGCUUUCCUGAAGGCAUCGACAUCUAUUUCGAAAAUGUUGGGGGUAAGAUGCUUGAUGCAGUCCUACUCAACAUGAGAAUUCAUGGCCGCAUCGCCGUAUGCGGAAUGAUCUCACAGUACAACCUUGAGAAGCCUGAAGGCGUACACAACUUGAUGCAAGUAGUUGGAAAACGAAUUCGCAUGGAAGGGUUUCUUGCCGGUGAUUUCUACCACCAAUAUCCGAAAUUCUUGGAACUGGUUAUGCCGGCAAUCAAAGAAGGAAAGUUAGUAUAUGUCGAGGACAUAGCUGAAGGCCUGGAGAAAGCUCCAUCAGCCCUAGUUGGGAUAUUCACUGGGCAGAAUGUUGGAAAACAACUGGUUGUAGUUGCUCCUGAAUGAUAUGAUUACAAUAUGCUUUAAAAGUGGACUGUGCCAUGCACUUUAAAAGCUUAGUGAAGAUGCCUCUGUCUUAUUUUUGAUACAUGUUAUGUUUGUUUGAUCAAGUUGUACUCAGCUAUAAAUGAAAGAUUCAGAACAUGUGUAUGGUACUGGUUUCUAAAUCAAUGAACGCUUUGAAAUGUUAGUGUUUUCACUGGAGAAUGCAGUUUAAUUCAUCAACAAUGUCCCAACAAGACCCUCAAGAGUGGUAGCUUGCAAAGUUAAUUACUAUAUUUUUUUCUUUCCGAUAUAUUGUUCAUUUCAUAGAAAGUUUACAUUAAUUAAAGUCUCAUGUUUCUUUGAAAGGUAAGCAAGUGUGAAUGUUUCUAUCUAGAGCUGGAAAAUGCAUUUCCGUGCAACUUACUUGAUGAAUGAAGUUUUCAUCUCUGACCUUGAUGUUUCCCAGAGCUGCAUUCAUUUCAGCUGAUCUAUUUCAUUUCGUUUGCAAAGGAGUGACACAAAACCUCCUUUGUUAAGGGGAGAAUUUAGAGUGGCUUCAACGGUUAACAAAUAGCCUAAUGUAAGACUUAAUCAAUUUCCUGCCCGGUUGCUUACCACUACUUAUCACUUUAACGUAUGAAACCUAAUCAAGAUUCCUUUGAUGAUUUUUCUAUUUGCUAAUUGAUUGAUAAGCUCUUCAGUGAAGAUAUAGUGUCCGCAAGCCAUAUGUUGAUAGAGUUAGAGUUUGCAGAAGCUACUGUACCAUAUGUUGUUAGAGGCGGUAAAAACGGAGGCAGAUCAACACACAUUUAAAUUUCAAUGACAAUUUACUGGAAAUAAAUUUCCUAUGACCCUACAUGUGACUAAUUGAUGAGAACUUGACAAUGACAAAAGAAAGUGUAUGAGCUUUGCAGGCUGGCUUGCCAAUAUUGACUGUAUGGCACCAUCCGCAAGUAAGUAUCAUUACUGUUUAAUCAACUUGGUGGAGUCCACUGGGACCACCCCACAUGGUCAGUCUUAUCUCUACUCCUAAAUUUUCAAUAUUCCAUACAUCAAACCAAUUGCAGUUUUGAUAUCAAAUUCAAUUUUAUUGUUGGUGACGAUUCUGAUUCCUUUCAUUCUCACAAAACGGAACCAUGGUUGCUGUUGGAGAGAUCUUACUCAACGCCUUCCUUGAGGUGUUGUUUGACAGGUUGGCUUCUCGUAAUUUGCUCCGCUUUGUGCGUCAACUCCAAGGCGGGGUUGAUUCGGAGCUCAAGAAGUGGGAGAAAAAGCUGAAGAUGAUUCAGGCUGUGCUCUGCGAUGCAGAGGAGAAACAACUGACCGAUGAGGCUGUGAAGAUGUGGCUGGACGAACUCCAAGACUUAGCUUAUGACGCUGAGGACAUUCUUGAUGAGUUUGCUACUCAAGCUUUGGAAAGCAAGUUGAUGGCGCAAAACCAGGAUAGCUCUGGCCAGGUUCUCAGUCUCAUCCCGGCUAGUUUGAAUCCGAAUGCUAUUAUGUUCAAUUAUAGCAUGGGGUCCAAGAUUAAAGAUAUGACUAGCCGGCUGGAGCAACUCUGCCAAGAAAGAAUUGAACUUGGACUGCAACGGCUUACUGGAGGGGCGUCAUCAACCGCUGCUGCUGCACACCGGAGGCCACCCAGUUCGAGUGUCCGAACAGAACGUGAAGUAUUUGGAAGAGAAGAAGAUAAGGCCAAAAUUCUUGAUAUGGUCAAUACCCCAAGUGAUCACGCCAACUUUGUUGUAAUACCUAUUGUUGGAAUGGGCGGGAUAGGAAAAACAACUCUUGCUCGGGAGGUCUACAAUGACAAGGCAGUUGAGGAUUCCAAGUUUGACGUAAAAGCAUGGGUUUGUGUCUCCGACAACUUUGAUGUUUUCAACAUUUCAAAGGCACUUCUCGAGUCAAUCACCUCCGCAGCUAGUGAUCUCAAGACUUUAAAUGAAGUGCAGGUUCAACUGAAAAAAGCAGUGGACGGAAAAAGAUUCUUGCUGGUCUUAGAUGAUGUUUGGAACGAGGACUACAGCUUGUGGGUAGACUUAAAAGCUCCGUUCCUGGGUGCUGCACCAAACAGUAAGAUGAUCGUCACCACACGCAAUUUAAACGUUGCAUCAACAAUGGGACCAAUUGAACAUUAUAAUCUCAAGAGUCUGUUAGAUGAUGAUUGCUGGUCCAUUUUCAUACAGCAUGCAUUUGAAGGUAGAGAUCUUAACGCAUAUCAAAUUUCAGAAUCAUUCAGCAAGAAAGUUGUUGGCAAGUGUGGGGGCUUGCCUCUGGCAGCAAAAACGCUCGGGGGCCUUCUGCGCACAACAAGGCAUGAUGCGUGGGACGAUAUAUUGGAUAGCAAAAUAUGGGAUUUACAUCAACAAAGCAGCAUUCUCCCUGUGUUAAGAUUGAGUUACCAUCAUCUUCCGUCUCAUUUGAAAAGAUGUUUUGCUUUUUGUGCCAUCUUUCCAAAAGAUUAUGAAUUCACUGAGAAGGGGCUAACUUUCUUGUGGAUGGCUGGAGGUAUUAUUCGACAGUCAAGAAACAGUGAGCAGCUGGAAGAUUUGGGCAGCAAGUGCUUUCAUGAUCUAGUGUCAAGGUCUAUUUUUCAACAAACCAGCUCUGGUAGUUCUAAAUUUGUAAUGCACGACCUUAUCCAUGAUUUUGCUGAAUUGGUUUCUGGAGAGACCAUUUUAAGGUUAGAGGAAUCCACCAACUUGUCGUCAAGGAGAUUUGAAAGAGUUCGCCAUUCUUCCUAUGCCCGUGGUUGGCUUGAUGGUAAAAAUAAGUUUGAGGUUUUCUAUGAAAUUGAACAUCUGCGAACAUUCUUGCCAUUCUGCAUAAGAGGUGGCCCUAAUACUAGUUACGUAACUAGUUUACUUCUAUAUGAUUUGUUGCCGAAGUUUAAAAAGUUGAGGAUGCUAUCUUUAGAAGGAUACCAGAUUGGUGAGUUACCAAUUCCAUUUGAAGAUUUGAGACCUUUAAGGUUCCUCAACCUUGCCGACACUGACAUAAGAAGUUUACCCGAGUCAACAUGCAAAUUGCUGAACUUGGAAAUUUUGAUAUUACGAAAUUGUUCCCGUUUGAUAAAGCUUCCGCCCAAAAUGAGGAAUUUGAUCAAUUUACGCCAUCUCGAUAUAAAAGGUGCAAAGCUGCUGAAGGAGAUGCCAUUGGGAAUGAAAGCGUUGAGGAGUCUUCAAACAUUGUCCAAUUUUAUUGUAGGCAAGGGUGAAUCUGCAUCUGGUUUGGAAGAUUUAAAAAGUUUAAACUUUCUUUGUGAUGAACUCUGCAUUGCUGGAUUAGAGAGUGUGAAUAGUCCACAGAAUGCAAGAGAAACCGCAUUAUGCGAGAAGCACAAUCUUGAAGCAUUGACUCUAGAAUGGGGGUCUCAAUCUAACAGUCCUCGGGAUGCAGUACUAGAGGAGAAUGUACUUGACACUCUACAGCCUCAUAAACGUAUAAAAGAGCUGGCAAUCAGGCACUAUGGUGGUGCAAGAUUUCCACUUUGGAUCGGACAUCCUUCGUUCUCCGAGAUGAAGGUCCUUAAAUUGGAGAACUGUGACAAGUGUGUAUCUCUGCCAUCGCUUGGCCUGAUGAAUUCACUUAAGCACCUUGCUGUUAAAGGGCUGAAGAAACUAAAAAGCAUAGAGUCUGCGGUCUUUCCAUCAUUGGAGAUUCUAAGUUUUGAGAAUUUGCCAGAAUGGGAGCAUUGGGACACCAAUAUCAAUGGAAAUGUGCACGUUGAAAUAUUUCCUCAUCUCCAAGAACUUUCCAUUGCAGAAUGUCCCAAACUCUCUGGAGAACUGCCUGAGCUCCUGCCCUCCUUGGAGACACUUGUCGUUAGUAAAUGUGAACAGUUGGCAGUUCCAUUGUCUUGCUAUCCGAUGCUCUGCAGAUUAGAAGUUGAUGAGUGCAAAGAACUCGUGUGCGGGACUCCAAUUAAUUUUAAGUUGGUAAAGUCUUUGACCAUUUCAAAUAGUUCAUUAGACAUGAAUGGAUGCAAUGGGAUGCUAUACCAUGGUCCAGCUGGCUCUUCACUGUCUAAACGCAUGACUAUUACAAAUGUUUUGGAGUUUGGAAAAUUAUUGAAGCCUGGAUUUCAGAUAUUAGAAUAUUUGGUAAUUGGCAAUUCUGAACAGCUCAAGUCAUGGAGGCGGGCCAGGAGACCUAGACGUUUUAAUGAACCAGAACACGGGCUAAAAAUUCUCGCUUCCCCUGAAGAGGUAACAAUUGAAGAAAGUUGCGUAAAUCUUGUUUUGUUUGCAGAGAUCAAUUUCUUUCCCAGAAAUCUGCGCUCUCUUCUAAUUUUCAAUAACAUACCUUUAAAAUCCUUACCCGAGGAAAUGAUGGACAACAAUUCACAACUGGAAAGCUUGUGCAUCAGAAAUUGCGAUUCUCUAACAUUCAUCACAAGACACAAGCUACCUUCAUCUCUAAAAAGUAUAGCAAUUAAGAAUUGUGAGAAAUUGCAACGUCCGUUCGAUGAUGAAGAGGAUGCUUCUUCUUCUUCUUCUCCUUCAUCCUCGUCUUCCCCAGUGAUGCUGCAAUGCCUGACUAUAGAGAACUGCCCAGAGCUCACCAGUUUAUCAUCGGGAAUCCAAUUCCUUGAGGCGCUUGAAGUACUCGAGCUAAGGGAUUGUCGAAAGCUGGAGUCAUUACCGGAUGGCCUGCAAAAUCUUAACUGUUUACAGAGCAUUCAUAUAGAUGGAUGUCCAAGUCUUGUUUCCUUCCCAGAAAGAGGGCUUCCCAACACCAUUUCGAGAGUUUACAUUCGUGGUUGUGAGAAGCUUGAAGCCCUGCCCAACGACAUGCACAAACUCAACUCUCUCGAAACUUUAAACAUACGGAAAUGUCCAAAUCUUGUAUCGUUUCCAGAGGAAGGUUUUCCUACCAGUCUAGUAUCACUUACAAUUGGAUAUGUCAAAAUGUAUAAGACACUCGUCCAGUGGGGGUUGCAUAGGCUUACCUCUCUUACACACCUCGAGAUUAUUGGAUGUGAUGAUGAAGCAGAGUGUUUUCCAGACGAGGAGAUAGGAAUGAUGCUGCCCACCUCUCUCACUCAUCUGCAACUUUCGGAAUUCAAAAAAUUGAUAUCUCUCUCUUCGACGGGUUUUCAGAGCCUCAACUCUCUUCAAUCUUUGUGGAUAUUGGGUUGCCCAAAUCUCACAUCAUUCCCAGAGGUGGGCCUUCCAUCCUCACUUUUGGAAUUACACAUUGUCAAGUGUCCAAAGCUUAAAGAAGUUUGCAAAAGAGACCAAGGAGAAGAGUGGCCCAAAAUUGCUCACAUCCCUUGUUUUGAGAUAGACUGGAAAUUCAUAUACGAUCCAGAAUCAGAGGAGUAGAUUCUCCUAUUAAGGUCAGUUGAUUUUUUAUUAUCCGUUAUAACAAGCUCCUCCUUUUUUAUUUUUUUAAUAAUAAUUUAGCAGUUCUAUAUAAUUAUAAAUCCUCCGCCCUUAAUUGAAAAUGUCACUCAUUUGAUUCCAUUUUCACAAGUCAGAUCGUAUGUUGAGGUUAUUUGCAUUUUAUCGGUGUUUAUUAAGGUAAUUAGUGCGUUAUAGGUUGAUUACUCACAGAUUAAGUUAUAACAUUUAUCUUAAAAUUUAAUGUCAUAGACAGAGAUGAUUUUUUAAUCCAAAGUUUUCUUGAUUCACUUCAAUUAGCAUUUUCUUUUCCCCAGAUCAGGCACGCGGAGAGUUCCAAUCAAGAAUUGGAGCAUGUGAAUGGGAUUUUUGUGAAAACAUAAUGAUGCAGGAACUGGGAUCUCAAAGUCAACAGAAUUUUAUUUACUCAUUGACUUUUCAACUCCUGUGGUUAUUUAUGGGUGAAAGAAAGAUAAGGGCAAUUUCAAGAAAUUUGCAAACUCUGUCAAUUUCUUUUAAUUGUACCAAUUUGUCGUUUAUGCUUUGGUUUUAUUUUUUCAGUUUUGUUUAUUGCUUAGAUGGUAGCAUACUUGAAAUGAUACAUAGCCUUCACCGGCAGAAUUCUAGUCUUGGCUUUCACCUCUCUAACUCAUCUCAUCUGUUCCUAUUGGGAUUCCAGAAAUUGAAAUUUCUGUCAUCAAUGGGUUUCAAAGCCUCACCGCUCUCCGAUUUUUGUGGAUCGGGAAUUGCACAAAUCUCACAUCAUUUCCAGAGGUGGGCCUUCCAUCCUUGCUUUUUGGAAUUACAAAUUGGAAAAUGCUACUUUCCCCGGGUCAAAUCCCAGGUCAAACCCCGAAUUAAACCAAAACGACACCGUUUUGGUUUCUUUUUUUUGUCCUUUUUGCUUCCAUGAAACGUGGUCGUUUCAGCCAAACAAAAGCAAAUGUCUUCGUUUUUUACUUCCUCUCCUCUUCGAUUCUCCUCUUCGUUUUACCAACAGACCAACAGAGCACAAAUUGCAGAAGUCACUUGCACAUCAAUUCAUCACAAAAUGCAGAGUUUUACUAAAGAAAAAAACGAUGCCGUUUUUCUUGCCAAAUAUUUUCCAUUUCCUUCGUUCAUGGAGCUCCUGCCACCGCCAAAGCCAAAUAUUUCCCCUUUCAUUUCCUUCGUCAAUCAAGCUCCAGCCACUUGCUUCGUCGAUCGAGCUCUAGCCACAGCCAUUCGCAAAUCGCAGUCCACAAUCCGCGCCUGAAAUUGUCAUUCACAAUCCACAACUCACAACCAUGACUUCACACAGAGAACGACUCCCACAGCCUUCACGCGACAGCGAGAUCGAGCUCUUUAACAUUCGAAGAACAUAUCUGGUUGCGAAAGUUGAUUUUUAAUUUGCUUGCGAGCUGAGAUGCUUCGAAUUCUCUGUUUUUUUUUUUUUUUUGUAAAUUACUAAGCCAAAAGCUUUGCAUAAGCUUCUGCUUCGGUUUUGAAGAUUGUGAAGCUGGAAAUGUUUUUUCCCUUUUUAUAAAUGGAUAAUUGAAAGUUUGAACUUUACCUUCGUACUUUCUUUUUCAUAAAUUGCUCAUGGUGCAGUCUCAUUUUGCUAGUUGAAGAAACAGUUAAGGGGGUCUGUAGUUGGGAAGAAAGAGGAAACGAAAAUGAAAAGAAAAAGCUUAAGUCUCGGUGCGUUCAAGUAGCAUUUUUUCAAUUAAAAAAUUUAAUUCUCAAAACGGCGUCGUUUUCUAAAGUUUCGGGGUUUGACCCGGGAUUUGACCCGGGGUAAAUAGCAGAACUCUUACAAAUUUACAGUUGUCAGAAGCUUGAAAAAGUGUGUAAAAGAGAUCAAAAUUCUUGUCUUGGCUUUCACGUAGGGAUGGCAAAAAUCCCCACGGGGACGGGUACCCUCGGGGAUUUUCCCCAUUCGGGGAGGGUAUGGGGAUAAUUUCAUACCCAAUUUCUUAUUCGGGGAGGGGACGGGGAAAUUUUGUUACCCAAUUUCUUAUUCGGGGAGGGGACGGGGAUGAGGUGGAAUCCCCAUCCCCUACCCAUUUCCCCAUUUUAAUUUUUAAUUUUAUUUUAAUUUUUUAAAAUUACUAGUAAAUAAAUAAUAAAAUUUAAAUUAUAAAAUUAUAAAUAUUGGUAAAAAUAAAAAAUAUCAAAAUAUUUAUAUUAUUAAACUUUUAGGCUUAAUUAACUAAUUAAAGUCCUAAAUUUUUAUUUAGGACAUUAAAAAGACCGAGUAGAUUCUAUUAGCCCAAAAGUUUUUUAUUUUUAAUAUUCUUUAAAUAUUUUAAACUUAAAUCUAUUUUUUAUUUAUUUUUAGAUGUUAUAAUUGCCCACAUCGAAUCACAAUUUUAAUAUCUAAUCUAAUCUAAUCUAAUCUAAUAUUUACUCUUGAUUUGCUCCGAUUUAACUAUUGUGUUGUAAAGGGAAUAGUCCACAUUUAUAAAGUGCCCACGCCACCAUUAAAAAAGUUAAUUUUGAAUCUAAAUUCGAUUUUAUUUGUAACAAUUUUGUAUUAAACUAUUAAUUUGUUCAUGAUAGUUUGUAAAAGAAGUUUGUAUCCCUUGCAUGCUGUGUUACUUACUAAUUUAAUGUAUGUGACUUUUGUAAUGGAUAUUAAUGUAAGAUAUAUUUCAAAUUUUACUUUUAUUUGAAUUUUUUAUUUUAAUAUGAUUAACUCAAAAUCGAAAAAAAAAUAUUAGUUAUUCGGGGAUCGGGGACCCUCGGGGAUCCCCUGUUAUUAUUCGGGGAGGGGAUGGAGAUUCGCUCAAGUAAUUCUGACGGGAACGGGGAGGGGACGGGGACAUACGCAAAAUAUCGGGGAUGGGUACGGAGAGAUUGGUCCCCUCCCCUCCCCUCCCCAUUGCCAUCCCUACUUUCACGGAUAGUUUUUAUCACGUAACCACGUGAGGAAGCAUGUGCUGGAGCCUGAAUUCAGUUAGUUAAAGUUUGUUAACCACGUGUCAACAAACUGUAUAAUCUGGAAAAUAAGCUAGCUAUUGAAACAGGGUAUAAAGGCUGGUUUUUCAGGGACUAUCGAGAGCUGAUUCUAGAGUCUUGUAGAAAGAGGUUUGUGAGAGAGAAAGUGUCAUCUUGUUCUCUGUAAAAUCCGAUAUAGGGCUCUGUAACGAUCUCCAUUGUUGAAUCAAUAAAACUCAUCUAGAAGCUUCUCUCGUGGACGUAUUCUGAGCAAUCAAUGCACAGCUGAACCACGUAAUAUCUUGGUUUCUGUGGGUUCUUGUUUUGGUUCUUGAUAAAUUCUUGUUGUUGUAUUGAGGUGUGAUUUGAUCUGUCUAAACUUGUAUCUGUGCAACUUGAAUUGAUUUGAUGAUAAGAAUCUUGGGCAGUGAUCAGAUUCGUUUAGUUUAAAGAACAAGCUGAUUACUACCGUACCUAUGCAUGGACCUGCAACCUGUGCUGACAAAACUGAAACUGUGAGUUUGAGGUAAAAAGGUCCUGGACCCUCACAGUUUAACUUUGACUUGUUGCUUUCUGGAUAAACAUAUUUUAGAAAUUUGCAAUUUGUUGUUAAUUAUGGUAUGUGAUUUUCUUCUUUGUUUUCGCUUUUGUAGAAUCUACCGUAUUACAUAUUGGCAGUUGUAUCUGAGGUACCUUUUUUGCAUUUAACUUGCCUUUAUCUGUUUUGCCUGUUACUUAACAACACAAACACAUCAUUUCCCAAACAUUUGGAGAAGCAUCUCAAGAUGCUUAACAAACUUGACAAACUUCAAGAUGCUCCCAAGCCUUGAUUCUUCACAAUGGAAGACCUGUGAGUACACUUAUGCCCGCAAUUAUUGUGAAGUGAUUGCAACUUUGAUGCAGCGAAAUGGUUUGCUGAUGCAAAGCUUUAAAACUGUUAAGAAUUACCCUGCAGGCUUGUUGGAUGUUGUAUACUCCAAAAGCCACCAACACCAAGAACUAUAACAGCAAGACUAGGUUUGCAUUAAUUCAAUUAGCUGAAAUAAUGAUGCAAAUGGCACUAUCCAGCUCGACUUAGAGACUAGUCAGGUCAAUCAUCCAUUUCAUCAACAGUUAAUGUCAGGAUGGUGGCUAGCAGAGGAAACAAAGGAUAUGUUGGAAUCAAUAAGAACAGUGAGAAGCAUGAGAGGAGCUUUGAUUAUAAGUAGGCUCAAUGAACUAGUGUUGGUAAGUGGUAAUUAGAGCAAUUUGUGAGCUUAGUAGAGUUUCAAUAUUUUCUGUUUGGGAUAUAGUUGAUAAGUUGAUACUCUGAUUAAGAAGGCUGAUUAUAGUAGCUGACUAUAUUAACCGGGUUCUCUUUUUUGGUUUGCUGUUGUUUUUUCUUUCAAUAUCUUUUUCAACAUUAGGUUUAGCUGUUGAAGAACAAGCUUGGGUUUGAUUAUCAGGUAAGAACAAAUGAAUGCUUUAACCAUGUUUCUCACUUAUCACAAUGCACGGAUUGAAGGCGUCUGAGUUGAUCCUGAAAAUUUGAUGGAAACACUUCUCUGUUUUCAUAAAACAGGACAACCAGAAAUAUCUGAUCAUGCCUGAGAAUUCGUCGCAUUGAAAUUUUCUACCAUUGCCAAACAUAGAAUAAACCAGGGAUACAUUAGCUUAAGACUCAAUUUUGAGAAGGAAGUUUGUACUUGCAGACUAUAAAAUCAUGUCUACCUUGUAUGUUUCUGUGGGGAAUGAAAGAUUCUGUGUGUUCUUUUACUUCGGGUUUGCUGAAAUCACAUUUGUUUUCUCAGAUGCUUUCCGGAAGGUAACAACGUCAAUUUCAAAAAUGUUGGGGUAAGAUGCAUCAUGCAGUGCUGCUCAACAUGAGAAUUCCUGGCCGCAUUACCCGUAUGUGGAAUGAUCUCACACUACAACCUUGAGAAGGUUGUAAGGAGUACACAACUAGAUGCGAGUAGUUUCAAAAUGAAUUCACAUGGAAUUAUAUGUUGCCGCUUAUUACUAUCACGUCUAUCCGAAAAUUCUUGGAAUUUGUCACCGGCAUUGAAGGAUUGUAUACGUGAAGACAUAGCUGAUGGCCUUGCGAAAGCUCCAUCAGCACUUAUAUCGGAAACAGCUGGUUGUAGUUGCUCCUGAGUGAUAUGAUUAAUAGAUACUGUAAAAAUGAACUGUGCCACUCAUAUCGAAAACCAGCUGUUAUGAUGUGUUGGUAAUGUGUUUGAUGCUUGUUUGAUUUAUGUUGUAUUCGGCUAUAAAUCAAAGAUCAGAACAUGGGUGUGUUACUGGUUUCCAAAUCAAAAAAUGCCUUGUGAUGUUAGUGUUCACUGUUUUCACAGGAGACCAGGUUCCUUGUUAAUGAGUCAAGAAGAAGACAAGUGAAUCCAUGUCUGAGUUCAAAUGUGUCUUUUCUAUUUCUUUUACCGACACAUUUAUUUUGAUUUCUUUGACUAGAUGACUAAAGAGUAAAGAUAGAAGAAAUCAAAACAAAUGAGUCAGGUCCCACCUGGCCCAUUGGCCCAUCUCUCUUCCAGCCCAAAUCACUCUCAUUCGCUAUUUUGCCACCUUCAUUUCACUGCCCUCAUAGCUCCCCGUUCUCACGGUGGCUGCCAUCUUUCUGCUCACGCAUCUUUCAAAUUUCAAACCUAACAGCAUUCUGUUGCUCUGUCGUGGGUACUUCAACUUCUGUCACCUUCGGUAAGCUUAUCUCUGCCCCUCUGUGGCUGUCUCUCUCUUUACAAUGUUGUUUCUUAUUCAAUUUACAGAAUUGAAUUCACUGUUCAGUUUAUGGGUUAGAUUUUUAUUCAAAAUAAUAUUAAACCCACCUCAGAUUUUAUCCCGUAGUAUGUAAAGUUCAUGUAAAGUUUCCACCUUUACGACCGUCCGAUGUUUAAAGUUCUAAUUUUGUUCCGGGGUUUUAUCAGUGUAUUUAGAAAUUAUGUCCAUUGUUUUUAUGAAAAUGGAACUAUUUUCAUUUGUUUAUUUCUCUAUGGAUGAGAAAACCGGUCUUUAAGCUUUAUAAUCUUUAUUUGAUUAUUAGAUUUCUCUUUUGUUAUUCAGAUGAGUUCAGUUUUCCAAUUCUGUGCAAUUGUUUUGUUGCAUUUUUCAAUUUUAUCUUUUUCCAAUGCGACGUUUAUGUUUGUAUUUUCUUAAAAGUGGACAUGAAUUUUGAUUUGUUGUUGCUUUGUUGUGAUUGAGUAGCCAAUUUUAAGUCCAUAUUAAACUUUCUCAAUUAUUAGUUGAAUUAUUUGGAUUUGAAAUUUUAAGUUCUUAAAACCGCCAUUUUAACUUGUUUGUUAAUGGCUCUGUUGAGCUUCAACAUUUGUUUUCAAGAACAAAAUUGAUGGAACUAUAAACCUUCGUUUCUCACAUGCGGGCAACAUGUUAUGUUAGACAGAGUGAAAUCGACAGAAGAAACCAAAACAUUGGAAACAGAGACACAGAGAGAGAUCAGCAGAAAUGGCUUGGUGCAGAGUACGCUCAGCUUCAUCGACACUCUUCAUUAGGCUUCUCUGCCCUUUCAUUCUCAACAAUAACACUACUUAACGCUAUCAGUCCUGUGGUACUCUUGUUUCUAUACUUGUGGAAUCUCUUUUUUAAUCCUCAAAGUUUGAAUUAAAUUAUAUUGCCUCUGUAUUUCUGCAGAAACGGAAUCAGUUGGUGAUGACAUUAAUUCUCAAGUUGGAAGUUGCAUGCCACUUUCUUGUAUGCAUGUUGGGACCAUCAUCAACAACAUUGAGGUAAACUCAGCCAAGAUUUUGAAAAAGAAUCCACUUCAAGGUACUGCUUAGUUUCUGGAAAUGAGAAAUUGAUUGACACUAGACGUCAACCCACCAUUGAUACAGCGUCUAACCCCAGCCAUGAAGCUAAGAUGCUUAGGAAGGCUGGUCAGAGCCAUUGGUUGGGCCAAAGACCUGUGAUUAGAGGAGUACCCAUGAAUCCAGUUGAUCAUCCUCGUGGUCGAGGUGAGGGACAAGGCAAAAGUAGUGGUAAGCAUGGAAGGUGUUCACUUACACCUUGGGGCAAGCCUUGUAAGUGGUGUAAAACUGCAUCUCGUAAGAAGAAAAGGAAAUUUAGCCGUCUGAUAAUAUUGUCCUUCUGUGCUAUUUAGCCUUUUUAAUAUUGUUACAUUGUUUGUUAUAUCUUUGAUGUUAGUUUUGGACCAGCUUUUAACUGAUCCAUAAUGAAACUGAAGUUUAAUUUUCGAUUGAACUUUUACUGGUUUUACUCCUGUCAUUUCAAUUUAGCUUUGAUUUAAGAUGCUGAAUUCUGUGAUUGGAGUAUGUAGAUUGGAAAGAGAGAUAUUAUGGGAUAGAAUAUAGAUUUUGUGUUUUGGUUUCUCAUGUUUAGAGAUAUUCUGUUCUUUUUCAUUUAUUCAAUUUGGUUAGUGGUGAUCUCUUAAAGAGUUAAUGCAUGUGUGUUUAUGUACUUUUCUUUUGGCCUUGAUUCUAUUUCUUGGGGAGUUUAUACAGAUUCCUCUUUUAUGCUUCACAUGCCACAUGCCACAUGAAAGAUGAAAGCCUUUUGUGUGAUUAGAAUUGACUUGCAUCAUAGUAACUUUGAACCACUGUAACAUUUUUAUAAUAGCAGUCUGCGAUCUCCUUGAAGGAUUCAAAGCAUUUUUUUUGUUAGUCUUGGCUUGCAUUAAAAUCCUUUAUACCGAUUGGUUGGUCUCCUUUAAAGCAAUUCCUGUUUUAAGUAAUCAAAAUCUUGAUUCGGAAGUGUGUUUUAGCACUACUAAAGGUUCUUUUAAAUACUAAAUUGAUUGUGAGUCUUCUAUAUCAUCUGAUUGAAAUACAUGAAAGCGAUAUUGGCUACAAAAGUACACUUGGGGUUGUUUAUAAAGUCUUCAACAGGAUUUUUUUUUCCCCUUCCUCAUGGUUUAUUUUUUAGUUGUUGUUUAACAAAACACUUAAAAGGUUCUCUUUAUAGGUUUCUGAAAAUAAUUUUAACAUAACCAUUUUUCAGAAGCACUUUAGAUACCUGUGGCAUUUAGAAAAUUUUGUUCCAGCAUUCACAUAAUAUACAUAGAAAUUUGAAUUUAUUUAAUUAUGAGCAUGUGCUAGUGCCUAUUGGCAUCCACUUGUAUAUACAAAUGUAUUAUACAAUACAAUAUUAGCUUGACUGUAGCAUAGAGGAGAAUAGGGUCGGAAUUGGUCUGAAUUCUGAUCUUUGAAUAAAUAUAAUAGCUGAUUGAAGCUGCUCAUGUGACUCCAUUGUCAGCAGCUUACACAAGGUCUUUUAGCUUUUUAAAAAGUUUUGUGAUAUUUCAUAGUUCACAUGGAUUGCUACAGUAUAGAAUACCCAAUUAGGGCAUUUUUAAUUCCUAUGCAUAGGAGUCUUCCUUCAUGCGCACGCGCGUACACACAUAUAUUUCCCACUUCCGUUCACUCCAAAAGUGAAAAUUGCGGGCAAUUUUUAUCUUCAGUAAAAUUGGAGUAGAUGUUGUUCUUAUUGGCGCAAAUUUGCGUACCAUGUUUGUGGGACCCUUAACCUUGCGCCUUUGUUACAAUCAUAUGCAUUCAGGCUUUUGGUAGACCCUUGGAUAGUAUGAUCAGUGUAUUAGAAUUUAGAAUUCGUGUUUAUAAGGGUCAGUUUGGUAAUGUUAUAAUUUUUAAAAUAAUUACUGUUAGCUAUACUAUAGAAAUAAUCAGUUGUGAAUAAAAUCAGUUAAACAGUUGAUAAAUUUUGUUUUUAAGGUGUUGUGAGUUUUAAACAAUUUGUAUGUAUUUAGUAAAUCUCGCUUUUAAAGUAUUAUAAGAAUGCAAAGACUUAAAUAGAUAGAAAUCUAUAAAAUUUAUUUACAUGUGCAUUUAUACAAUAAUAUUUUAUGCAUGUAUAUAAUAAUUAAUAACAGAAAUAAAUAUUUUUAUUUUAUUAAUUAUAUAUUUUUCUUAUUAUCUCAAUAUAAUUGGUAAUAAUAAUCUUUUUAAUAGUACAUUUAUUAAUCAGUAAUCGAAAUGGGCUGGAAUCGGAAUGGGGAAUGAAAAUCAUAAUAAUUUGUUUACUUUAGCUGUAGGAAUCAAAAUCACAUGGAGCUAUAUUAUCAUUAAUAUAUUUAUUUUGUCUUGGAAUCGAAAUAGAUUGUUACAAAUUACUAAACUGAUUUUAUUAUUAUCAAUAUUAUUAUUAAACAAGGUAAAGGGAAUUUUUAAUUUUCACUAGGUGUAGAAAUGUCGAUUCACUUCUCAUUCUCAUUCUCUGUUCUCAUUCCCCCUCCUCAUAGGAUUACCAUUUCACAUUCUCAAAAAUUUAUAAUUGACUCACAUUUCAUUCUCAUUCCUCCUUAUUUUGGAAGUAAAUAAGUUAAAGAAUCAUAUUCCUUUAUUCUUGUUUUUCAUUCACAUUCCUUCUCCUUAUUUUGGAAGUAAAUAACUUAAAGAAUCAUAUUCCCUUAUUCUUGUUCUCGUUCUCGUUCUCAUUCUCAAUUAGUAAGCACACUACAAAUGCAAUGAUUUUGUUUCCUAAUUAAACAAGGAUAAUUUUUAGAUUUUUAUAAUAUAUGUUAAGAUAUAUGUAGAAUUGUAUUAAAUAUGAAACUGACUCCCAAAAUCAUAUUUUAAAAAACUAUUUUUUUCUUAUUUUUUGAAAUUUAUUGUAGGCUAGGGUGAUUUUAUCAAAGUAAUUUUUUUAAAAAUUUUCGGACCCAUUUGGGAUUGUUUUUGGAAGACUCAAAAAGGAUUUUGAAUAGCUAAAAUCUAAGUUUGGUGUUUUAUAAUUUUUUUUUAAAAAAAUUACUUCUGAUAAAAUUAUCUUAUCCACGUUAAAUUUUAAAAAGAAAGGAAAAAGUAAUUUUUUAAAAUCUGAUUUUAAGAAUCAUUUUUAUACUUAAUACAAUUUCAUAAAUAUCCUGAUAUAUAUCAUAAAAAUUCAAAAUUAUCUUUAUUAGUUAGGAAAUAAAAUCAAUAAUUUUAAAAAGAUUAUUAUUAUUUCUAAUUAUAUUGAGCUAACAAAAAGAAAUAAAAUUACUAAUAUAAAAUUUAUUUUAACUAUUAAUUAUUAUAUUUACCAAUAAAAAACAUUUUAUAUACACGUUUAUAAAUAUUUAAAUAAAAUUUAUUCAUGUCGAGUUCAACCAUUUAUAUUAUUACAGCAAUUUAACAACUGGUUGUCGUUGCUCGGGAAUUAUAGAAUUACCAUAUGUUGUAAAAAUGCACUAAGCCAUGCCAUGUGUUUGAUACAGGUUAUGCUUGUUCGAUUAAAUUGUACUCACCUAUAAAUCAAAGAUUCAGUACAUGUGCAUGUUAGUGGUCUUCAGAAUCCAGAAUAAUAAAUGCCUUGAAAUGCUUGAGUUCAAUGAUUUCGCAGAAGACCAAGUUCCUUGUUAAUGAGUCAGCAUGACUGAAUCCUUCACUAAGCCAAAUUUGUUUUCACUUUUAGUUUAGAAAUUGUCAUUAAUUAAGAAAGUGUUUGAUAAAAUGCUUUGGAAGGCACUGUUCGUUGGACGUUUGCCCAGAAUUUAUGAAAUCAUUGGUGUUUCAUCCUACUUGUAACACUCUUCUUUAUUUUCUAUUCUAACGAAGAAAUCUUUUAUUAGAAAAGUGACAAGAUUGCACCUUUCAUUUGUAUGUUAAGGAGGUGUAAAAUUUUCUCGUUAAAAUCCCAUCAUGAAAAAAACUCACGGGCAAAAACCUACUGCAAAUUAAAGAAAGAAGAGUAAAUCAUGAUAAAUACACUCUCUUUUACAAUGCAAGCGGAUGCUUCAAUGAGUGGAUCAUGCGCCAAACUUGUAUAUCGUUGUUGGUAGUGCUUUGUUGAAUCAAUAUGAUAGAUUUUCACUUUUCUUUUUUUUCUUUUCUUUUUUUUUUCCUUGUGGAUACGAAAAUGAUUUGGGUUAAACUAUACUUAAUGCCGGUUUGGUACGACUUCUCUACUAAUUAAAAGAGUUUUUUUUCUUAAAUGUUCAAAAAGAUUUUUUAUUAUAAAUUGUAAUUUGAGUGGAUUUCUUGGGAUUAAACAAGUUACAUUUUUGUCUCUAUAAAGAAGUUCAAGUUAUAGAUUUUGGCAAUAGAGAUGUAGAGGUUUUUUUUUUUUCAGAGAACUAAAUUGUGGAGACUAUCUUUAUUUGGUUAUACAACUUUUUUUUUUUUAAUUUCAUAACAUAAUUUUAAAAGACUUAUUUAAUAAAUUUGAUAUUUUUUUGUAAAAAUUAUCAUUCACGUCCAAACUACUGAAGAUUUUUUUGUUAAACGCACUACUUAAAAGUUAUAUUAAUUAUAAACUUUCUAAAAAAAAAAAACAAUUCAAAGAGUUAUAGCAAACAAAGUGCUAGUUAACUUCAGUCGAUAAUAAUCUUCUAAUCCGUCCUACAAAUGACUUUCGACAAGAGUGGUGCUACUCACAUCUCUUCAAAACCCAUUUGACACCCCGUUUUCUUUAUUUAAAAUUUUAUACAUUUGAAAAUUAUUUUUUCUUUUACUUGACACUCUUCAAAUUCUAAAACUAAGCUUCAAAGAACCUUCGUCAUUAAAUCUCAUUGCCUUCCUUUAUUCUUGUUACUUGAGAAGAAGAAUGAGAGUCUGGAAGAAUGAAAGAAAAUUCAGCGAGAUAGAAAUCUAGUAAUUUCAUACCAUGAUUCAGAAUUUUUUUUUUCUCAAAAGAAUCUACUAUUCUUCUAUAUUUUAUAUAAAAAAAAGAGGAAAAGAGGAAACUGAGAGACUCUUUGUUUAAUGCUUGAAAGUUAGAAAGAAAAGGUCAGGAAGCUGCCUGGUAAUGAGAGUGAUGCAUCAGCACUAAUUUCUAUCUCGAUAGCUACCAAUUACCACCCCUAGAAAGGCUGUUGAUCAACAAGCCAUAUCUACUGGUUUCCUUUCUUUAAAAGUUCUAAUGGUCCCCUUAAAAAUCUCUAUAUGCUCAGUCUUCUCAUGAUAUAUCUGAUUUUCGCUGAGAAUUAUAGCAAGCGCUUCAGAUAUCAUAAUACUUUGUGACUGACUACUGUGCAUGCUUAAUUAUAAGAUUAUUCCUUGUGGCCAAAUAAAAUGACCCCCUUUAGAGCCUCUGUAUUUGAAAAAGCAAGACAAUGAGCUUAAUUAUUGUCAAGGUCUCCAGUAGGAUACUCCUAAAUCCAUAUACCCACCCACCAGAACUCCAAUCUUGAAACUUAUAGAUCAAACCAUAACUUAAUGUGCCUGGCAACCAGGGAUAUGUCAGGCCUUUAAAAAACCACUACAUACAUUUGAGUCUGAAAUUGCUCCAAUUAGUAUUAUGAUUAUUAUUUUAAAAAACUCAACCUAAGCAAAGUGCCUCAGCAUACAAUAUUUAUUGACAACUAAAAAGUAAUAGUGGGUGGGGGUUGCCCUGGGUUUUGUUUAAAAAUUGAAGUAAAAAAUUUUCAAAUUUCAAAUUUCUAGUACAAAGAAAAUUGAUGACUAAAUUAAAUUCUGCAAAUUAAUUUCUAAUAUUACAUGAAAAUAUAUCAAGUUAAUUGGUAACAUUGUUAAUCACUUAAUCCUCAAUCUAAUACGUUAUGUAUUUGUUACUCUGUCUUAAAUCAAAAGUGGCGGUGAUUUAUUUUUAUUUUCACUAAUAAGAAAGGCAUGUUAGAGCUUUUAUUUUGUUGAAAAUGAACCAAAAAACUCCGAUUGGGAGAUUAUAAAUGUAUUUAACAAUAAUUUAACUUCCAUUUUGAAAGUCAUUAUAUUGUUUAUUCAGGAGAAGCGUUCUUUUAUAUUUUAUAGAUAUAAUGUUUGCUAAUCCUAAUUUAAGCUAAAGCAUAUGCAUUUCCUAAUUAAUUCUAAUUUAAGCUUAUUCAACUGCAUUCAAUUAAUGUUCGAUAAUACAAAUUCUAAAUACUAUAUACUCUAAGAAUUUUAAUCGUAAUGACAAGGUGAUCAUUUAAUUAUUACCGUUAAAUUAUAUAUGUAUGGUGGAGACGAGUCCACACGGUUUUGACGAGAAAUUAAAGACAAUAUUUAGUUAAGCUAGUAGUAUUUGUUCUGUUUAGUACGUCGUUUUACCAGCAAGCAUCCCGGCAAUGCACGCAUUAAUAAAAAAAUUUAUCUGUUUGGACUGAUUGGUAGUGAAAAAUUCCACAUACUUUAAAUUAAGAAAAUGCUAAGUAUCUUAAAGAAAACAAUUAAAAUAUUGUCACUUGAUGCUUGAAUCAUUAUUGUUAAAUAUCUCCGUUGAGUUGUAUUCCCCAGCUGUGAGUAUCAUUAUUGUCUUUGCUAUCUAAUCAAUUCAAUUUUCUUUCUGGAGACAAGAUUUUGAUUCCUUUCAUCGUUACAAAAACGGAACCAUGGUUGAUGUGGGAGAGAUCUUACUCAACGCCUUCUUUCAGGUGUUGUUCGACAGGUUGGCUUCCCGUGAUUUGCUCAGCUUUGUCCGUCAACUUGGAGGGGGGGUCGAUUCCGAGCUCAAGAAGUGGGAAAGAAAGCUGAAGAUGAUUCAGGCGGUGCUCAACGAUGCAGAGGAGAAGCAACUGACUGAUGAGGCUGUGAAGAUGUGGCUGGACGAUCUCCAAGACUUGGCUUAUGACGCUGAGGACAUUCUUGAUGAGUUUGCUACUCAAGCUUUGGAAAGCAAGUUGAUGGAGCAAAAUCAGGAUAGCUCUGGCCAGGUUCUCAGUUUCAUCCCGGCUAGUUUGAAUCCGAAUGCUAUUAUGUUCAAUUAUAGCAUGGGGUCCAAGAUUAAAGAUAUUACUAGCCGGCUGGAGCAACUCUGCCAAGAAAGAAUUGAACUUGGACUGCAGCGGAUUACUGGAGGGGCAUCAUCAACUGCUGCUGCUACACAGCAGAGGCCGCCCAGUUCGAGUGUCCCAACAGAACGUGAAGUAUUUGGAAGAGCAAAAGAUAAGGCCAAAAUUCUUGAUAUGGUAUUGGCCGAUACCCCAAGUGAUCAUGCCGACUUUGUUGUAAUACCCAUUGUUGGCAUGGGCGGGAUAGGAAAAACAACUCUCGCUCGGGAGGUUUACAAUGACAAGGCCGUUGGCGGUUCCAAGUUUGAUGUAAAAGCAUGGGUUUGCGUAUCUGACGUCUUUGAUGUUUUGGGCAUCUCAAAGGCACUUCUCGAGUCAAUCACCCGCAGGCCAUGUCUUCUAAACAGUUUAAAUGAAGUGCAGGUUGAAUUGAAAGUAGCUGUGGAUAAAAAAAGAUUCUUGCUGGUCUUAGAUGAUGUUUGGAACGAGGAGUACAGCUUGUGGGUAGACUUAAAAGCUCCGUUCCUGGUUGCUGCACCAAACAGUAAGAUGAUCGUCACCACACGCAAUUCAAAUGUUGCAUCAACAAUGGGGCCAGUUGAACAUUACAAUCUCAGGAGUCUAUCGGAUGAUGAUUGCUGGUCCAUUUUCAUAAAGCAUGCAUUUGAAUCUAGAGAUCUUAACGCACAUCAAAUUUCAGAAUCAUUCCGCAAGAAAGUUGUUGCCAAGUGUGGAGGCUUGGCCCUGGCAGCAAAAACACUCGGAGGCCUUCUGCGUACGACGAGGCAUGAUGCGUGGGAUGAUAUAUUAGAGAGCAAAAUAUGGGAUUUACCACGACAAAGUGGGGUUCUCCCAGUAUUAAGAUUGAGUUACCAUCAUCUUCCUUCUCAUUUGAAAAUGUGUUUUGCUUUCUGUGCAAUCUUUCCAAAAGAUUAUGAAUUCAAAGAGAAGGAGCUGACUUUUUUAUGGAUGGCCGGAGGAAUUAUUCGACAGUCAAGAAGCAAAGAGCGGCUAGAAGAUUUGGGCAGCAAGUGCUUCCAUGAUCUGGUGUCAAGGUCAAUUUUUCAGAAAUCAGCAAUCUCUGCUAGUUCUAAAUUUGUAAUCCAUGACCUUAUCCAUGAUCUUGCUGAAUUGGUCUCUGGAGAAACCAUAUUUAGGUUAGAGGAGGCCAAUACUCUGUCAAGAAGAUUUGAAAGGGUUCGCCAUUCCUCCUAUGCUUGUGGUGGAUAUGAUGGUAAAAAUAUGUUCGAUGUUUUCAAUGAAAUUGAACAUCUACGAACAUUCUUGCCAUUACGCUUACGCAUAAGAGGUGGCUUUAGUUCUGGUUACAUAAGUCGAACGGUCCUAUCUGACUUGCUGCCAAAGUUCAAAAGGUUGAGAAUGCUAUCUUUAGAAGGAUACUGUAUUGGCGAGUUACCAAUUCCAUUUGAAGAUUUGAGACUUUUAAGGUUUCUCAACCUUGCUGACACUGACAUAAGAAGUUUACCCGAGUCAACAUGCAAAUUGCUGAACUUGGAAAUUUUUAUAUUAAGAAAUUGUUCCCGUUUGAUAAAGCUUCCAGCCAAAAUGAGGAAUUUGAUCAAUUUACGCCAUCUGGAUAUAAGAGGUGCGAAGUUGCUGAAGGAGAUGCCAGUCGGAAUGAAAGAGCUGAAGAAGCUUCAAACAUUGUACAAUUUCAUUGUGGGCAAGGGUGAAACUGCAUCCGGUUUGGAAGAAUUAAAAAGUUUAAACUUUCUUUGUGAUGAACUUUGCAUUGCUGGAUUAGAGAAUGUGAAUAAUCCACAGAAUGCAAGAGAAGCGGCAUUAUGCGAGAAGCACAAUCUUGAAGCACUGACUCUAGAUUGGGGGUCUCAAUUUGACAAUUCUCGAGAUGGAGUAGUAGAAGAGCAUGUACUGGAAAUUCUACAGCCUCAUAAACGUAUAAAAAAGGUGGCAAUCAGGAACUAUAGAGGUGCAAGAUUUCCACAUUGGAUAGGAGAUCCUUUGUUCUCCAAAAUAGAGUUCCUUGAAUUGGAGAACUGUGACAAUUGUGUAUCUUUGCCAUCGCUUGGCCGUUUGAGUUCACUUAAACACCUUGCUGUUAAAGGGCUGAAGAAACUAAAAAGCAUAGAGUCUAAGGUUUAUGGGGAGGGUUUCUCAAUGCCUUUUCCAUCAUUGGAGAUUCUAAGUUUCGAGAAUUUGCCAGAAUGGGAGCAUUGGGACACCGAUAUCAAAGGAAAUGUACUUGUUGAAAUAUUUCCUCGUCUCCAUAAACUUUCCAUUGUGGAAUGUCCCAAACUCUCCGGAGAACUGCCUGAUCUCCUGCCCUCCUUGGAGACACUUGUUGUUAGUAAAUGUGAAAAGUUGGUAGUUCCAUUGUCUUGCUAUCCGAUGCUCUGCAGAUUAGAAGUUGAUGAGUGCAAGGAACUAGCGUGCGCGACUCCAAUUGAUUUUAAGUUGAUAAAGUCUGUGACUAUUUCAAAUUGUUCACUAGACAUGUAUGGAUGCAAGGGGAUGCUAUACAAUGGUCCAGCUGGCUCUUCACUGCCGAAAUCCAUGACUAUUACAAAUGUUUUGGCGUUUGGAAAAUUAUUGAAGCCUGAAUUUCAGAUAUUAGAAACUUUGGUAAUUGACAAUUCUGAACAGCUCAUGUCAUGGAGGCAGCGUGGGAAUUUCCGAGAAGAAUAUUUGGCCGUUCGCCGAAGGCUUAUCAAACCAUUACAAGGGCUAAAUAUGCUCGCUUCCCCAGAAGAGGUAACAAUUGAAGAAAGUUGUGUGAGUUUUGUUUUAUUUUCAGAGAUCAAUUUCUUUCCCAGAAAUCUGCGCUCUCUUCUAAUUUGCAGCAGCACAGCUUUAAAAUCCUUACCCGAUGAAAUGAUGGACAACAGUUCACAACUCAAAAGGUUGUAUAUCAGAGAUUGCGAUUCUCUAACAUUCAUCACAAGACGCAAGCUACCUUCAUCUCUAAAAAGUAUAGAGAUUCAGAAUUGUGAGAAACUGCGACAUUUGUUCGAUGAUAAAGAGGAUGCUUCUUCUUCUUCUCCUCCUUCAUCCUCGCCCUCCCCAGUGAUGCUGAAACACCUGAGUAUAAAUAAUUGCCCAGAGCUCACCAGUUUAUCAACAGGAAUCCAAUUACUUGAGGCGCUUGAACACCUCGACAUACGGGAUUGUCGAAAGCUGGAGUCAUUACCAGAUGGCCUUCACAAUCUUAACUGUUUACAGGAGAUUACUCUAAACAGUUGUCCAAGUCUUCUUAGAGGGCUUCCCAACACGAUUUCAAGGGUUGACAUUUACAGCUGUCCAAGUCUUGUUUCCUUCCCAGAAAGAGGACUUCCCAACACGAUUUCAAAGGUUGACAUUUUUAAUUGUGAGAAGCUCGAAGCCCUGCCCAAUGACAUGCACAAACUCAACUCUCUUCGAGAUUUAAGCAUAUUGGGGUGUCGAAAUCUUGUAUCCUUUCCAGAAGAAGGUUUUCCUACCAGUCUAACAUCACUUAGAAUUGGAGAUUUCAAAAUGUAUAAGACACUCAUCCAGUGGGGGUUGCACAGGCUUACCUCUCUUAGACGCCUCUAUAUCGUUGAUUGUGAUGACGAAGCAGAGUGUUUUCCAGACGAGGAGAUAGGAACGAUGCUGCCUACCUCCCUAACUCAUCUAUCCUUUCGGGGAUUCCGAAAUUUGAUAUCUCUGUCUUCGACGGGUUUUCAGAGCCUCAACUCUCUUCAAUACUUGUGGAUCAGGGAUUGCCCGAAUCUCACAUCAUUCCCAGAGGUGGGCCUUCCAUCCUCACUUUUGGCAUUAUGCAUUAUCGAUUGUCCAAAGCUUAAAAAAGCGUGCAAAAGAGAUCAAGGAAAAGAGUGGUCCAAAAUUGCUCACAUCCCUCGCAUUGACAUAGACAGGAAAUUCAUAUACGAUCCAGAAUCAGAGGAGUAGAUUCUACUAUUAAGGUCAGUUGAUUUGUAUUAUCCGCCAUAACAAGCUCCUCCUUUUUUUUUAAAUAAUAAUAAUAAUUCUUACCAAUUAAUGAUGGUAAGAUGUGUACUUAUUCUUUCUUCCGGACAACCUUGCCUUCUUUCUUCGGUAGCAUAUCUAAUGAAUAUUUCUCUGUUUAGUUAAGGAUGAAUGCUUGGAGUGGAGUAUUUGGUAACAUUUCUGCCGUAGAUGAAACCUUGAAGAAAUGCCUGCACUUCCUGAGACCAAAUACAGGUCUGAUUCACAACAACACCUGUCCCAGAAAAUAUGAUACAAGCCAAAGCCAUGUUCUGAAGCAGAAAUAACGCAUUUCAAUUUUUAUCUGGUAAAAAUACACAGCCCUCGCCUACAAAAUUCUUAUCUUGGCUUUCACGGAUAUUUUUAUCACGUAACCACGUGAGGAAGCAUGUGCUGGAGCCUGAAUUCAGUUAGUUAAAGUUUGUUAACCACGUGUCAACAAACUGUAUAAUCUGGAAAAUACGCUAGCUAUUGAAACAGGGUAUAAAGGCUGGUUUUUCAGGGACUAUCGAGAGCUGAUUCUAGAGUCUUGUAGAAAGAGGUUUGUGAGAGAGAAAGUGUCAUCUUGUUCUCUGUAAAAUCCGAUAUAGGGCUCUGUAACGAUCUCCAUUGUUGAAUCAAUAAAACUCAUCUAGAAGCUUCUCCCGUGGACGUAUUCUGAGCAUUCAAUGCACAGCUGAACCACGUAAUAUCUUGGUUUCAGUGGGUUCUUGUUUUGGUUCUUGAUAAAUUCUUGUUGUUGUAUUGAGGUGUGAUUUGAUGUGUCUAAACUUGCAUCUGUGCAACUUGAAUUGAUUUGAUGAUAAUAAUCUUGGGCAGUGAUCAGAUUCGUUUAGUUUAAAGAACAAGCUGAUUACUACCGUACCUAUGCAUGGACCUGUAACCUGUGCUGACAAAACUGAAACUAUGAGUUUGAGGUAAAAAGGUCCUGGACCCUCACAGUUUAACUUGGACUUGUAGCUUUCUGGAUAAACACAUUUUAGAAGUUUGCAAUUUGUUGUUAAUUACGGUAUGUGAUUUUCUUUUUUGUUUUCGCUUUUGUAGAAUCUACCGUAUUACAUAUUGGCAGUUGUAUCUGAGGUACCAUUUUUGCAUUUAACUUGCCUUUAUCUGUUUUGCCUGUUACUUAACAACACAUCAUUUCCCAAAGAUUUGGAGAAGCAUCUCAAGAUGCUUAACAAACUUGACAAACUUCAAGAUGCUCCCAAGCCUUGAUUCUUCACAAAGGAAGACCUGUGAGUACACUUAUGCCCGCAAUUAUUGUGAAGUGAUUGCAACUUUGAUGCAGCGAAACGGUUUGCUGGUGCAAAGCUUUAAAACUGUUAAGAAUUACCCUGCAGGCUUGUUGGAUGUUGUAUACUCCGAAAGCCACCAACACCAAGAACUAUAACAGCAAGACUAGGUUUGCAUUAAUUCAAUUAGCUGAAAUAAUGAUGCAAAUGGCACUAUCCAGCUCGACUUAGAGACUAGUCAGGUCAAUCAUCCAUUUCAUCAACAGUUAAUGUCAGGAUGGUGGCUAGCAGAGGAAACAAAGGAUAUGUUGGAAUCAAUAAGAACAGUGAGAAGCAUGAGAGGAGCUUUGAUUAUAAGUAGGCUCAAUGAACUAGUGUUGGUAAGUGGUAAUUAGAGCAAUUUGUGAGCUUAGUAGAGUUUCAAUAUUUUCUGUUUGGGAUAUAGUUGAUAAGUUGAUACUCUGAUAAAGAAGGCUGAUUAUAGUAGCUGACUAUAUUAACCGGGUUCUCUUUUUUGGUUUGCUGUUGUUUUUUCUUUCAAUAUCUUUUUCAACAUUAGGUUUAAGAACAAGCUUGGGUUUGAUUAUCAGGUAAGAACAAAUGAAUGCUUUAACCAUGUUUCUCACUUAUCACAAUGCACGGAUUGAAGGCGUCUGAGUUGAUCCUGAAACGUGCCUCAGCAAGUAUUAUGAUUAUUAUUUUAAAAAACUCAACCUAAGCAACGUGCCUCAGCAUACAAUAUUUAUUGACAACUAAAAAGUAAUAGUGGGUGGGGGUUGCCCUGGGUUUUGUUUAAAAAUUGAAGUAAAAAAUUUUCAAAUUUCAAAUUUCUAGUACAAAGAAAAUUGAUGACUAAAUUAAAUUCUGCAAAUUAAUUUCUAAUAUUACAUGAAAAUAUUAUCAAGUUAACUGGUAACAUCGUUAAUCACUUAAUUCUCAGUCUAAUACGUUAUGUAUUUGUUACUCUGUCUUAAAUCAAAAGUGGCGGUGAUUUAUUUUUAUUUUCACUAAUCAGAAAGGCAUGUUAGAGCUUUUAUUUUGUCGAAAAUGAACCAAAAAAACUCCGAUUGGGAGAUUAUAAAUGUAAUUAACAAUAAUUUAACUUCCAUUUUGAAAGUCAUUAUAUUGUUUAUUCAGGAGAAGCGUUCUUUUAUAUUUUAUAGAUAUAAUGUUUGCUAAUCCUAAUUUAAGCUAAAGCAUAUGCAUUUCCUAAUUAAUUCUAAUUUAAGCUUAUUCAACUGCAUUCAAUUAAUGUUCGAUAAUACAAAUUCUAAAUACUAUAUACUCUAAGAAUUUUAAUCGUAAUGACAAGGUGAUCAUUUAAUUAUUACCGUUAAAUUAUAUAUGUAUGGUGGAGACGAGUCCACACGGUUUUGACGAGAAAUUAAAGACAAUAUUUAGUUAAGCUAGUAGUAUUUGUUCUGUUUAGUACGUCGUUUUACCAGCAAGCAUCCCGGCAAUGCACGCAUUAAUAAAAACAUUUAUCUGUUUGGACUGACUGGUAGUGAAAAAUUCCACAUACUUUAAAUCAAGAAAAUGCUAAGCAUCUUAAAGAAAACAAUUAAAAUAUUGUCACUUGAUGCUUGAAUCAUUAUUGUUAAAUAUCUCCGUUGAGUUGUAUUCCCCAGUUGUGAGUAUCAUUAUUGUUGUUUGUGCGAUAUGUUUCGACGAAGACCAGCAGUGAUGAGCAGGCGUCUGGUAGCAGGGUUCCUCGAACAGGUAUAUCUUGCAAGAGUCUGGUAGCAGGGGGAGCAAGAGCAGGAGUAUCCUGCUCGUCCACGAGUACGUCAUCCACGAGGCCGGUCUCCUGUUGGGAGCGUAAAGCCAUUCCUGCUAUAUUCCUGCUAGCGGUUGAGUCGAGGAGACCCGGUCAACGACAGUUGACGAGACAUGCUCUCCAGUCCGAGAAUCAAGGCGCGAAGGCCACGCAACCACCCACGACUACGGAAAUGGAGCAUCCACUUUCGAGAAGUGGGAGGAUGACAAGCGCAAAGGGAGGAAAUGCAUGGGCUCAGAAGUGGCCUAUAAAAAGGUAACCAACGAAGGUAAAAGGGUUAGCAAUUUUGAGAUUAUAACAGAGACUAAGGAAAUUCUAAAGAAGAGAAAACUAUUAAAAAGCCAUAAGAUCUGUGGCAAGCGUUCCCAGAGCCUUCAUAUCUGACUUGAGCGUCGGAGGGUUUACGCCGGGAAAACAACCGGCGUGCUCUGACUUGUUUCUGUGGACGCAGGAAUACUUGGAGAAGAAAGCAUACAAGGAGAGAUCCUGGUCGAGGUGAGGUUGAUUGAGCAGAUAUCCUGGUCGUAGGAAGAGCGUAACCAGAAUCUCGCAUCAAUAUUUUGGCGCCGUCUGUGGGGAGCUGAGCAAAAAGUUUCUGUUGAUAGCAAAGAAGAGGAGUGAAGCAAGUGAAAAGCAAUGGAGACAGGAGGAAGUAGUGCACAAGGGGGUGAUAUGAGGCUUAACGAUUCCGUGACGCUGAGGGAGAUAGCCAGUGAAGCACGGGAAAAAGCCAUGUUCGACCGGAUGGAACGGAUGGAAAAGCAGAUGGAGACCUUGACAACCAUCCUACAUGAGCUGCGGAGCGAACGAAGGGUAACCCAGGAGGAAAGGGUGAGAGGUGGUGGAGUGGCACCAGGUCCCGAUAGUGCGAGGAGAAGUCAAACCACCGGGAGAUUUGGUGGUGAGAGAGGUAACAUACCUCUGCAGGGAAAUUGCAUAGAGAGGAAGAGCAGUCCCCGGCAAGACAGAUUUUUGACGAGGACGACGGGGUGGCGAAUGCAGAGGAAGCAGAGUUGAGGCAAUACUUGCAUGAUGUAGUGCAAGAGCGGGAUCAAGUCGCAGCACGUGACCCUGGUCGUGCAGAGCAGCUGGAGGAGGAAGUGUGCAGGCUAGCGCAGAUAAUUGACGACAUACAAGGAAGGAGCAGAGCUCCUGGUUGGAGGAUAAUGCUGGACGGAGAAUCACCGCUCGCAGCAGAGAUCAUGAGGGCAGUUAUUCCAAGAGAUUUCCGCCUCCCAGACCUUAGAUAUUCGGGAUGAACUGAUCCGCUGGUGCACAUAGAGCGCUUCAACGACAUAACUGGGGUACAAGGAUUAUCUCAAUCCUAAAGGUGCAGGGUGUUCCCACUAUCCCUUGAGGGACGCGCACGAGAGUGGUACAGGAAACUUCCUCGGGGGAGCAUUAAAACCUUCGAGCAGAUGUGCCAGGAAUUUGCAGAACAGUUCCGUGGGGCAAUGGCACCAGAAGAUGACAUGAUGGAGUUGAAAAACAUGAAGCAGGGGGAACAAGAAACACUUCGGGAAUUCAUCAAGAGGUUUCACCGUGCUGUCCUCGACUUGGGAGCCUUCAACCACCCUCAAACGUUAAGGGGAUUGAAAGAAGGGGUGAAGAUAGGAAGGCUGUGGUACAACUUGAGAAGCCCAGUUAUUCAGACGUAUGCGGCCGCAUACGAGCAGGCUAAGAGAGACAUUGAGAUUGAAGAGGAGAAGGCAGCACAGAUUAAGACAGACCAGUUAGAAGGGUGGGGGAGGAAAGAGAAGAAAGCAUUACCGGGGAAUGGGCCGAUCAGGAGGAGGAACCACCAGGCCUCGAGUAGUGGAGCAGAAGGUCGGGUAACUGCUUACCAGCCUCAUCAGAGGCCACUACAGUAUCAGCACAGCAGGGCGCAACCUCCUCGUUCCCCAGCUGGGGAGCCUUGGAGAAGGCAUGACUCGGCGUAUGGUGGUCUUCAUCAACACUCCCACGGUAGUAGAAGGGGCAGACCAGAAGCGCUGCCACCGCCUCCAACUCAGAACGGAGCAAAUAGAGAAAGGGCAGUGCACCUGAUCGACCAGAACCAGGACUAUGGGCGAUAUACUUCCUUGAAGAUGUCCCUGGCCGAGGUGUACGAGGCCAUAAAGGAUCGAGGGUCGUUAUACCUCCCUGCCCCAAUAACAAAGCUACCCAGCAGGAGGGAUAGGGGACGCUAUUGUAAGUUCCAUGGCACUCAUGGCCACACCACAGCAGAUUACAGGGAUCUCAAGACCCAGGUUGAAGAUUUGGUGAGAAAUCGGUAUCUGGACGAGUUUAUAGAUGGGACCUUCCCAAUGGUAGCCUCGACCAGCGAAUGGGAGCAGAGUGACAGGAACUUGAGGCGCGAGCAGCCUGCAGUAAGGGUGAUAGCUGGGGGCCCAACAUUGGCCGGAGAUUCCAACAGGUUGAGGAAGAAUUACGCUAGAUACGCCAUGACCAGCAAAGAUGUAUUCUUCACCACCCCAGCAGCCAAACGUGCAAGAGUCAGGCAAGUGCCAAUUAUGUGGACAGAUGAGGAUGAAGAAGGGAUUCUAUACCCCCACGAGGAUGCUUUGGUCAUCAAGGCCACUGUUGCCAGCAAGAAGUUUGACAGGAUACUGGUUGACACAGGGAGCUCAGUUGAUGUGUUGUUUAAGUCAACCCUGGAGGAGAUGGGAAUAGCAGACCUGAAGUUGGAUUACACCAAUACCUCCUUGAAGGGGUUUGGAGGAGGAAAGUUGGUCCCUCUGGGCGUGGUCGAGCUGCCUAUCACGAUUGGGAGCUCCCCGACAGAAGGGACAAUGAUACUGGACUUUGUGGUAGUGGAUGAGGAAGGUCCUUAUCAGAUGAUCCUAGGCCGGCCAUUUCUGACGAUGAGCAAAGCGGUGCUGUCCAGCCAUUAUCUGGCUCUCAAGUACCGGGUGAAUGGGGUAGUUGGAGUGGUACGAGGAGACCAGAGGAUCGCAAGAAGCUGCUACUCCUCGGCAGCAAAGGAAGCAAUGCAGAUAACAUCCCUUGAUACCCGAGUGGAAGCCAGGAAUGGCAGCUAGUUGGACCCGGAGUUUACAAGCUGGUUCGCACGGAUGGCCACAAGGUGAAACGCCCAUGGAGCGCGACACACCUCAGGAAAUAUUUCUAGUAAGACUUACUCAUCUUUUAAAGUUAUUUCUGUUCGUGCCCGUUGUUUUCUAUUUUUCAUUUCUUAUUUCAAAGCAAUCUCAUGUAAGCCGAAUUCAAUAAUAAAUGAAUCAAUGAGGAGUUUCAGUCAACUACACUGUUCAAGAAAUUAUCAAAGGCAUGCAAAGGCUAGUCAAGUCUCAAAGCCUGUUUAUGGCGAGACCAGAAGCCAAGCGUGCCAGGAUCUGCUCGACCACGAGAAGGCGAGCAGAGUCCCAAGCUUUCAAGAAAUUAUCAAUGGCAUGCAAAGGCUCACCAAGUCUCAAAGCCUGUUUAUGGCGAGACCAGAAGCCAAGCGUACCAGGAUCUGCUUGACCACGAGAAGGCGAGCAGAGUCCCAAGCUUUCAAGAAAUUAUCAAAGGCAUGCAAAGGCUCACCAAGUCUCAAAGCCGGUUUAUGACGAGACCAGAAGCCAAGCGUUCCAGGAUCUGCUCGACCACGAGAAGGCGAGCAGAGUCCCAAGCUUUCAAGAAAUUAUCAAAGGCAUGCAAAGGCUCACCAAGUUUCAAAGCCUGUUUAUGACGAGACCAGAAGCCAAGCGUGCCAGGAUCUGCUCGACCACGAGAAGGCGAGCAGAGUCCCAAGCUUUCAAGAAAUUAUCAAAGGCAUGCAAAGGCUCACCAAGUCUCAAAGCCUGUUUAUGGCGAGACCAGAAGCCAAACGUGCCAGGAUCUGCUUGACCACGAGAAGGCGAGCAGAGUCCCAAGCUUUCAAGAAAUUAUCUAAGGCAUGCAAAGGCUCGCCAAGUCUCAAAGCCUGUUUUAUGGCGAGAUAGAAGCCAAGCGUACCAGGAUCUGCUCGACCACGUGAAGGUGAGCAGAAUCCCCAAGCAUCGGAAUAUUUUCCAAGGCAUGCAAAGGCUCGCCAAGUCUCAAAGCCUGUUUUAUGGCGAGACAGAAGCCAAGCAUGCCAGGAUCUGCUCGACCGCGCGAAGGCGAGCAGAAUCUCAAGCAUUGAAGAAUUUUCCAAGGCAUGUGGCAAAACCAUAUGCCGAGCCAGAACCUGCUAAACUAGACGAAGACGAGCAGAUUCUCAGACGAAAAAUAACUCAUGAUUACAACACAAGAAAGUAAUCAAAAACAUUUUUAUUAAUUUGUUAAUAAUUAACAGAGGAGAUAAUCUUCACAAACAUUGUUCAUUACAAUACAAGAAAUAUAUUAAGAGGACGGUGGAUCCGUAAGCCGAGCAGCCUCAGUCGGUUGGUCCACCUCAGGUGCUGGGGGAGUAUCACCGGUCGCGUCCGGGGGGGUGCUUGCCUCACCCACAUCAACAGGAACGGCACGAGGAGGAGAGUUUUCCUCAACUACGAUUGGUUCCACCGUUUCGGCAUCUUCCUUUGCAGCCUCCUCGUCCAUAUGUUGGGCGACACCAGUUGCAAGGUCGUCCAUCUUCAGAUCAGGAUGCUGCUUCCCGAGGACGACCAUGAUGCAACGAUAGGAAUGCCGAAGCCCCUAGUCGUACUGGUUGUCGGCCUCCCUCUCCAAGUUCUCGACCUGAGCUCGGUGGGAAUCGCGGAGAGAUUCGAGCUGAGCCUCAUAUAUAGCCUUCUGCCUUUGCAGAUCCUCCUCGACCUUGGUCAGCUCCUCCUCGAGGGUAAUGGCUUUUGCUUGAGCAAGAGAUUCUUGCUCUAUCAGCUUGAGGUUCUCAACAUUCAGCUCCCCUGCUUUCUUCUCGGCAGCGUCAGCUCUGGUCGUCGCCGAUUGAAUGUCCUCCUUAAUCUUGCGGUCGUAGCGGCCAACCUUCGCCUUGUAAUAGGUGGUCAUGCAGCUGAGGUAGAAAGCGCUAUACUGCAUGGCCCCCACCAGCUCACCCAAGGUGCAGCCGUCAAAGUCCUCCAGGUCCUUCUUGCUCACGAGUUUAGAUAACUCAUUGAGGUAGGGGACCAAGUGUUCUGCUUGGCUGUCAGGUAAGCGAGAUCGAGGCCCGACAGGAGGAGAAGAGGAAGCAGGAUCCGUGGCUGCUCCACUAGUUUCCCCAACUUUGGCAGGAGCAGGAGGUAAAGUCUUCAAGGGAGAGACUUGCUGUACGAUGUUGGCCUGCUUUGCAGAAGGGGCGUCCUUGUUCUGGUCCCUCUUCGUGGCUUGAGGUUGAGAACGUUUCCUGUUCAGAGCCCCAAUCACAGCGUCCUCCAUCUUAUGGCCAGGGAGUACCAAGCGAGACUCGAGCAAGUUGUAAACAGUUAUCAAUUCUCGGCUCGGGCAAGAGUUGGCUAGUAUAGCCUCGACCCGUUUGAGCUGAUCAGGUUGGAGCGAGAAGUGAACACCCCAAGAACCUGCAACACAAACAAACAUUUGAUUAGAGACAAACCAGUAAAGUGCAAACAACAAGGGAGACAAGACAUCUAAUACGAGCAGGCAACCUGGGACCAUGAAACGGGGUGGGACGCGACAAUCCUUCCCGUCUAUUUGUGCAACUUGACCCCAAGGACCCCCAGCAAAAAAGAAUUUCCUCUUCCAAGUCCCACCACCACCAGUUGGAAGAUCAGUUAUGGGUUUCUUGCUCUUGGUACUAGAUUGGAAGUAGUACCAGCCGGCAUCUUUGGGGCUGCUCUUUAGCUGGUACAGGUGCUUCACCUCAUCAACCGUGGGCUCGCUUUGGCAACAUCUGUCCCACAAUAUGAACAGACCAGAGAGCACCCUCCACCCAUUGGGGUUCAGUUGACCAGGAGCUAGAUUGAGCCCGUGGAGUAUGCGAGCAAAAUAGGGUUGCAAGGGGCACCUUAACCCGUACUUAAAACUCUCCUGGAACAAGGUGACAUAUCCCCUAGGAGGCCUGCUAGGACUAUCUUUUUUUCCUGGGAUCCUAAGGAGUACUUCACCAGGAAUAUGAUACCUGAGCCAGAGGUCAUCCAGCUCGUUGAAUGUGGUCGUGCAGGUCAUGUAAUCAAUAGCAUAAUCCCGCAACAAGGCUCUACCUCCUACUGUACUACGCCCUUCUGGUCGCAGUGUUCCCGGUGAAGAUCCCUCACCAGAGUCACCUCCUUGAUCCUCACUUAGGGUGUCUUCCGAGCCAGAAGGUCCUUCCUCGCCACUACUUCCGCUCGUGGAGGUUGUUUGGGGGGACAUCCUCCUAGCGCUAGUCCCGACACUAGACCUAGUGGGCUCUAAGGGGAUCCCGGGGUCAAAAGCAGAAUCAGUGAGCAGACUAGGCAAGAAACCUAGUUCGUCGUCAUCAGUCUCAAUGACUUUCUCCUUACCCUUCGACAUUCCCUAAGUUCUAACCAAAACACCACCACCGACUACAACCCCAAGUAAAGCAAAGAGAAAAGAAAUUAUCUACAACUAUCCGAGACCGAGGAGAUAGAAGUAAUACCUGAAGUAAUGGUUCAGUUAGAGAAAGGCAGGGGAGGAGACUUUUAUGCCGAGACUUCUUUGCCGGAGAGACAGAGACAGAGAUGGAGUAAAUGACGAAUUUUCCCUUUGAGAGGUUUUGGGUUUUCCUAAUGGAGAAUGAACUUUUGGAUUGCCAGCAUUUAAUAGCAUCGAAUCCCAAGGGUCUCGUAACCGUCGGUUUAAAAUUCAAAUAGAUGGGUAGAUUUCUGCCACAUCACCUGGUCCACAAUUAAAUGCGACACGACUCUUGGCAGCCUUUUCCUAUCCCGCGCGAGCAAGAACUGUCGAGUUUCUACUGUUGGCUCACUACGCUACCCAACACAAGAAACUGGGGGACUGGUGUUUGUGCGAUAUGUUUCGACGAAGACUAGCAGUGAUGAGCAGGCGUCUGGUAGCAGGGUUCCUCGAACAGGUAUAUCUUGCAAGAGUCUGGUAGCCGGGGGAGCAAGAGCAGGAGUAUCCUGCUCGUCCACGAGUACGUCAUCCACGAGGCCGGUCUCCUGUUGGGAGCGUAAAGCCAUUCCUGCUAUAUUUCUGCUAGCGGUUGAGUCGAGGAGACCCGGUCAACGACAGUUGAUGAGACAUGCUCUUCAGUUCGAGAAUCAAGGCGCGAAGGCCACGCAACCACCCACGACUACGGAAAUGGAGCAUCCACUUUCGAGAAGUGGGAGGAUGACAAGCGCAAAGGGAGGAAAUGCAUGGGCUCAGAAGUGGCCUAUAAAAAGGUAACCAACGAAGGUAAAAGGGUUAGCAAUUUUGAGAUUAUAACAGAGACUAAGGAAAUUCUAAAGAAGAGAAAACUAUUAAAAAGCCAUAAGAUCUGUGGCAAGCGUUCCCAGAGCCUUCAUAUCUGACUUGAGCGUCGGAGGGUUUACGCCGGGAAAACAACCGGCGUGCUCUGACUUGUUUCUGUGGACGCAGGAAUACUUGGAGAAGAAAGCAUACGAGGAGAGAUCCUGGUCGAGGUGAGGUUGAUCGAGCAGAUAUCCUGGUCGUAGGAAGAGCGUAACCAGAAUCUCGCAUCAACAAUUGUCUUUGCUCUCUAAUCUAUUCAAUUUUCUUUCUGGAGACAAGAUUUUGAUUCCUUUCAUCGUUACAAAAACGGAACCAUGGUUGAUGUGGGAGAGAUCUUACUCAACGCCUUCUUUUAGGUGAUGUUCGACAGGUUGGCUUCCCGUGAUUUGCUCAGCUUUGUCCGUCAACUUGGAGGGGGGGUCGAUUCCGAGCUCAAGAAGUGGGAAAGAAAGCUGAAGAUGAUUCAGGCGGUGCUCAACGAUGCAGAGGAGAAGCAACUGACGGACGAGGCUGUGAAGAUGUGGCUGGACGAUCUCCAAGACUUGGCUUAUGACGCUGAGGACAUUCUUGAUGAGUUUGCUACUCAAGCUUUGGAAAGCAAGUUGAUGGCGCAAAAUCAGGAUAGCUCUGGCCAACUUCUCAGUUUCAUCCAGGCUAGUUUGAAUCCGAAUGCUAUUAUGUUCAAUUAUAGCAUGGGGUCCAAGAUUAAAGAUAUCACUAGCCGGCUGGAGCAACUCUGCCAAGAAAGAAUUGAACUUGGACUGCAACGGAUUACUGGAGGGGCAUCAUCAACUACUGCUGCUGCACACCAGAGGCUACCCGGUUCAAUUGUCCCAACAGAACGUGAAGUAUUUGGAAGAGAAGAAGAUAAGGCCAAAAUUCUUGAUAUGGUAUUGGCCGAUACCCUAAGUGAUCAUGCCAACUUUGCUGUAAUACCCGUUGUUGGCAUGGGCGGGAUAGGAAAAACAACUCUCGCUCGGGAGGUUUACAAUGACAAGGCCGUUGGCGGUUCCAAGUUUGAUGUAAAAGCAUGGGUUUGCGUAUCUGAUGUCUUUGAUGUUUUGGGCAUCUCAAAGGCACUUCUCGAGUCAAUCACCCGCAGGCCUUGUCUUCUAAACAGUUUAAAUGAAGUGCAGGUUGAAUUGAAAGUAGCUGUGGAUAAAAAAAGAUUCUUGCUGGUCUUAGAUGAUGUUUGGAACGAGGACUACAGCUUGUGGGUAGACUUAAAAGCUCCGUUCCUGGCUGCUGCACCAAACAGUAAGAUGAUCGUCACCACACGCAAUUCAAAUGUUGCAUCAACAAUGGGACCAAUUGAACAUUACAAUCUCAAGAGUUUGUCAGAUGAUGAUUGUUGGUCCAUUUUCAUAAAGCAUGCAUUUGAAUAUAGAGAUCUUAACGCACAUCAAAUUUCAGAAUCGUUCCGCGGGAAAGUUGUUGCCAAGUGUGGAGGCUUGGCCCUGGCAGCAAAAACACUCGGAGGCCUUCUGCAUACGACGAGGCAUGAUGCGUGGGAUGAUACGUUAGAGAGCAAAAUAUGGGAUUUACCUCAACAAAGUGGGGUUCUCCCCGUAUUAAGAUUGAGUUACCAUCAUCUUCCUUCUCAUUUGAAAAGAUGUUUUGCUUACUGUGCAAUCUUUCCAAAAGAUUAUGAAUUCAAUCAGAAGGAGCUGACUUUCUUAUGGAUGGCUGGAGGAAUUAUUCGACAGUCACGAAACAGUGAGCAGCUGGAAGAUUUGGGCAGCAAGUGCUUUCAAGAUCUAGUGUCAAGGUCUAUUUUUCAACAAACCAGCUCUGGUAGUUCUAAAUUUGUAAUGCCCUAUCUUAUCCAUGAUCUUGCUGAAUUGGUUUCUAGAGGGACCAUUUUCAAGUUAGAGGAGUCCACCAACUUGUCGUCGAGGAGAUUUGAAAGAGUUCGCCAUUCUUCCUAUGCCCGCGGUUGGCAUGACGGUAAAAAUAAGUUUGAGGUUUUCUAUGAAAUUGAACAUCUACUAACAUUCUUGCCAUCACGCAUAAGAGGUGGCACUAAUACGAGUUACAUAACUCGAACGGUUCUAUCUGAUUUGUUGCUGAAUUUCAAAAGUUUGAGGAUGUUAUCUUUACAAGGAUACUGUAUUGGUGAGUUACCAAUUUCAUUUGAAGAUUUGAGACUUUUAAGGUUUCUCAACCUUGCUUACACUGACAUAAGAAGUUAUCUGAGUCAACAUGCAAAUUGCUGAACUUGGAAAUUUUGAUAUUAAGAAAUUGUUCUCGUUUGAUAAAGCUUCCACCCAAAAUGAGGAAUUUGAUCAAUUUACGCCAUCUCGAUAUAAGAGGUGCGAAGUUGCUGAAGGAGAUGCCAUUCGGAAUGAAAGAGUUGAAGAAGCUUCAAACAUUGUCCAAUUUUAUUGUGGGCAAGGGUGAAACUGCAUCUUGUUUGGAAGAUUUAAAAUGUUUAAACUUUCUUUGUGAUAAACUUUGCAUUGCUGGAUUAGAGAAUGUUAAUAAUCCACAGAAUGCAAGAGAAGCCGCAUUAUGUGAGAAACACAAUCUUGAAGCAUUGACUCUGGAUUAGGGGUUUCAAUUUGACAAUUCCUGAGGAGUAGUAGAAGAGCAUGUACUGGAAAAUCUACAGCCUCAUAAAUGUAUAAAAAAGGUGGCGAUCCGGAACUAUGGUGGUGCAAGAUUUCCCCUUUGGAUAGGAGAUCCUUUGUUCUCCAGGAUAGAGCUCCUAAAAUUGGAGAACUGUGACAAUUGUGUAUCUUUGCCAUCGCUUGGCCUAUUGAGUUCACUUAGACGGCUUGCUGUUAAAGGGCUGAAUAAACUAAAAAGCAUAGGGUCUGAGGUUUAUGGGGAGGGUUUCUCAAUGCCUUUUCCAUCAUUGGAGAUUCUAAGUUUCGAGAAUUUGCCAGAAUGGGAGCAUUGGGACACCGAUGUCAAAGGAAAUGUGCUUGUUGAAAUAUUUCCUCGUCUCCAUCAACUUUCCAUUGUGGAAUGUCCCAAACUCUCGGGAGAACUGCCUGAGCUCCUGCCCUCCUUGGAGACACUUUUUGUUAGUAAAUGUGAAAAGUUGGUAGUUCCAUUGUCUUGCUAUCCGAUGCUCUGCAGAUUAGAAGUUGAUGAGUGCAAGGAACUAGCAUGCGGGACUCCAAUUGAUUUUAAGUUGAUAACGUCUGUGACUAUUUCAAAUAGUUCCUUAGACAUGAAUGGAUGCAAGGGGAUGCUAUACGAUGGUCCAGCUGGCUCUUCACUACCAAAGCCUAUGAUUACUACAAAUGUUUCGGAGUUUGGAAAAUUAUUGAAGCCUGGAUUUCAGAUAUUAGAAACUUUGGUAAUUGCCAAUUCUGAACAGCUCAAGUCAUGGAGGCAGAAUGGGGAUUUUCCGGAAAAAUACACGGCCCCUGAACAUAGGUUUAAGAAACCAGUACGAGGGCUGAAUAUGCUCGCUUCCCCUGAAGAGGUAACAAUUGAAGAAAGUUGCGUACGUCUUGUUUUGUUUCCAGAGAUCAAUUUCUUUCCCAGAAAUCUGCGCUCUCUUCUAAUUAACAACAACACUGCUUUCAAAUCCUUACCCGAGGAAAUGAUGGAAAACAAUUCACAACUCGAAAGGUUGUAUAUCAGAGAUUGCGACUCUCUAACAUUCAUCGCAAGACGGAGGCUACCAGCAUCUCUUAAAAGGCUUGAGAUAGAAAAUUGUGAGAAAUUGCAACGUCUGUUCGAUGAUGAAGAGGAUGCUUCUUCUUCUUCACCUUCACCCUCGUCUUCCCCAGUGAUGCUGCAACACCUGAGUAUAGAGAACUGCCCAGAGCUCACCAGUUUAUCAUCGGGUGUCCAAUUCCUUGAGGCGCUUGAAGACCUCGACAUACAGGGUUGUCCAAAGCUGGAGUCAUUACCGGAUGGCCUGCCCAAUCUUAAAUGUUUACAGAGCAUUUAUAUACGGGGAUGUCCAAGUCUUGUUUCCUUCCCAGAAAGAGGGCUUCCCAACACGAUUUCAAGGGUUGACAUUUGCAGUUGUGACAAGCUCAAAGCCUUGCCCAAUGAUUUGCACAAACUCAACUCUCUUCGAGAUUUAAGAAUACGGCUGUGUCGAAAUCUUGUAUCGUUUCCAGAAGAAGGUUUUCCUACCAAUCUAACAUCACUUACAAUUGGAAAUUUCAAAAUGUAUAAGACACUCGUCCAGUGGGGGUUGCACGGGCUUACCUCUCUUAAACGCCUCUCGAUCAGUGGAUGUCAUGAAGCAGAGUGUUUUCCAGACGAGGAGAUAGGAAUGACGCUGCCCACCUCUCUCACUCAACUGCUCCUUUAGGGAUUCGAAAAACUGAUAUCUCUGUCUUCGACGGGUUUUCAAAGCCUCAACUCUCUUCAAUACUUAUUGAUCUGGGGUUGCCCAAAUCUCACAUCAUUCCCAGAGGCGGGUCUUCCAUCCUCACUUUUGGAUUUAGGCAUUUACAAUUGUCCAAAGCUUAAAAGAGCGUGCAAAAGAGAUCAAGGAAAAGAGUGGCCCAAAAUUGCUCACAUCCCUCGCAUUGAGAUAGACAGAAAAUUCAUAUACGAUCCAGAAUCAGAGGAGUAGAUUCUAUUACAAAGGUCAGUUGAUUUCUAUUAUCCUCUAUAACAAGCUCCUCUUAAUUUUUUUUUUCUAAGUAAUAAUUUUGCAGUUCUGUAUAAUUAUUAAUCGUCUGCUCUUAAUUGAAAAUGUCACUCACUUGAUUCCGUUUUCACUAGUCAAAUUGUAUGUUGAGGCUAUUUGCUUUUUAAUUAUAACACUUAUCUUAAAAUUUAAUACCAAAUUUUUUUGAUUCACUUCAAUUAGCAUUUUGUUUUCCCCAAAUUAGGCAAGCCGAGAGCUUCAUUAACUAGAGUUUUUUAUUUUUCGGACCUUGCAUCUGAAAGGUUCAGUGUAUUUUUUUUUUUUUCAAAUUUAUUGUUCAGAUCUCAGACGAGUAUACGGUUUAGAUUACAAAACACCUAUGAUUAAUUUCUUUUUUUUUUUUUUAAUUUCAGGGAGAAGAAGUGGUCAGUUUCAAUCCGGAAUUGGAAUAUGGCAAUUUGGUUCAAGCACACACACCUGGUCACUUGGUCAGUGAACCUGAACUUUACGCAGUUUUUUCAACUCAGUGAUUUUUGGAACGCAUAUUGGUGUAAGGAAAUCAAUAGAAAUUUAUGCAUAGUCAAAUUCUGAUAUUUGCUAUAAUAUUAUACAUUCUAAAGUUUCUCCAGUUUGUUCUCAGAUUACCAUCAUUUUUUGCCUUCACCAAAAAAAAAUCGAGUGGCUUUCCAGUGGAUAUUUAAUCGGAGGUAUGACUGGAUUUUUUUCACUUCUGUAAAUCUUGCAUUUUAAACUGGCAAAUUUAACUUUAAUUUUAAUACGACUUGUUUGAGGGAAAUACUCCGACGAGACCAGACGUGAUGAGCAGAUGUUUGGUGGCAGAAGUCUGCGAGCAGGUGUGUCCUGUAAGAGCCAGGUAGCAGGGAAACAGGGGCAGAAAUAUCCUGCUCAUCCACGAGCAUGUCAUCCGCGAGGCCAAUUUCCUGUAAGAAACAUAAAGCCAUUCCUGCUGUAUUCUUGCUAAGGGUUGAUUCGAGGAGACCCGGUCAACGACAGUUGGCGAGGCAUGCUCUCCAGCCCGAGAAUCUAGGCACGAAGGCCACGCAACCACCCACGACUACGGAAAUGGGGAAUCCACGUUCGAGAGGUGGGAGGAUAACAGACGUAGACUGCGGAAAACUGGGAUUCAGAGGAAGCCUAUAAAAAGGUAGCCAACGAAGGUAAAAGGGUUAGCAAUUUUGAUUCUAAAAGAGAGAAAACAACCUAACAACCAUAAGAUUUUUGGCAAGCGUUCCCCGAACCUUCAUAUCUGACUUGAGCGUCGGAGGGUUUGCGCCGGGAAAACAACCGGCGUACUCUGACCUGUCUGUGUGCGCAGGAACCUCUGGAGAAGAAGCUUUACGAGGAGAGAUCCUGGUCGUGGUGAAGUUGAUCGAGCAGAGACCCUGGUCGUAGAACGAGGAGAACCAGAAUCUCGCAUCAACACGACUUUGUUGGUGCCUUGUGUUCCAGAAACUAGAAUGAUGUGUAGUUUUCAGAUUAAGGGGCUUGUAAAUUCUCUAGUAAGAAUCCAAUAAUUUGCUUUUGCACAUUCAUUUUAUUUGUGGAUCCUUGCAUCUGAAUUUGAUCAAUCCAAAAGGAAUUGCUUUUAGACAGAAGAAGAAUUGCAGUACCUAGCCUACGACAUAGUAAAUGGACCUGCAAACCUGUAACUAUUAGUUUGAGGUAAAAAAUUCAUGACCCUCACAUGUUAACUUCUUCUAGUUACUUUCAUCAAAAACACAUUUAAGAAAUUUGCAAUUUUUUGUUAGUUUUGUAUACCGAUGUUGUUUUCUGUUUUAGCAUUUGUAUAAUCUACUGUAUUAUAUUUUGGCGGUUGCAGUAUCUGAGGUAUCUUUUGCAUUUAACUUGCUUUAUUUGUUUUGCUUGUGACUUAAGAACACCAAUAUUUGCCAGAGAUUUAGAGAAGCAUAUCAAGAUGCUUGGCAAACUUGACAAACUUCAAGAUCCUUCAUUCUUCACGACCCAAAACUUGUGAGUACACUUAUGCCCGCAAUUAUUGUGAAACGCUUGCAAUUUUGAUGCAGCGAAAUGGUUUGUUGAUGCAAAGGUUUAAACUUUUAAGAUUUACACUGCAGGGUAGUUGGAUGCUGUAUAGUCGAACGGCCACCAACAUCAAGAACUAUAACUCCAAGACCGGGUUUGCAUUAAUUCAAUCAGCUGAAAUAAUGAUGCAAAUGACACUAUCAGCUGGACUUAGAGACCAGUCAGAUCAAUCAUCCUUUUAUCAACAGUUAAUGUCAUGAUGGUGUCUAUCGGAGGAAACAAAGGAUGUGUCGGAAUCAAUAUGAACAGUGAGAAGAAUGAGAGGAGCUUUGAUUAUAAGUAGGCUCAAUGAACUCAUGCUGGUAAGUGGUAAUUAAAGAAAUUUGUGCGCUUAGUAGCAUUCAAUAUUUUCUGUUUGGGAUAUAGUUGAUGAGUUGAUACUCUGAUUAAGAAGCCUGAUUAUAGUAGCUGACUUUUUUUUUGUGGUUUGCUGUUGUUUAUUCUUUCGAUUAAUUUCAACAUUAGGUUGAUCUGUUGAAGAACAAACUUGGGUUUGAUUAUGCUUUAACUACAAGGAAGAGCCAGACUUGGAUGCAGGCGUUCAGCUUUUAAUGGGUAAGAACAAAUGUAUGCUUUAACCAUGUUUCUCACUUAUUACAAUGCACACAUUGAAGGCAUCUGAGCUGAUCCUGAAAAUGUGAUGGAAAUACUUCUCUGUUUACAUAAAACAGACAAAUAGAGAUCUCUGAUCAUGCCUGAGAAUUCGUUGCAUUUAAAAUUUCUACCAUUGCCAAAAAUAGAAUAAACUACGGAUACAUUAGCUUAAGACUCAAUUUUGAGAAGGAAGUUUGCACAUGCAGCCUAAAAAAUCACGUCCGUGUUGUAUACUUGUAUGUUUCUUUGGGAAAUGAAAGAUUCUGUGUUCUUUUAUUUCAAGUUUGCUGAAAUCACAUUUGUUUUCUUAGAUGCUUUUGGGAAGGUAACAACAUCAAUUUCAUAAAUGCUGGGGUAAGAUGCAUCACGCAGUGCUACUCAACAUGAGAAUUCCCGGCCGCAUUACCUGUAUGUUGAGUGAUCGCACAGUACAACCUUUAGAAGCUUGUAAGGAGUAGACAACUAGAUGCGAAUAGUUUCAAUAUGGAUUCGCAUCAAAUGAUCUCUUGCCAGUGAUUACUAUAACCUCUAUCCCAAAAUUCUUGGAACUGGUCAUACCAAUAAUGAAGUAUUGUGUACGUUGAAGACGUAGCUCAAGGCCUUGCGAAAGCUCCGUCAGCCUUUGUAUUGGAAAACAGUUGGUUGUAGUUGCUUCUGAAUGAUAUUAUUAAUAGAUACUGUAAAAAUGAAGUGUGCCACUCAUUUUCAGAGCCCUGUUAAGAUGUGUUGGUAAUGUGUUUGAAGGUUGUUUGAUUUGUGUUGUAUUCAGCUAUAAAUCAAAGAUUCAGAACAUGGUUAUGUUACUGGUUUCCAAAUAAAAAAAUUGCCUUGUGAUGUUAGUGUUCAUUGUUUUCACAGGAGAUCAGGUUCCCUGUUGAUGAAUCAAGAAGGCAAACGCAUCCAUGCCUUAAGUUCAAAUGUGUCUCUUCUAUUUUCUAUUACUGACUCCUUUAUUUUGAUUUCUUCAUUGUAAUGGAAUUGGUUUUCAUUCCAAAUUAGUCAAAACCUCCUAGAGUCAUUAAGUUCUGUUAGCAUUUGAAGAUAGAACUAGAACUAAAUGAUUGACUGGAUUAAAUUCCGAUAAAGAAUUAAGUUAUGUAUUUAGAGAUAUUUUGUUUUUUUUUUCAUUUGUUCAAUUUGGUUAGUGGUGAUUUCUUAAAGACUCAAUCCAUGUGCGUUUAUGCAUUUUUCUUUUGCCUUAAUUUCUGUUUCUUGGGGAGUUUAUACAGAUUCUUAUUUUAUGCUUCACAUGCCACAUGAAAGAUCGAAGCAUUUUGUGUGAUUAGAACUGACUUGCAUCACAGUAACUUUAAACCACUGCCACAUUUUUAUAAUAACAGUCUGAGAUCUCCCUGAAGGAUUCAAAGCAUUUUAUUUUAUAUUAACCUCCUUUAAGUGGGUUUCGACACUACCACAAGUUCUUUAAAUACUAAAACGAUUUUGAGUCUUUUGUAUCAUCUGAUUGAAAUACCUGAAAGCACUCGUGGCUGCAAAAAUAUAUCGAUUUUGAGUAUGGCGUGCAUGUAAAUUAUAUCGAUUUUUUCUAUAUGACAAGUAAGACUCUCUUUUACAAUGGCACGGAUGCGUCAUUGAGUAAUCAUGAUUCUUGCUGGUAGUGCUUUGUUGUAUCAAUCUGCUAGCUAUUCAGCUUUCUUUCUUUCUUUCUUCUUUUUUUUUUUUUUUUUUUGUUUUCAAAUAGCUUGUGGUUGUAGAAAUAUUUCAAUUAAACUAUACUUAAGUACUUAUUUAGUAUAACUUCUUUACUAGCCAAAAUAAUUUUUUUUUGGUUUUUUAUAAUUUAAUUAUACUUUAACUAGAGUUUUUGGGAUUAAACAAGUGAUAAUUUCUCUCUAUUAAGAAAAACUCAAAAUUUUUUAAUUACUAGAAUGCGUCUAAAUUAAAUUACAAUUAUAGACACUAAAAUAUAGUAAAUUUUUUUUUUUACUCUUUAAAACUGUCUUUACAUUCGAUAUCAUAUUUUUUUCUUAAAAUCUAAAUUGAUAUUUUUAUUUUAUUUUUGAUUAAUCUUAGAACACAUAUAAAGUGAUUCAUAUUGAUUUUAUACUAACAAACUAUCAUAGCACAUUCGAAAAUAAUUAACUCGUUCUUAUUUGCAUAGUGAAAAAGGCAAAUAGCUCACCCAAAUGUUAAGGAACUGGAGAGCUGCUGCUGGAGACGAAAGGAUGUGAAAAGCAUGGUAAAGAAAAAUUGCAUAAUUCUCACUUAGAAGAGGAAGAAAAAAAAAAUACAAUUAGAAUGAGAGGUAGCCAGUAGCCAGUAGCCGCCACCACCACCAGUCAAACUAUUUCGACACACUAAUACUGUAAUACAUAUCAAAAUGCAAUAUCGGUCCUAACAAAAUGAAAAUAAAAAUUCAUUACGAAUAUGUGUUAAAGAUAUCCCAAGUAUUGAUGUGAUUGAAAUAUUUGAGAUUGAAGUAGAAAUAAGACUCAAAAUCAAUUGAGAGGAAUAAAUGAGAAACUCUAAUACUAAUAAAAUAUAUUCACAAAUCCUAAUGCUAAUUAAAAUCACGGAUUAAAAAAAAUAAUAUGAAUGAAUUACAGGCGCAACUGUUUCAUUAAAAAAUUAAUAAAAUCGUGUAUUAAUAUUUUGUACACAUACAUUUUUCCAUAUAUAACUUUUGGUAAUUUAGUUUUCCACUUAUCAUUUUUACUCCAAAAAAAUAAUUGAGAAUAUUAUUUAUGUUUUGGUGCAAAAUAUUUAAACAACAUAAAAAUUUUCAGUUUAAUAAAUCUAAACAAUUCUCAAGUUAUAAAUGAAUUUAAUGGGUUUAAUUAGUAAAAAUACUAUUAUUUUAUAAAUUGGGUUUAGUAAUGGUAUAUUGGGUAUUUAAAUGGGUUUGUUGAGUAAAUUUUAAAAUUUUAAAGUUCAAGGGUAGGUUUAUUUAGUAAAUGGGUUAAUGCAGCAAUUUUCAAACUAAAUUUUUGGAAAAAGAGGCUAUUGAGUUUUUUUUAAGAAAAAGAAUUAAAAUGUUGAGAAUACCUUUAUUUAAUUUUAUAAUCUAAUUUUAAAAAAUUUACCCAAUAAAUUUUAUAAUUUUUUAUAAAAAUUAUCAUUAACAUCCAAACAGCUGAAGAUUAAAAAAAAAAAAAGAAGGGAACUGUACUAGCAAAAGUUAGAUUAACAAUAAAUUUAGUCCAAAGAAUAAAGUUAUAGCUAAAAAGUGCUCCUAUCCUAUUUUUCUCUAUUUUAACAAUAAUCUUCCAAUCCAUUUUACAAUGGACUUAACAAAUGGGCUCAAUCUCUAAACUUCAUUUUCUUUUGCUAACCCAUGGCCAUUAGCCAGAAAGCCUAAAACAAUUUUAGGAUCACAUGUGUAAAUGGAACCCCAAGAUUGAUCAAGAAUUAACAAGACAAGAUGAAGAGAUGAUCUUGUAACUAAGAAUGAAGAAAUUGAAUCAAGACAGUACUCUAGUAAAACCCAGAAAACAGAGCUUGAAGAAUCACGCACAAAGCAGUAAAUUUGUAAAACCAGAAUUGGAGCUUCACUUCUCAAGAUAGACGAAACAGGAUACAAUCUAGCUUUGGUCAACUUCGUUUGGCCACGUCAUAAAGUCUUCCCCCACAGUCUUUCCCGCCAAAACAGAAAAGCUUUAAAAGCCAUUUACCCUCCUGAGUUACUUGCUCCUAUUACAUCAAGGCCCUGUAAGUCUAUAUUUAUUAUUACAAAAGCACCCUUAAACCGAGAUUUGAGAUAUUUUUUCAAAGAUCGAAGCGCAUGAUUUCACGGCUAUGUUGCAUAGUGAAUUUUAGUGCUUUACAGUUAAGGGAUAGUUUAAAUUCAUUACAAAGCAUUCGCAAAGAAAUUGUUUUUAAAUGAAACUCCUCGUCUUGACCAGAUUAUUUAUUAUUAUUAAAAAAAAAAUGUUCAAAACUUAGCCAAAGUGAUAAACUCGUAAUUAUUCUACAAAGGGAACAAUUUUGAACGGUGGGAAAUUCCAUAAUUAUGCUUUUCUGUGAAUUAUUUUAAAUAAAAUUAUAAAAAUUAAUAUAAAAUUAUAAUAAUGAUAGAGCCACAAACUCUUGUACAAAUUUAUUUUAUACAAACUCAUGUGGCAUGAUAAGAUUGGUUGAAUUAAAUAUUACUUGGCCCACAUGAUUUGUUUUUAUUAUUUUAUAUUUUUAUUCAACCAAUAAAUUAAUACCACGUCAGUUUGUACAAAAUAAAUUUAUACAAAAAUUUGUGACUCGAUCAUCACUCAUAAAAUUAAUACCCGGUAAAGACUGUAGAGAGACAAGUGCCCCCAACAGAAUCAAGUGAAUAUGCCCCACAAAGAUCACAUGAUCAUUUCUGUUCUUUUUCUUUUUGAUAAUUUUAUCUGUGGUUUCAACUUUUAUGCUUUAUUGUCGUAUCCCGUUGAGGGCUCCGCUGCACCCAUUACAACUUACCCCUAAAUUGCCUCUUACUAACUAAACCGUUAGAUUUUAUGGAAGCACGUUCAAUGUUGAAUUUUAAUUAUGUCAUCGAAUUUCGUUUAGCUCCUUAAACUCCAUUUUAUUUGUAAUUUCUUCAUAAAAUAUUCAAAGCUUCAUCAAGCUCCUGAUGGACCAUCAUGGCUAGGGGUGCAUUAGAGCCGAACUGAAAUAUGUUAGUUCAGUUCAGUUUGGUCAGUUUAAAUCGAAUGGUUUAGAAUAUAUAAACUGAUCAAUUUUAAUUUUGAAUUGAACCGAACCGAAAAUCAAUUGGUUCACUAUUAGUAUUUUUGUAUAAACAAGAAUGAUUAGUGAUUAUAAUUAAAUUGGACUAAAAAAAAUUCAAACUAAGGUGAAAAAUAUCAAAUCUUAGACAAUAUAAAAAAAAAUAUUAAAUUUUUUUAACCGAAACGAACCGAAUUAUUUUGACUCAGUUUGGUUCAUAAUUUUUUAAACCAAACUGAUUUAUUCCCACCCCCUAAUCGUGGCUCUCUAUCUUUAGUCAUUCACCCUUGAGUUUGAUGCCAAUUGUUGGGUUUCAAAUGAUUAUACACUCAAAUGGAACCCUCAUAACAAAAAACUAACAGAAACAAUAAGAACACGAUGUUAAAAUCUUAAAUCAAUCGCAAAAAAGCACCCAAAACAGAUCGAUUAGGAACAGUUAAGAACAAAAGAUUUGAUGGUUCAAAAUCAUAAUGUGACCUACGUACUUUCAUCCAAGAAUCAUACUAAUUGCUUUACUAGUUGUCAAACUCAAGAUCACAAGAUUGUUUAUCACUCUACAUAAAAAUUUUUUUUAGAAGAAAUACUCCCCAAUUUUUCUCUUAAUAGUUAUGAAUCAACACCCCUAGGAAGCCUGUUGAUUUACUUUUCCUUAUUUCCUAUGAUCGGUUGCUGCAACUUAAUCCUUGCCAAGCUCCAACAUAGUCCAAACACUUUUAACGGUACAGGCAUAGUGCACCUUCAGAAACUUUACAGCUCCUCUUAAAACCUCAGGCAUCGUAAGCACAUUAAGCAGCCGACAACACUCUUCUUCAUUUCUUCAUUGUCAAUUUCCUUCUUGGAACAUUGCUCCAUUGAGAGUCUGCUAGAAUUGCUCCAAUUAUUAUUAUUAUUUAAAAAAAAAAGAAAACCCUGCAAUAAGAGUAUAAGACUAAGCAACGGUCCUUUUUUUUUCCCCAUUCUUGAACCUAAAGUAUUUGAGUAUGCAAAUUAAUAAAUAAAUUCAUUUAUUUUUAUUAAAAUUUUGUAAAAUUAUAAUUUUUAAUAAAAAUAAUUAUUAAAAUUUUGUAAAAUCUAAAUUUAGAAAAAUUCAGUUGGGCACCUCUAUUUGAGAUUUAUUUUUUAUUAAAUUUAGGGAUAUUUUUAUAAUUAUAAUUUUUAAUUUUAAAAGUUUUUAUAAGAUAAAAUAGUCUUUUAAUUUAUUUAGGGGGUAAAAUUGGUGUUUUAUUAAAAUUAUUUAAUUGUGUUAAUGCAAAAGUGGCUAUUUGAUACAAAUGUGAAAAGAAAGGUGGUGCAAAAUAUAUGUUAAAAUUUUAUAUUGGUUGGAUGAACAUAAGCUAAAAUAAAGGUGGUGCAAUGAUAAUUUCCCUAUCCUAAAACUUAAUUGACUUAAUUCUUACGGUGCAAGGAAGAGGUUUCCAAGUUUAAAUCUAAAGGCUUGUAUUUAAUUUGGGGUUGGGAAAGCACUGAGAAAUAAAUGUAACUAAGGAAAAAAAAAAAGUCACGCAGUCCAAAUAAGUAGAUAUAUUUAAUAUGAGGUGGGGAUGGGUGAACUGUAAUUCAGAAAAAAAUAAAAUAAAAUUUUAUAUAAAGUUGAGGGUGUGUUUUAAUGGUUUCUUAUGCUGCGUUUAUUUUUUGGACUAGAGUGAGAAUUCUAAAAAGUGAGAAUCCUAUGAUUAGGUGUGUGGAGUGGGAGUGGGAGUAUGGUAUUUACUUAGACUAAAUAAAAGUAUGGAUUGUCAAUCAGAAUCUCAAUUAUUUGUUACUUUGUCUUGGAUUGAGAGUAAAUUAUUUUAAAUUACAAUUUUAUCCUUAUGUAAAGAAUUAUAAUUUGUAAUUAAAAAAUUAAUAAAAAUAUAUUGGAAAAUAAAAUAAAUAUUUUAUUAUAUUUAUAAAAUAAUAAUAAUUAAUAAAAUUCUUAAUUAUGUAAAUCAUAAUUUUUUAUUAAUUUAAAUUUAAAUUAUGUGAAUAAAAUUAUUAAUAAUAGCAACACAAAUGAAACAUUAUUAUUAAUAAUAUAGUAUAAAAUUAAUAUUUUUUUAGAAUAAAAUAUUUAUUAUUAUUAAAUAAAUAAAUAAUAUUUAUUAAAAUUAAUGUUUAAUAUUAUUAAUUUAAAUAUAAUAUUUAUUUAUUUUUAUUUUAUUUUAUUAAAUUUAAUAAAAUAAAUAUGUUAUAAUUAUUAUUUUUAAUAAAUAUGAUAUUAUUUAUUUUAUUAAAUAUUAUUUAUUUAUUUUAAUUAUGAGGGUAAAAAUGGAAGAGGGGGAGUGGAUUCCCACUCCCACCUCCCCCCAUGGGAGUGGGAAUCCCACUCUCCCCUUAAAAAUGGUAAGUAAAUAUUAGAAUGGGAAGAAUCUACACUCUACACUUUCUAGAAAAUAAACACUACCUUUAUUUAAAUCGAUUUGUUGGAUAUUUAGCUAAAAUGAGAGUAGCUCUCUAAUAAUUAUUGCAUUAUUACAAACAUAUCCAACGGUUAUAAUAGCGCGCUGAAUCAAUGCUUCAGAAGGAUGACAGUCUGAGUGAAAAGGAAAUAAACGCUUUCAAUUGAAUUACUACCACUACACUCCAAUACUCUAUUAUUGUUUGUGUGCUUGCUUGUGGACCUUUUUACUUCUUACUAUCAUUAUUGAAUUCCAUUUCCAAAUUUUCAGCAUACUUUUGCUUUCUUUCAGUAUCUUCAGUUUCUCUUUUGCUUGCUAUCAAUUCAGUUUUCUUCUUGUGAAGAUCGAACGGAACCAUGGUUGCUGUGGGAGAGAUCUUACUCAACGCCUUCUUUCAGGUGUUGUUUGACAGGUUGGCUUCCCGUGAUUUGCUCAGCUUUGUCCGUCAACUUGGAGGCGGGGACGAUUCCGAGCUCAAGAAGUGGGAAAGAAAGCUGAAGAUGAUUCAGGCGGUGCUCAACGAUGCAGAGGAGAAGCAACUGACCGACGAGGCCGUGAAGAUGUGGCUGGACGAUCUCCAAGACUUGGCUUAUGACGCUGAGGACAUUCUUGAGGAGUUUGCUACUCAAGCUUUGGAAAGCAAGUUGAUGGCGAAAAAUCAGGAUCGCAUUGGCCAGGUUCUUAGUUUCAUACCGGCUAGUUUGAAUCCGAAUGCUAUUAUGUCCAAUUAUAGCAUGGGAUCCAAGAUUAAAGAUAUUACUAGCCGGUUGGAGCAACUCUGCCAAGAUAGAAUUGAACUUGGGCUGCAACGGAUUGCUGGAGGGGCAUCAUCAACUACUUCUGCUGCACAUCAGAGGCGAGACAGUUCGAGUGUCCCAACAGAACGUGAAGUAUUUGGAAGAGAAGAAGAUAAGGCCAAAAUUCUUGAUAUGGUAUUGACCGAUACCCCAAGUGAUCGUGCCAACUUUGUUGUAAUACCCAUUGUUGGCAUGGGCGGGAUAGGAAAAACAACUCUUGCCCGGGAGGUCUACAAUGACAAGGCCGUUGAAGAUUCCAAGUUUGAUGUAAAAGCAUGGGUUUGUGUCUCUGAUGUCUUUGAUAUUUUGGGCAUCUCAAAGGCACUUCUCCAGUCAAUCACCUCCGCAGCUAGUGAUCUCAAGACUUUAAAUGAGGUGCAGGUUCAACUGAAAAAAGCAGUUGACGGAAAAAGAUUCUUGCUGGUCUUAGAUGAUGUUUGGAACGAGAACUACAACUUGUGGGAAGACUUAAAAGCUCCGUUCCUGGAUGCUGCACCAAACAGCAAGAUGAUCGUCACCACACGCAAUUCAAGUGUUGCAUCAACAAUGAGACCCAUUGAACAUUUCAAUCUCAAGAGUCUGUUGGAUGACGAUUGCUGGUCCAUUUUUAUAAAGCAUGCAGUUGAAGGUGGAGAUCUUAACGAGGAUCAAAUUUCAGAAUCAUUCCGCAAGAAAGUUGUUGGCAAGUGUGGAGGCUUGCCUCUGGCAGCAAAAACUCUCGGGGGCCUUCUGCGUACGACGAGGCAUGAUGGGUGGGAUGGUAUAUUGGAUAGCAAAAUAUGGGAAUUACAUCAACAUAGCAGCAUUCUCCCUGUGUUAAGAUUGAGUUACCAUCAUCUUCCGUCUCAUUUGAAAAGAUGUUUUGCUUUUUGUGCCAUCUUUCCAAAAGAUUAUGAAUUCACUGAGAAGGAGCUGACUUUCUUAUGGAUGGCUGGAGGUAUUAUUCGACAGUCAAGAAACAAUGAGCAGCUGGAAGAUUUGGGCAGCAAGUGCUUUGGUGAUCUAGUGUCAAGGUCAAUUUUUCAACAAACAGCAAUCUCUGAUAGUUCUAAAUUUGUAAUGCACGACCUUAUCCAUGAUCUUGCUGAAUUGGUCUCUGGAGGAACCAUAUUUAGGUCAGAGGAGGCCAAUACUCUAUCAAGAAGAUUUGAAAGGGUUCGCCAUUCUUCCUAUACCCGUGAUUGGUAUGAUGGUAAAAAUAAGUUCGAGGUUUUCAAUGAAAUUGAACAUCUACGAACAUUCUUGCCGUUAAGAGGUAACUAUUGUACUAGUUACAUAACUCGACCGAUUCUAUCUGAUAUGCUGCCAAAGUUCAAAAGGUUGAGAACGCUAUCUUUACAAGGAUACUGUAUUGGUGAGUUACCAAUUCCAUUUGAAGAUUUGAGACUUUUAAGGUUCCUCAACCUUGCUGACACUGACAUAAGAAGUUUACCUGACUCAACAUGCAAAUUGCUGAACUUGGAAAUUCUGAUAUUAAGAAAUUGUUCCCGUUUGAUAAAGCUUCCGCAGAAAAUGAGGAAUUUGAUCAAUUUAUGCCAUCUGGAUAUAAGAGGUGCGAAGUUGCUGAAGGAGAUGCCAGUCGGAAUGAAAGAGCUGAAGAAGCUUCAAACAUUGUCCAAUUUUAUUGUAGGCAAGGGUGAAUCCGCAUCUGGUUUGGAAGAUUUAAAAAGUUUAAACCUUCUUUGUGAUGAACUUUGCAUUGCUGGAUUAGAGAAUGUGAAUAAUCCACAGAAUGCAAGAGAAGCCGCAUUAUGUGAGAAGCACAAUCUUGAAGCAUUGACUCUAACAUGGUGGCCUCAAUUUGACAGUCCUCGAGGUGUAGUAGUGGAAGAGAAUGUACUUGACGUUUUGCAGCCUCAUAAAUGUAUAAAAAAGGUGGCAAUCAGGAACUAUGGUGGUGCAAGAUUUCCACCUUGGAUAGGAGAUACUUUAUUCUCCAAGAUAGAGCUCCUUGAAUUGAAGAACUGUGACAAUUGUGUGUCUUUGCCAUCGCUUGGCCUAUUGAGUUCACUUAAACACCUUGCUGUUAAAGGGCUGAAGAAACUAAAAAGCAUAGAGUCUGAGGUUUAUGGGGAGGGUUUGUCAAUGCCUUUUCCAUCGUUGGAGGUUCUAAGUUUUGAGAAUUUGCCUGAAUGGGAGUAUUGGGACACCAAUAUCAGAGGAAAUGUGCUCGUUGAAAUGUUUCCUCGUCUCCAUAAACUUUCCAUUGUGGAAUGUCCAAAACUCUCUGGGGAACUGCCUGAGCUCCUGCCCUCCUUGGAGACACUUGUUGUUAUUAAAUGUGAAAAUUUGGUAGUUCCAUUGUCUCGCUAUCCGAUGCUCUGCAGAUUAGAAGUUGAUGAGUGCAAGGAACUAGCGUGCGGGACUCCAAUUGAUUUCAAGUUGAUAAAGUCUGUGACUAUUUCAAAUAGUUCCUUAGACAUGGAUGGAUGCAAGGGGAUGCUAUACGAUGGUCCAGCUAGCUCUUCACUGCCAAAGCCCACGAUUACUACAAAUGUUUUGGAGUUUGGAAAAUUAUUGAAGCCUGGAUUUCAGAUAUUAGAAACGUUGGUAAUUGGCAAUUCUGAACAGCUCAAGUCAUGGAGGCAGCAUGGGGAUUUUCUAGAAGAAUAUAUGGUCGCUCGCCAAAGGUUUAAGAAACCAGUACAAGGGCUGAAUAUGCUCGCUUCCCCUGAAGAGGUAACAAUUGAAGAAAGUUGCGUACGUCUUGUUUUGUUUCCAGAGAUCAAUUUCUUUCCCAGAAAUCUGCGCUCUCUUCUAAUUAACAACAACACUGCUUUCAAAUCCUUACCCGAGGAAAUGAUGGAAAACAAUUCACAACUCGAAAGGUUGUAUAUCAGAGAUUGCGACUCUCUAACAUUCAUCGCAAGACGGAGGCUACCAGCAUCUCUUAAAAGGCUUGAGAUAGAAAAUUGUGAGAAAUUGCAACGUCUGUUCGAUGAUGAAGAGGAUGCUUCUUCUUCUUCUUCUCCUUCAUCCUCGUCUUCCCCAGUGAUGCUGCAACGCCUGAAUAUAAAGAACUGCCCAGAGCUCACCAGUUUAUCAUCGGGUGUCCAAUUCCUUGAGGCGCUUGAAGGCCUCGAGAUAUGGGAUUGUCCAAAGCUGGAGUCAAUACCGGAUGGCCUGCACAAUCUUAAAUGUUUACAGAGCAUUCAUAUAGAUGGAUGUCCAAGUCUUGUUUCCUUGCCCAAUGACAUGCACAAACUGAACUCUCUUCGAGAUUUAAACAUACGGGCGUGUCCAAUAUCGUUUCCAGAAGAAGGUUGUCCUACCAAUCUAACAUCACUUACACUUGGAUAUGUCGAAAUGUAUAAGACACUCGUCCAGUGGGGGUUGCACAGGCUUACCUCUCUUAGAAGCCUCGACAUUUUUGGAUGUGAUGAUGAAGCAGAGUGUUUUCCAGACGAGGAGAUAGGAAUGACGCUGCCCACCUCUCUCACUCAUCUGCACCUUUUUGAUUUCGAAAAAUUGAGAUCUCUGUCUUCGACGGGUUUUCAGAGCCUCACCUCUCUUCAAUCUUUGGAUAUCUGGUUUUGCCCAAAUCUCACAUCAUUCCCAAAGGUGGGCUUUCCAUCCUCACUUGUGGAAUUACGCAUUAGAGAUUGUCCAAAGCUUAAAAAAGCGUGCAAAAGAGAUCAAGGAAAAGAGUGGCCCAAAAUUGCUCACAUCCCUUGCGUUGAGAUAGACGAUAAAUUCAUAUACCAUCCAAAAUCAGAGGUGUAGAGUGUAUUAUUAAGGUCAGUUGAUUUAUGUUAUCCACCAUAACAAGCUCCUCCUUUUUUUUUAAAUAAUAAUUUUGCAGUCACUCGCGUGAUUCCGUUUUCACAAGUCAGAUUGUAUGUUGAGGCUAUUUGCCUUUUAAUCGCAGAUUAAAUUAUAACACUUAUCUUAAAAUUUAAUACCAUAGACAGAUAGACGAUUUUUUAAUCCAAAGUUUUUUUAUUCACUUCAGUUAGCAUUUUUUUUUUCCCCAAAUCAUGCAAGCCGAGAGUUUCAAUCAACAGAAUUUUAUUCACUCAUUGACUUUUCAACUGCUGUGGUUAUUUAUGGGUGAAAGAUAAAUUUCUUAGAUGGUAGAUAUAUCGACAUUUUAGAUUUCAGAUAUUUGUCACCAAUUUCAUUCCUUUUUUUAAAAUUUUUUUUAAGCAAGUUUGACUAAUUUUAACCAGAAUUGGAGUAUAAUAUUUUGGAGCAAGCAUACUUGAAAUUUCUGUCUUCAAUUUUUUUGAUGCUUUUUUAAUUUUGAUCUAGUAAAAAUACAUAGCCUUCACCGGCAGGAUUCUAGUCUUGGCUUUCACCUCUCUAACUCAUCUGUCCCUAUUGGGAUUCCAGAAAUUUAAAUUUCUGUCUUCAAUGGGUUUUCAAAGCCUCACCUCUCUUCGAUUUUUGUGGAUUGGGAAUUGCACAAAUCUCACAUCAUUUCCCGAGGUCGAGGAAAAGAGCGGCCCAAACUAUCAGCGGUGUUGAUUCUCUUAUUAAGGUCAGCUGAUUUCUAUUAUCCACUCUGACAAUCUCCUAUUAGUGUUUUUUUUUUAAAAAAUUUGCAGUUCUGUAUAAUUGAAAUGCCACUCACUUGUUUCCUUCUUCACAGGUCAGAUAGUAUGUUAAAGCUAUUAGUGCUGCCUCAUAGGUUGAUUACUCACAGAUGAAAUCAUAACUUUUAUCUUAAAAUUUAAUAGCAUACACAGAUAGACGAUUUUUAGUCCAAAGUUUUUUUUAUUCACUUCAAUCAAAAUUUUAGAUUGCAGAUUUUUGUCGAGUAUUUUCAUUCCAAUUUUUUCAUUUUUUAUUUUAAACCAGAAUUGGAGUAUAAAAUUUUGGAGCGCGCAUACUCUGAUGCAUGCAAUUAACUGUUUUUAAUCGUUGGAUUUUGAAAUUAAUGAUGGUAAGAUGUGUACUUAUUCUUUCUUCCAACAACCUUGCCUUCUUUCUUCGGUCGCAUAUCUAAUGAAUAUUUCUCUGUUUAGUUAAGGAUGAAUGCUUGGAGUGGGGUACUUGGUAACAUUUCUGCCUUAGAUGAAUCCUUGAAGAAAUGCCCGCAGUUCCUGAGACCAAAUACAGGUCUGAUUCAAAACAGCACCUUUCCCAGAAAAUAUGAUCCAAGGCAAAGUCAUGUUCUGAUAAUGUUUCCUUAAGUACUAAGUUGCAAGGAAACUUGAUUCAUUAACUACAGUUUUUUAUUUUUAGGACCUUGUAUCUGAAAGGUUCAGUGUUUUUUUUUUUCAAAUUUAUUGUUCAGAUCUCAGAGGAGUAUAUGGUUUAGAUUACAAAACACCCAUGAUUAAUUUCAUUUUUUUUUUAAUUUCAGGGAGAAGAAGUGGUCAGUUUCAAUCCGGAAUUGGAAUAUGGCAAUUUGGUUCAAGCAAACACACCUGGUCACUUGGUCAGUGGUCACUUGGUCAGCGAACCUGAACUUUACGCAGUUUUUUCAACUCAGUGAUUUUUGGAACGCAUAUUGGUGUAAGGAAAUCAAAAGAAAUUUAUGCAUUGUCAAAUUCUGAUAUUUGCUAUAUAUUAUACAUUCUAAAGUUUCUCCAGUUUGUUCUCAGAUUACCAUCAUUUUUUGCUUUCACCAACCAAACAAAAACAAAAUGAGUGGCUUUCCGGUGGAUAUUUAAUCGGAGGUAUGACUGGAUUUUUUUCACUUCUGUAAAUCUUGCAUUUUAAACUGGCAAAUUUAACUUUAAUUUUAAUAGGACUUUGUUGGUACCUUGUGUUCCAGAAACUAGAAAGAUGUGUAGUUUUCAGAUAAAGGGGCUUGUAAAUUCUCUAGUAAGAAUCCAAUAAUUUGCUUUUGCACGUUCAUUUUAUUUGUGGAUCCUUGCAUCUGAAUUUGAUCAAUCCAAAAGGAAUUGCUUUUAGACAGAAGAAGAAUAGCAGUACCUAGCCUAUGACAUAGUAUAUGGACCUGCAAACCUGAAACUAUUAGUUUGAGGUAAAAAAUUCAUGACCCUCACAUGUUAACUUCUUCUAGUUACUUUCAUGAAAAACACAUUUAAGAAAUUUGCAAUUUUUUGUUAGUUUCGUAUCCGAUGUUGUUUUCUGUUUUAGCAUUUGUAGAAUCUACUGUAUUAUAUUUUGGCAGUUGCAGUAUCUGAGGUAUGUUUUGCAUUUAACUUGCUUUGUUUGUUUUGCUUGUGACUUAAGAACACCAAUAUUUGCCAGAGAUUUAGAGAAGCAUAUCAAGAUGCUUGGCAAACUUGACAAACUUCAAGAUCCUCCAUUCUUCACAACGCAAAACUUGUGAGUACACCUAUGCCCGCAAUUAUUGUGAAAUGCUUGCAAUUUUGAUGCACUGAAAUGGUUUGUUGAUGCAAAGGUUUAAACUUUUAAGAUUCACCCUGCAGGGUAGUUGGAUGCUGUAUAAUCGAAAAGCGACCAACAUCAAGAAUUAUGACUCCAAGACCGGGUUUGCAUUAAUUCAAUCAGCUGAAAUCAUGAUGCAAAUGACACUAUCAGCUGGACUUAGAGACCAGUCAGAUCAAUCAUCCUUUUAUCAACAGUUAAUGUCAUGAUGGUGGCUAUCGGAGGAAACAAAGGAUGUGUCGGAAUCAAUAUGAACAGUGAGAAGAAUGAGAGGAGCUUUGAUUACAAGUAGGCUCAAUGAACUCAUGCUGGUAAGUGGUAAUUAAAGAAAUUUGUACGCUUAGUAGAGUUUCAAUAUUUUCUGUUUGGGAUAUAGUUGAUAAUUUGAUACUCUGAUUAAGAAGCCUGAUUAUAGUAGCUGACUUUUUUUUUGUGGUUUGCUGUUGUUUAUUCUUUCGAUUAAUUUCAACAUUAGGUUGAUCUGUUGAAGAACAAACUUGGGUUUGAUUAUGCUUUAACUACAAGGAAGAGCCAGGCUUGGAUGCAGGCGUUCAGCUUUUAAUGGGUAAGAACAUAUGUAUGCUUUAACCAUGUUUCUCACUUAUUACAAUGCAUGCAUUGAAGGCAUCUGAGCUGAUCCUGAAAAUGUGAUGGAAAUACUUCUCUGUUUACAUAAAACAGGACAAGAGAUCUCUGAUCAUGCCUGAGAAUUCGUUGCAUUUAAAAUUUCUACCAUUGCCAAAAAUAGAAUAAACUAGGGAUAGAUUAGCUUAAGACUCAAUUUUGAGAAGGAAGUUUGCACAUGCAGCCUAAAAAAUCAUGUCCGUGUUGUAUACUUGUAUGUUUCUUUGGGAAAUGAAAGAUUCUGUGUGUUCUUUUGUUUCAAGUUUGCUGAAAUCACAUUUGUUUUCUUAGAUGCUUUUGGGAAGGUAACAACAUCAAUUUCAUAAAUGCUGGGGUAAGAUGCAUCACGCAGUGCUACUCAACAUGAGAAUUCCCGGCCGCAUUACCUGUAUGUUGAGUGAUCGCACAGUACAACCUUUAGAAGCUUGUAAGGAGUAGACAACUAGAUGCGAAUAGUUUCAAUAUGGAUUCGCAUCAAAUGAUCUCUUGCCAGUGAUUACUAUAACCCCUAUCCCAAAAUUCUUGGCAUUGGUCAUACCAAUAAUGAAGUAUUGUGUACGUUGAAGACAUAGCUCAAGGCCUUGCGAAAGCUCCGUCAGCCUUUGUAUUGGAAAACAGUUGGUUGUAGUUGCUUCUGAGUGAUAUUAUUAAUAGAUACUGUAAAAAUGAACUGUGCCACUCAUUUUCAGAGCCCUGUUAAGAUGUGUUGGUAAUGUGUUUGAAGGUUGUUUGAUUUAUGUUGUAUUCAGCUACAAAUCAAAGAUUCAGAACAUGGUUAUGUUACUGGUUUCCAAAUCAAAAAAAUGCCUUGUGAUGUUAGUGUUCAUUUUUUUCACAGGAGAUCAGGUUCCCUGUUGAUGAAUCAAGAAGGCAAACGCAUCCAUGUCUUAAGUUCAAAUGUGUCUCUUCUAUUUUCUAUUACUGACUCCUUUAUUUUGAUUUCUUCAUUGUAAUGGAAUUGGUUUUUUAUUCCAAAUUAGUCAAAACCUCCUAGAGUCAUUAAGUUCUGUUAGCAUUUGAAGAUAGAACUAGAACUAAAUGAUUGACUGGAUUAAAUUCCGAUAAAGAAUUAAGUUAUAUAUUUAGAGAUAUUAUGUUUUUUUUUUUUUCAUUUGUUCAAUUUGGUUAGUGGUGAUUUCUUAAAGACUCAAUCCAUGUGCGUUUAUGCAUUUUUCUUUUGCCUUAAUUUCUGUUUCUUGGGGAGUUUAUACAGAUUCUUAUUUUAUGCUUCACAUGCCACAUGAAAGAUCGAAGCCUUUUGUGUGAUUAGAACUGACUUGCAUCACAGUAACUUUAAAUCACUGCGACAUUUUUAUAAUAACAGUCUGAGAUCUCCCUGCAGGAUUCAAAGCAUUUUAUUUUAUAUUAAACUCCUUUACGUGGGUUUGGACACUACCACAAGUUCUUUAAAUACUAAAACGAUUUUAAGUCUUUUGUAUCAUCUGAUUUAAAUACAUGAAAGCACUCGUGGCUGCAAAAAUACAGUUGGGGCUAUUUCUAAAGUCUUCAACAGCAUUUUCUUUUUAACCUUUAUCCUCAUGGUUGUUUUUGCAGUUGUUCUUUAAGAAAACAUUUAAAAGGUUCUCUUUAUGGAUUUUUGAAAAUAAUUUUAACAUGAGCAAUUUUCAGAAGCACUUUAGAUGUCUGGCAUUUAGGAAAUUUUAUUUCGGUGUCACAUAAAAUACUUAGGAAGUUAAAUUUAUUUAUUUAUGAGCAUGUGCCAGUGCCCAGUGGCAUCCUCUUCACUUGUGAUAGUCAAAUGUAUUAUACGAUACAAUAUUAGCUUGACUGUAGCACAGAGGAGAAUAGGGUUGGUGUUGGUCUGAACCAGCUUAUGUAACAGCUGCCAAAGGAUAAUUUAAUUGUACUUUGAGUAAAGCUUUUGCGAAUUAAACAAGUGAUAAUUUGUUUUUAUUAAGAAAAACUUAAGGAAUUAGGCUAUUUUAACUGACCAAAUUACACAUUAAAAAUUCAUUUACAAAAAUAGUUUUUAGUUAUUAAAAUAUUCCUAAAUUAAAUUAUAAUUAUGGACACUAAAAUAUUUUUUUUAUAUUUUACUCUUUGAAACUGUCUUUAUAUUCGAUAUUAUAUUUUUUUCUUAAACUCUAAAUUGAUUUUUUUUUUUGAUUAAUUUUAAAACACCUAUAAAGUGAUUCAUAUUGAUUUUAUACUAACAAACUAUUAUAGCACAUUCGAAAAAUAAUUAAAUCGUUCUUAUUUACAUAGUGAAAAUGCAAAUAGCUCGUUCAAAUGUUAAGGAAUUGGAGAGCUGCUGCUGGAGAUGAAAGAUGUGAAUUAAACAUCAGAAAAAAAAUUAUGUUUACUAUCUUGCCAGACCAAGCACCGAAAAGCAUCGUAAAGAAAAAUUAGAUAAUUUAGAAGAUAAAGCACGUGGAAUGGAGGCAGAAAGCAAGUAAUGAUAACUCUUUCGACAAACUAAUAUAUACCAAAAUGCAAUAUCAAAAAUGAAAAUAAAAAUUCAUUACGAAUACGUGUUAAAGAUAUCCCAAGUAUAGAUGUGACUGAAAUAUUUGAGAUUGAAGAAGAAUUAAGACUCAAAAUCAAUUGGGAGGAAUAAAUGAGAAACCUCAAUACCAAAAAAUACACGCGCAAAUCCUAAUACUAAUUGUAAUUGCAGAUAAAUAGCAUAAUACGAAUAAAUUCCAUGGGCAACUAUUUCAUUGAGAAAUUAAUUAAAUCGUGUAUUAAUAUUUUGUAUACAUAUAUUUUUCUAUAUAUGACUUUCGGUAAUUUAAUUUUCCACUUAUCAUUUUUACUCCAAAAAAAUAAUUGAGAAUAUUAUUUAUGUUUUGGUGCAAAAUAUUUGAACAAUAUACAAAUUUUCAGUUUAAUAAAUCUAAACAUCUAUUAAGUUAUAAAUGAAUUUAAUGGGUUUAAUUAAUAAAAUUACUAUUAUUAUAUAAAUUGGAUUUAGUAAUGGUACAUUGGGUGGGUUUGUUGAGUAAAUUUUAAAAUUUUGAAAUUUAAGGAUGGGUUUAUUUAGUAAAUGAGUUAAGGGAGUAGUUUGUUGGGAUUCACAUAACGCCACCAAAUUCAAAUGUAAAAUUUAUGGAAAAAGAAGCUAUUGAGUUAUUCUUUUUAAAAAAAGAAUUAAAAUGUCAAGAAUACCUUUAUUUAAUUUUAUAAUCUUAUUUUAUAGUCAUAUUUUAUUUCCACCUUAACAUAAUUUUAAAAAACCUUAACUAAUAAAUUCUAUAUUUUUUUUAUAAAAGUUAUCAUUAAUAUCCAAACGGCUAAAGAUUUUUUUUUUUAAAAAAAAAGAAACUAUGCUUACAAAAGUUGUAUACAUUAACAAUAAAUUUAGUCCAAAGAAUAAAGUUAUUCCAAACAAGCACUCCUAUUCAUCUUGCUAAUGAAUCAAGAUGACUGAAUCCAUUCUCUAAGCCAAAUCUAUUUUCACUUCUAGGUCAGAAAUUGUCAUUAAAAAAGUGUUUGAUAAAAUAUGCUCUGGGAACACUAAUUCGUCAGAUGGUUACUCCAAGUUUAUGAAAUCAAUGGGGUUUCAUCAUAUUCAUAACAUUCUUCUUUAAUGUCUAUUCUAACAAAGAAAUUACUAGAAAACUUUUACUAGAAAAACUAACCACAAUUCAUCAUUCAUUUAUAUCUUAAGUAAGCGUAAGAUUUUAUCAUUAAAAUCUCAUCAUGAAAAAACUCAUGGGAGAAAAACUAUAAAAAUUGAAGAAAAAAGAGUAUGGCGUGCAUGUAAAUUAUAUCGAUUUUAUCUAUAUGACAAAUAAGACUCUCUUUUACAAUGGCACGGAUGCUUCAUUGAGUAAUCAUGAUUCUUGCUGGUAGUGCUUUGUUGUAUCAAUCUGCUAGCUAUUCAGCUUUCUUUCUUUCUUUCUUCUUUUUAUUUUUUUUGUUUUCAAAUAGCUUGUGGUUGUAGAAAUAUUUCAAUUAAACUAUACUUAAGUACUUAUUUGGUAUAACUUCUUUACUAGCCAAAAGAUUUUUUUUUUGGUUUUUUAUAAUUUAAUUAUACUUUAACUAGAGUUUUUGGGAUUAAACAAGUGAUAAUUUCUCUCUGUUAAGAAAAACUCAAACGGUAGGGUUAUCUCAAUCCACCAAACUAUUUAUUAAAAAUCCACUUAUGAAAAUAAUUUUUAAUUAUUAGAAUGCCUCUAAAUUAAAUUACAAUUAUAGACACUAAAAUAUAGUAAAAAAAAUUUUUUUUUACUCUUUAAAACUGUCUUUACAUUCGAUAUCAUAUCUUUUUCUUAAAAUCUAAAUUGAUUUUUUUUUUAUUAAUCUCAGAACACAUAUGAAGUGAUUCAUAUUGGUUUUAUACUAACAAACUAUCAUAGCACAUUCGAAAAUAAUUAACUCGUUCUUAUUUGCAUAGUGAAAAGGCAAAUAGUUCAUCCAAAUGUUAAAGAAUUGGAGAGCUGCUGCUGGAGAUGAAAGAUGUGAAAAGCAUGGUAAAGAAAAAUUACAUAAUUCUCACUUAGAUGAGGAAGAAAAAAAAAAGAAUACAAUUAGAAUGAGAGGUAGCCAAUAGCCACUAGCCGCCGCCACCGCCACCAGUGAAACUAUUUCACAUAAUAGAAGAUAAAGCACGCGUAAUGGAGGCAAAAAGCAAUUAAUGAUAACUCUUUUCGACACACUAAUACAUAUCAAAAUGCAAUAUCGGUCCUAACAAAAUGAAAAUAAAAAUUCAUUACGAAUAUGCGUUAAACAUAUCCCAAGUAUUGAUGAUGUGAUUGAAAUAUUUGAGAUUGAAGUAUAAAUAAGACUCAAAAUUAAUUGAGAGGAAUAAAUGAGAAACUCUAAUACUAAUAAAAUACAUUCACAAAUCCUAAUGCUAAUUAAAAUCACGGAUUAAAAAAAAUAAUAUGAAUGAAUUACAGGCGCAACUGUUUCAUUAAGAAAUUAAUUAAAUCGUGUAUUAAUAUUUUGUACACAUACAUUUUUCCAUAUAUAACUUUUGGUAAUUUAGUUUUCCACUUAUCAUUUUACUCCAAAAAAAUAAUUGAGAAUAUUAUUUAUGUUUUGGUGCAAAAUAUUUAAACAACGUAUAAAUUUUCAGUUUAAUAAAUCUAAACAUUUCUCAAGUUGUAAAUGAAUUUAAUGGGUUUAGUUAGUAAAAAUGCUAUUAUUAUAUAAAUUGGGUUUAGUAAUGGUAUAUUGGGCAUUUAAAUGGGUUUGUUGAGUAAAUUUUAAAAUUUUAAAAUUUAAGGGUGGGUUUAUUUUAGUAAAUGGGUUAAGGCAGCAAUUUCCCAAACUAAAAUUUUUAGAAAAAGAGGCUAUUUAGUUUUUUUUUUUAAAAAGAAUUAAGAUGUUGAGAAUACCUUUAUUUACUUUUAUAAUCUUAUUUUAAAAAAUUUACCCAAUAAAUUUUAUAAUUUUUUACAAAAAUUAUCAUUAACAUCCAAACAGCUAAAGAUUAAAAAAAAAAAAAAAGAAGGGAACUGUACUAGCAAAAGUUAGAUUAACAAUAAAUUUAGUCCAAAGAAUAAAGUUAUAGCUAAAAAGUGCUCCUAUCCUAUUUUUCUCUAUUUUAACAAUAAUCUUCCAAUCCAUUUUACAAUGGACUUAACAAAUGGGCUCAAUCUCUAAACUUCAUUUUCUUUUGCUAACCCAUGGCCAUUAGCCAGAAAGCCUAAAACAAUUUUAGGAUCACAUGUGUAAAUGGAACUCCAAGAUUGAUCAAGAAUUAACAAGACAAGAUGAAGAGAUGAUCUUGUAACUAAGAAUGAAGAAAUUGAAUCAAGACAGUACUCUAGUAAAACCCAGAAAACAGAGCUUGAAGAAUCACGCACAAAGCAGUAAAUUUGUAAAACCAGAAUUGGAGCUUCACUUCUCAAGAUAGACGAAACAGGAUACAAUCUAGCUUUGGUCAACUUCGUUUGGCCACGUCAUAAAGUCUUCCCCCACAGUCUUUCCCGCCAAAACAGAAAAGCUUUAAAAGCCAUUUACCCUCCUGAGUUACUUGCUCCUAUUACAUCAAGGCCCUGUAAGUCUAUAUUUAUUAUUACAAAAGCACCCUUAAACCGAGAUUUGAGAUAUUUUUUCAAAGAUCGAAGCGCAUGAUUUCACGGCUAUGUUGCAUAGUGAAUUUUAGUGCUUUACAGUUAAGGGAUAGUUUAAAUUCAUUACAAAGCAUUCGCAAAGAAAUUGUUUUUAAAUGAAACUCCUCGUCUUGACCAGAUUAUUUAUUAUUAUUAAAAAAAAAUGUUCAAAACUUAGCCAAAGUGAUAAACUCGUAAUUAUUCUACAAAGGGAACAAUUUUGAACGGUGGGAAAUUCCAUAAUUAUGCUUUUCUGUGAAUUAUUUUAAAUAAAAUUAUAAAAAUUAAUAUAAAAUUAUAAUAAUGAUAGAGCCACAAAUUCUUGUACAAAUUUAUUUUAUACAAACUCAUGUGGCAUGAUAAGAUUGGUUGAAUUAAAUAUUACUUGGCCCACAUGAUUUGUUUUUAUUAUUUUAUAUUUUUAUUCAACCAAUAAAUUAAUACCACGUCAGUUUGUACAAAAUAAAUUUAUACAAAAAUUUGUGACUCGAUCAUCACUCAUAAAAUUAAUACCCGGUAAAGACUGUAGAGAGACAAGUGCCCCCAACAGAAUCAAGUGAAUAUGCCCCACAAAGAUCACAUGAUCAUUUCUGUUCUUUUUCUUUUUGAUAAUUUUAUCUGUGGUUUCAACUUUUAUGCUUUAUUGUCGUAUCCCGUUGAGGGCUCCGCUGCACCCAUUACAACUUACCCCUAAAUUGCCUCUUACUAACUAAACCGUUAGAUUUUAUGGAAGCACGUUCAAUGUUGAAUUUUAAUUAUGUCAUCGAAUUUCGUUUAGCUCCUUAAACUCCAUUUUAUUUGUAAUUUCUUCAUAAAAUAUUCAAAGCUUCAUCAAGCUCCUGAUGGACCAUCAUGGCUAGGGGUGCAUUAGAGCCGAACUGAAAUAUGUUAGUUCAGUUCAGUUUGGUCAGUUUAAAUCGAAUGGUUUAGAAUAUAUAAACUGAUCAAUUUUAAUUUUGAAUUGAACCGAACCGAAAAUCAAUUGGUUCACUAUUAGUAUUUUUGUAUAAACAAGAAUGAUUAGUGAUUAUAAUUAAAUUGGACUAAAAAAAAUUCAAACUAAGGUGAAAAAUAUCAAAUCUUAGACAAUAUAAAAAAAAAUAUUAAAUUUUUUUAACCGAAACGAACCGAAUUAUUUUGACUCAGUUUGGUUCAUAAUUUUUUAAACCAAACUGAUUUAUUCCCACCCCCUAAUCGUGGCUCUCUAUCUUUAGUCAUUCACCCUUGAGUUUGAUGCCAAUUGUUGGGUUUCAAAUGAUUAUACACUCAAAUGGAACCCUCAUAACAAAAAACUAACAGAAACAAUAAGAACACGAUGUUAAAAUCUUAAAUCAAUCGCAACGGUCCUUUUUUUUCCCCAUUCUUGAACCUAAAGUAUUUGAGUAUGCAAAUUAAUAAAUAAAUUCAUUUAUUUUUAUUAAAAUUUUGUAAAAUUAUAAUUUUUAAUAAAAAUAAUUAUUAAAAUUUUGUAAAAUCUAAAUUUAGAAAAAUUCAGUUGGGCACCUCUAUUUGAGAUUUAUUUUUUAUUAAAUUUAGGGAUAUUUUUAUAAUUAUAAUUUUUAAUUUUAAAAGUUUUUAUAAGAUAAAAUAGUCUUUUAAUUUAUUUAGGGGUAAAAUUGAUGUUUUAUUAAAAUUAUUUAAUUGUGUUAAUGCAAAAGUGACUAUUUGAUACAAAUGUGAAAAGAAAGGUGGUGCAAAAUAUAUGUUAAAAUUUUAUAUUGGUUGGAUGAACAUAAGCUAAAAUAAAGGUGGUGCAAUGAUAAUUUCCCUAUCCUAAAACUUAAUUGACUUAAUUCUUAUGGUGCAAGGAAGAGGUUUCCAAGUUUAAAUCUAAAGGCUUGUAUUUAAUUUGGGGUUGGGAAAGCACUGAGAAAUAAAUGUAACUAAGGAAAAAAAAAAAGUCAUGCAGUCCAAAUAAGUAGACAUAUUUAAUAUGAGGUGGGGAUGGGUGAACUGUAAUUCAGAAAAAAUAAAAUAAAAUUUCAUAUAAAGUUGAGGGUGUGUUUUAAUGGUUUCUUAUGCUGCGUUUACUUUUUGGACUAGAGUGAGAAUUCUGAGAAGUGGGAAUCCUGUGAUUAGGUGUGUGGAGUGGGAAUGAGAGUAGGGUAUUUACUUAGACUAAAUAAAAAUAUGGAUUGUCAAUCAGAAUCUCAAUUAUUUGUUACUUUGUCUUGGAUUGAGAGUAAAUUAUUUUAAAUUACAAUUUUAUCCUUAUGUAAAGAAUUAUAAUUUGUAAUUAAAAAAUUAAUAAAAAUAUAUUGGAAAAUAAAAUAAAUAUUUUAUUAUAUUUAUAAAAUAAUAAUAAUUAAUAAAAUUCUUAAUUAUGUAAAUCAUAAUUUUUUAUUAAUUUAAAUUUAAAUUAUGUGAAUAAAAAUUAUUAAUAAUAGCAACACAAAUGAAACAUUAUUAUUGAUAAUAUAGUAUAAAAUUAAUAUUUUUUUAGAAUAAAAUAUUUAUUAUUAUUAAAUAAAUAAAUAAUAUUUAUUAAAAUUAAUGUUUAAUAUUAUUAAUUUAAAUAUAAUAUUUAUUUAUUUUUAUUUUAUUUUAUUAAAUUUAAUAAAAUAAAUAUGUUAUAAUUAUUAUUUUUAAUAAAUAUGACAUUAUUUAUUUUAUUAAAUAUUAUUUAUUUAUUUUAAUUAUGAGGGUAAAAAUAAAAGAGGGGGAGUGGAUUCCCACUCCCACCUCCCCCCAUGGGAGUGGGAAUCCCACUCUCCCCUUAAAAAUGAUAAGUAAACACUAGAAUGGGAAGAAUCCACACUCUACACUUUCUAAAAAAUAAACACUACCUUAAUUUAAAUUGAUUUGUUGGAUAUUUAGCUAAAAUGAGAGUAGCUCUCUAAUAAUUAUUGCAUUAUUACAAACAUAUCCAACGGUUAUAUAUGCUUGCCUGUGGAAAUAAAAGUCCCAAGUUUCUUUGAAAGGUAAGCUAGUGUGAAUGUUUUCAUCCGUGCAACUUACUUGAUGAAUGAAGUUUUCAUCCCUGACCUUGAUGUUUCUGGUGGCUACAAUCAUUUCAGCUGAUCUAUUCCAUUUUGUUAAGGUGAGAAUUUAGAGUGGCUUUAACUGUUAGCAAAUAGCCUAAUGUAAGACUUGAUCAACUUCCUGCCCUGUUGUAUGCUUAUGAAUUUUGAUAGAGUUAUGAGUUUGCAGAAGCUACUGUAUUAUAUGUUGUUAGAGGCUGUAAAAAUGAGGCAGAUCAAACACACAUUUAAAUUUCAAUGACAAUUUACUAGAAGUAAAUUUCCUAUGACCCUCCAGGUGACUAAUCAAUGAGAACUUGACAAUAACAAAAGAAAGUGUAUGAGCUUUGCAGGCGGGCACGCCAAUCUUGACUGCAUGGCACCAUCCGCCAUUUGCAAGUGAAUAUCAUUAUUGUUUAAUCAACAUGGUGGAGUCCACUGGGACCACACCACAUGGUCAGUCUUAUCUCUAUUCCUCAAUUUUCAGUAUUCCAUACAUCAAAACAAUUUCAGUUUUGUUAUCAAUUAUAAUUUCAUUGUUGGAGACGAUUCUGAUUCCUUUCUUUCUGACAAAACGGAACCAUGGUUGCUGUGGGAGAGAUCUUACUCAACGCCUUCUUUCAGGUGUUGUUUGACAGGUUGGCUUCCCGUGAUUUGCUCAGCUUUGUCCGUCAACUUGGAGGCGGGGUCGAUUCCGAGCUCAAGAAGUGGGAAAGAAAGCUGAAGAUGAUUCAGGCGGUGCUCAACGAUGCAGAGGAGAAGCAACAGACUGACGAGGCUGUGAAGAUGUGGCUGGACGAUCUCCAAGACUUGGCUUAUGACACUGAGGACAUUCUUGAUGAGUUUGCUACUCAAGCCUUGGAAAGCAAGUUGAUGGCGCAAAAUCACGAUAGUUCUGGCCAGGUUCUCAGUUUCAUCCCGGCUGGUUUGAAUCCGAAUGCUAUUAUGUUCAAUUAUAGCAUGGGGUCCAAGAUUAAAGAUAUCACUAGCCGGCUGGAGCAACUCUGCCAAGAAAGAAUUGAACUUGGACUGCAACGGAUUACCGGAGAGGCAUCAUCAACUGCUGCUGCUGCUGCACACCAGAGGCCACCCAGUUCGAGUGUCCCAACAGAACGUGAAGUAUUUGGAAGAGAAGAAGAUAAGGCCAAAAUUCUUGAUAUGGUAUUGGCCGAUACCCCAAGUGAUCAUGCAAACUUUGUUGUAAUACCCAUUGUUGGCAUGGGCGGGAUAGGAAAAACAACUCUUGCCCGGGAAGUCUACAAUGACAAGGCCGUUGAAGAUUCCAAGUUUGAUGUAAAAGCAUGGGUUUGCGUAUCUGACGUCUUUGAUGUUUUGGGCAUCUCAAAGGCACUUCUCGAGUCAAUCACCCGCAGGCCUUGUCUUCUAAACAGUUUAAAUGACGUGCAGGUUGAGCUGAAAGCAGCUGUGGAUAAAAAAAGGUUCCUGCUGGUCUUAGAUGAUGUUUGGAACGAGGACUACAGCUUAUGGGUAGACUUAAAAGCUCCGUUACUGGUUGCUGCACCAAACAGCAAGAUGAUCGUCACCACACGCAAUUCAAGUGUUGCAUCAACAAUGAGACCCAUCGAUCGUCACCACACGCAAUUCAAGUAUUACGAUCUCAAGAGUCUGUUAGAUGAUGAUUGCUGGUCCAUUUUCAUAAACCAUGCAUUUGAAUCUACAGACCUUAGCGCACAUCGAAUUUCAGAAUCAUUCCGCGAGAAAGUUGUUGGCAAGUGUGGGGGCUUGCCUCUAGCAGCAAAAACACUCGGGGGCCUUCUUCGUACUAAAACGCAUGCUGAGUGGGACGGUAUAUUGGAUAGCAAAAUAUGGGAUUUACCUCGGCAAAGCAGCAUUCUCCCCGUGUUAAGAUUGAGUUACCAUCAUCUUCCUUCUCAUUUGAAAAGAUGUUUUGCUUUUUGUGCCAUCUUUCCAAAAGAUUAUGCAUUCACUGAGAGGGAGCUGACUUUCUUAUGGAUGGCUGGAGGUAUUAUUCGACAGUCAAGAAACAAUGAGCAGCUGGAAGAUUUGGGCAGCAAGUGCUUUGGUGAUCUAGUGUCGAGGUCAAUUUUUCAACAAACAGCAAUCUCUGAUAGUUCUAAAUUUGUAAUGCACGACCUUAUCCAUGAUCUUGCUCAAUUGGUCUCUGGAGAAACCAUAUUUAGGUUAGAGGAGGCCAAUACUCUGUCAAGAAGAUUUGAAAGGGUUCGCCAUUCCUCCUAUGCCCGUGAUUGGUGUGAUGGUAGAAAUAAGUUGGAGGUUUUCAAUGAAAUUGAACAUCUACGAACAUUCUUGCCAUUUUGCAUAAGAGGUGGCGUUACUUCUGGUUGGAUAACUAGCACGGUUCACUACGAUUUGUUGCCGAAGUUCAAAAGGUUGAGGAUGCUGUCUUUAGAAGGAUACCAUAUUGGUGAGUUACCAAUUCCAUUUGAAGAUUUGAGACUUUUAAGGUUCCUCAACCUUGCUGACACUGACAUAAGAAGUUUACCUGAGUCAACAUGCAAAUUGUUGAACUUGGAAAUUCUGAUAUUAAGAAAUUGUUCCCGUUUGACAAAGCUUCCCCAGAAAAUGAGGAAUUUGAUCAAUUUACGUCAUCUGGAUAUAAGAGGUGCAAAGCAGCUGAAGGAGAUGCCAUUUGGAAUGAAAGAGUUGAAGAAGCUUCAAACGUUGUCCAAUUUUAUUGUAGGCAAGGGUGAAUCUGCAUCUGGUUUGGAAGAUUUAAAAAGUUUAGACCUUCUAUGUGAUGAACUCUGCAUUGCUGGAUUAGAGAAUGUGAAUAGUCCACAGAAUGCAAGAGAAGCCACAUUAUGUGAGAAGCACAAUCUUGAAGCAUUGACCCUAGAAUGGGGGUCUCAAUCUGACAGUCCUCGGGAUGCAGUACUAGAAGAGAAGGUACUUGACACUCUACAGCCUCAUGAACGUAUAAAAGAGCUGGCAAUCAGGAACUAUGGUGGUGCAAGAUUUCCACCUUGGAUCAGAGAUCCUUCGUUUCCCGAGAUGAAGGUCCUUAAAUUGGAGAACUGUGACGAUUGUGAAUAUCUGCCAUCACUUGGCCUGUUGAGUUCACUUAAGCACCUUGCUGUUAAAGGGCUGAAGAAACUAAAAAGCAUAGGGUCUGAGGUUUAUGGGGAGGGUUUGUCAAUGCCUUUUCCAUCAUUGGAGGUUCUAAGUUUUGAGAAUUUGCCUGAAUGGGAGUAUUGGGACACCAAUAUCAGAGGAAAUGUGCUCGUUGAAAUGUUUCCUCGUCUCCAUAAACUUUCCAUUGUGGAAUGUCCCAAACUCUCUGGGGAACUGCCUGAGCUCCUGCCCUCCUUGGAGACACUUGUUGUUAGUAAAUGUGAAAAGUUGGUAGUUCCAUUGUCUCGCUAUCCGAUGCUCUGCAGAUUAGAAGUUGAUGAGUGCAAGGAACUAGCAUGCGGGACUCCAAUUGAUUUUAAGUUGAUAGAGUCUGUGACUAUUUCAAAUAGUUCCUUAGACAUGAAUGGAUGCAAGGGGAUGCUAUACGAUGGUCCAGCUGGCUCUUCACUGCCAAAGCCUAUGAUUACUACAAAUGUUUCGGAGUUUGGAAAAUUAUUGAAGCCUGGAUGUCAAAUAUUAGAAACUUUAGUAAUUGGCAAUUCUGGACGGCUCAAGUCAUGGAGGCAGCAUGGGGAUUUUCUAGAAGAAUAUAUGGUCGCUCACCAAAGGUUUAAGAAACCAGUACAAGGGCUAAAUAUGCUCGCUUCCCCUGAAGAGGUAACAAUUGAAGAAAGUUGUGUGAGUUUUGUUUUGUUUCCAGAGAUCAAUUUCUUUCCCAGAAAUCUGCGCUCUCUUCUAAUUUGCAACAGCACUGCUUUGAAAUCCUUACCCGAGGAAAUGAUGGAAAACAAUUCACAACUGGAAAGGUUGUAUAUCAGAGAUUGCGACUCUCUAACAUUCAUCGCAAGACAGAGGCUACCAGCAUCUGUUAAAAGGCUUGAGAUAGAAAAUUGUGAGAAAUUGCAACGUCUGUUCGAUGAUGAAGAGGAUGCUUCUUCUUCUUCUUCUUCUCCUUCAUCCUCGUCUUCCCCAGUGAUGCUGCAACACCUGAUAAUAGGGAAAUGCCCAAAGCUCACCAGUUUAUUAUCGGGUGUCCAAUUCCUUGAGGCGCUUGAAUUCCUCAAGAUAGAGCAUUGUCCAAAGCUGGAGUCAAUACCGGAUGGCCUGCCCAAUCUUAAAUGUUUACAGAGCAUUUAUUUACUCAAUUGUCCAAGUCUUGUUUCCUUCCCAGAAAGAGGGCUUCCCCACACCAUUUCAUUUGUUUGCAUUUGCGGAUGUGACAAGCUUGAAGCCCUGCCCAAUGACAUGCACAAACUCAACUCUCUUCGACAUUUAAGCAUACAGCUCUGUCCAAAUCUUGUAUCGUUUCCAGAAGAAGGUUUUCCUACCAAUCUAACAUCACUUACAAUUGGAGAUUUCAAAAUGUAUAAGAUACUCGUCCAGUGGGGGUUGCACAGGUUUACCUCUCUUAGACGCCUCUAUAUCGUUGAUUGUGAUGACGAAGCAGAGUAUUUUCCAGACGAGGAUAUAGGAAUGACGCUGCCCACCUCUCUCACUCAACUGGAACUUUCGGGAUUCAAAAAAUUGAUAUCUCUGUCUUCGACGGGUUUUCAGAGCCUCACCUCUCUUCAAAGAUUGCGGAUCUGGGAUUGCCCAAAUCUCACAUCAUUUCCAGAGGUGGGCCUUCCAUCCUCACUUUUGGAAUUACACAUUUACAAAUGUCCAAAGCUUAAAAAAGCGUGCAAAAGAGAUCAAGGAAAAGAGUGGCCCAAAAUUGCUGACAUCCCUUGCGUUGAGAUAGACAAUAAAUUCAUAUACGAUCCAGAAUAAGAGGAGUAGAUUCUACUAUUAAGGUCAGUUGAUUUGUAUUAUCCGCUAUAACAAGCUCCUCCUUUUUUUUUUUUAAAUAAUAAUUUUGCAGUCACUCACGUGAUUCCGUUUUCACAAGUCAGAUUGUAUGUUGAGGCUAUUUGCCUUUUAGUCGCAGAUUAAAUUAUAACACUUAUCUUAAAAUUUAAUACCAUAGACAGAUAGACGAUUUUUUAAUCCAAAGUUUUUUUUAUUCACUUCAGUUAGCAUUUUUUUUUUUCCCCAAAUCAUGCAAGCCGAGAGUUUCAAUCAAGAAUUGGAGCAUGGGAAUGGAAUUUUUGUGAAAACAUAAUGGAUGAACGAACAUUUCAUCUGUGAUCUCAAAGUCAACAGAAUUUUAUUCACUCAAUGACUUUUCAACUGCUGUGGUUAUUUAUGGGUGAAAGAAAGAUAAGGGCAAUUACAAAAAAUUUGCAAAAUUUGUCAAUUUCUUAGAUGGUAGAUAUAUCGACAUUUUAGAUUUCAGAUAUUUGUCACCAAUUUCAUUCCUUUUUUUUUAUUUUUUCAAGCAAGUUUGACUAAUUUUAACCAGAAUUGGAGUAUAAUAUUUUGGAGCAAGCAUACUUGAAAUUUCUGUCUUCAAUAUUUUGAUGCUUUUUUAAUUUUGGAUCUAGUAAAAAUACAUAGCCUUCACCGGCAGGAUUCUAGUCUUGGCUUUCACCUCUCUAACUCAUCCGGCCCCAUUGGGAUUCCAGAAAUUGAAAUUUCUGUCUUCAAGGGGUUUUCAAAGCCUCGCCUCCCUUCGAUUUUUGUGGAUCGGGAAUUGCACAAAUCUUACAUCAUUUCCCGAGGUCGAGGAAAAGAGCGGCCCAAACUUGCUCGCAUCCCUUGGGUUAUGAUAGAUGGAAAAUUCAUAUACGAUCCAGAGUCAGAGGUGUUGAUUCUCUUAUUAAGGUCAGCUGAUUUCUAUUAUCCACUCUGACAAUCUCCUAUUAGUGUUUUUCCCUUUUUUUUUUUCAAAAUUUUGCAGUUCCGUAUAAUUGAAAAUGCCACUCACUUGUUUCCUAUUAGUAUGUUGAGGCUAUUUGCUUUCUAUCGGUGUUUGUUAAGGUAAUUACUCACAGAUGAAAUUAUAACUUUUAUCUUAAAAUUUAUUGCCAUUGACAGAUGGACGAUUUUUAGUCCAAAGUUUUGUUAUUAACUUCAAUCAAAAUUUUAGAUUGCAGAUUUUUGUCAAUUAUUUCAUUUUUUAUUUUUAUUUUAAAGCAGAAUUGGAGUAUAACAUUUGGAGCGCGCAUACUCUGAUGCAUGCAAUUAACUGUUUUUAAUCGUUGGAUUUUGAAAUUAAUGAUGGUAAGAUGUGUACUUAUUUUUUCUUCCGGACAACCUUGCCUUCUUUCUUCGGUAGCAUAUCUAAUGAAUAUUUCUCUGUUUAGUUAAGGAUGAAUGCUUGGAGUGGUCUGAUUCACAACAACACCUCUUCCAGAAAAUAUGAUACAAGGCAAAGCCAUGUUCUGAAGCAGAAAUGAUACAGCAGUUGCGGUACCCGAGGUACCUUUUGCAUUUAACUUGCCUUUAUUUGUUUUGCUUGUGACUUAAGAACACAUCAUUUCCCAGAGAUUUGGAGAAGCAUCUCAAGAUGCUUAACAAACUUGACAAGCUUCAAGAUGCACUUGCUCCCAAGCAUUGAUUCUUCACAAUGGAAAACCUGUGAGUACACUUAUGCCCGCAAUUAUUGUUAAGUGUUUGCAAUUUUGAUGCAGCGAAAUGGUUUGUGGAUGCAAAGCUUUAAAACUGUUAAGAACUACCCUGCAGGCUUGUUGGAUGUUGUAUACUUCAAAAGCCACCAACACCAAGAACUACAACAGCAAGACUAGGUUUGCGUUGCUUCAAUCAGCUGAAAUAAUGAUGCAAAUGACACUAUCAAGCUGGACUUAGAGACUUGUCAGGUCAAUCAUCCAUUUCAUCAACAGUUAAUGUCAUGAUGGUGGCUAUCAGAGGAAACAAAAGAUCUGUUGGAAUCAAUUCAAACAGUGAGAAGCAUGAGAGGAGCAUUGAUUAUAAAUAGGCUCAAUGAGCUCAUGCUGGUAAGUGGUAAUUAAGAAAUUUGUGAGCUUAGUAUAGUUUCAAUUUUUUUCUGUUUGGGAUAUAGUUGAUAAGUUGAUACUCUGAUUAAGAAGCCUGAUUAUAGUAGCUGACUGUGCUAACUGCGUUCUUUUAUUUUUUAUUUUUUUGGUUUGCCGUCGUUUUUUCUUUUGAUUAUUUGUUCAACAUUAGAUUGAUCUGUUGAAGACUACGAGGAAGAUCCAGACUUGGAUGCAGGCGUGCAGCUCGUAAUAGGUGAGAACAAAUGAAUGCUUUAACCAUGUUUCUCACUUAUGACAAUGCACGGAUCAAAGGCAUCUGAGUUGAUCCUGAAAAUGUGAUGGAAAUAGGUCUCUGUUUUCAUAAAACAGAACAAAUAGAGAUCUCUGAUCACGCCUGAGAAUUCAUUGCAUUGAAAUUUCUACCAUUGGCAAACAUAGAAUAAACUGGGGAUACAUUAGCUUUAGACUCUAUUUUGAGGAGGAAGUUUGUACUUGCAGCCUAUAAAAUCAUAUCCCUGUUGUAUGUUUCUUUGGGAAAUGAAAGAUUCUGUGUGUUCUUUUAUUUCAAGUUUGCUGAAAUCACAUUUGUUUUCUAAGAUGCUUUACAGAAGGUACCAACAUCAUUUUCAAAAAUGCUGGGGUAAGAUACAUCGUGCAGUGCUCCUCAACAUGAGAAUUCCUGGCCGCAUUACCCAUAUGUGGAAUGAUCUGAGAGUACAACCGUGAGAAUGUUGUAAGGAGUACACAACCAGAUGUGAGUAGUUUGAAAAUGAAUUCGCAUGGAAUGAUUUCUUGCCAGUGCAGAAAUGGCUUGGUUCAAAAUAUGCUCAGCUUCAUUGACACUCUUCGGUAGGCCUCUCCGUCCUUCCAUUCUUAACUACAAUACUACUCUUGUCUGUCUAGUUAUGGAAUCUCUCUUUUAAUCCUCAAAGUUUGAAUUAUAUUAUAUUGCCUCUGUGUUACCGCAGAAACUGAGUCAGUUGGUGAUCCUUCAAAACAAGAAAAACCAAAAACAGAUACAGCGCGCGAUAAGAUAAUGAGACAGAUGGCUCCCGUUGCUGCAUGCCACUUGCUUGUGUGCGUAUUGGGACCAUCAUCAACAACAUUGACGUAAACCCAGCUCAAGGUGGGAAGCUAGUUCGAGCUGCAGGGACGUUAACCAAGAUUUUGAGAAAGAACCCACUUCAAGGUGUUGCUUAGUUAGGCUACGUUGUGGAAAUGAGAAAGUGAUUGACCCUAGAUGUCGCGCCACCAUUGGUACAGUGUCUAACCCCAGCCAUGGAGCUAAAAAGCUUAGUAAGGCAGGUCAGAGAAGUUGGUUGGGUCGAAGAGCUGUGGUUAGAGGAGUAGCCAUGAUUCCAGUUGAUCACCCUCAUGUUGAACAAAGCAAAAGUAGCGGUAACAAUGGAAGGUGUUCACUCACACCUUGGGGCAAGCCUUGUAAGUCUGGGAAUUAAACUGCAUCUCCUAAGAAGAAAGAGAAAUCAGCUGUCUGAUAAUAUUGUCCUUUUCUGCUAUUUGGUCUUUUUAACAUUGUUACACUGUUUUUACAUCUUUGAGGUUAGUUUUAGACCAAUUUUUAACUGAUCCAUAAUGAAACUGAAGUUUAAUUUUUGAUUAAACUUUCACUGGUUUUACUCUUCUGUCACUUCAAUUUAGCAUUGAUUUAAGAUACUGAAUUCUGUGCUUGGAGCUUGUAAAUUGGAAAGAGAUAUUUUGGGAUAGAAUGUAGAUUUUGUGUUUUGCUUUCUCAAGCUAGUUGUGACUUCUUAAAAGAGUCAAUCCAUGUCUUUAUAUAUUUUUCUUUUGUCUUGAUUCUGUUUCUUCAUACAGAUUCUUAUUUUAUGCUUCACAUACCACAUGAAAGAUGAAAGCCUUUUCUGUGAUUAGAAUUGACUUGCAUUAUAGUAACUUUAAACCACUUGGAUAUUUUUAUAAUAGCAGUCUGAGAUCUCCUUAAAGGAUUCAAAAGCAUCCACUGGCAUCCACUUUACUCGUAUCGGUCAAAAGUUUUGUGCAAUACAAUAUUAGCUUGACUGUAGCGCAGAGGAGAACAGGUUGGUGUUGGUCUGAAUUCUGAUAUUUGAAUAAAUAUAACAGCUCAUGUGACUCCACCACUUUUUACUUGUUCUGUAGUCUGUACCUACCUCCAUUGUCGGCACUGCCCAUACAAGGUCUUUUAGCUUUUUAAAAAGUUUCAUGAUAUUCCAUAGUUCACAUGGAUUUCUACAGUUUGUAGAAAACCUAAUUAGGGCACAUUUAAUUACUAUGCAGAAGAUUCUUUUAUCUUGCUCACCAAUAAUUCUUUGUACUUAUUUGAAAGAUGUGUUUCAAAAAAAUAAAAAAAAACUAUUUGAAAGAUGAGAAAUCCCUUAGCCGAACGACAAACUCAUCUAUCAGUCCUAUCAAAAAAAAAAAAACUCAUGUUUUAGUGGUUUUUUUUUUUCACUUGUAUUCAGUCGCACAAGUGAAGAUUGUGGGCAAUUUUUUCCUUGAGUAAAAUUGGAAUAGAUGUUUUUAUUGACACAAAUUUUUGAGCUAUGUUUGGGAAACCCUUAGACUUAAGACUUUGUUACGAUGAUAUGUAUCUAAGCUUUCAACAGACCGUUGAGGUCUUAUUAUCAAAAUACUAGAAAUUUACAAUUCAAUUUUGGUAAGGACCAAUUUAAUAAUGCUGUAAUUUUUAAAAUAAUUACCGUUAACUGUGUUGUAAAAAUAAUCAAUUAUGAAGAAAAUUAAUUAAACAUUUAGUAAACUUUAUUUUUACAAGUGCUUUGAAUUUUAAAAAUAGUCAUAUGUGUUCAGAAAAUCUCACUUCUAAAAUAGUAUAAGAAUGGAAAAAACUUAAAAAGACAAAUGUAUAAUAUUUAUUUACACAUGCAUUUAUAAAUAUGUGUAUAUAAUAACAUUUUAUGUGUACAUAUAAUAAUUGAUAACUAAAAUAAAUAUUUUUAUUUAUUAAUUAUUUUUUUGUCUCAAUGUAAUUGGUAAUACUUUUUUUUAAUCUUCUCAUCCUAAGUUUUUUUAUUGUUUUGUACAAAAUUCAAGGUUUGGACUUUUAUAAAAUGUCCACUCAAAAAUAAAUUGUUUUCUAACUAAGAUUUGUUGCUAAUGUAUAACUCAAAGUAAUACUAGCUAUUUGUAAUUUUAUUUCAAAAUUUUUAUUCAAAUGAUAUGGUAACUAAUGUACAUUAGUUGAUAGCAAUUUUUUUUUUUUUACAAUAUUCAAAUCAAUCAAUUGCAUCAUCUCAACAUUUUUAUGAUGUCGUGUUAUUUUAAACGAAUUUUUUAUUUUUAUAUAAAAUUUAUUAUGUUUAACAUCAUUUGCAUAACUUGACCUUUUUUUUUUCCUACAAAUAUUAAGUCAAAUUUACUCACCCUAUAUUUCUAUCUAAAAUCUACCUAAAACUCAUGCAUCACUGUAAAACAAAUCCAAAGAUUGCGGUACGUUUUUCUUGGUAACAAAUCAAUAAUUAGGUCAAGUACUACUACUAAGCGUGCUCAAUUAAUUCUAAAAUACUACGGUGAUCAAAAUCAUACUUGACGCAAGAGGAUAAGGGCUAAACCUCAAUUAGGCAUUAUUCAUCCAAAAUUCGUUGACCCGGCAUUCUUUGCAAGUUGUAGCACGGGACAGCUAAGAUUAGCAAAUGCUGUGGACCAUAUGCCCCCAUACAUUUGUGACAUGUGAAACUUGGCAUUAAAGGAAAGGCAACGUGUUAAAAUUUAAUAGCGCCCAAUUCUUCAUUGAAUGAUUAUCAGAUCCAAUGAGCAUCCUUUGAUUGGAUUAUUUUAAGUCAAUUAUUGGUGGAUUGGGGCCCACUUGACUCUACCAAAUCGGGCUCCACCAUAUCACCUAUUAACGACCACCUGUCCUUAUCAUAAAUAGCAAAUGUCACUUGUUUUAUUUUGUAUUUUACCAAAAGCAAAGUCACUAUGAACCCAAAUGAAAGUGACCCCAAUUUUGGGGGUCAUGAGCUUUGGAUUAUUAUGGACACAAGAGACAAGCGCAAAGUUUCUCAUUUAUCACCGGAUAAGAUUUAAGUUAUCAACCCAACAUUAAUAAAUUCUGCUUAAAGUAAAGUUUGAAGCUUCAUUUUGCGAAUAUUCAAUGGUUAACAUUUAAGUAAUUAACCUGAUAUUAAUCCAAUUAAACUUUUUAUGUAAUCCAAGUCAAAAAUAUGUUGAUAAACCUAAAUUAAUCUAAUUGGACAUAUUAUUUCAACUUGAAAAGGCGAAUCUAUCAUUUUUCAAUUAAUUUUGAAUCAAGCUAUGUAAAAUAUAAGCUUAUUAAAGACAUAUUUUUAUCAUGUUAAAAUAUCGAAAUACUUCUUACUCGUUUCGUAAUAACAUUAACAAACCUUUUGGUAAAUUUGACAGUCCAAUCAAUUCAGUUGGUUUUUUGUUAUUGAAACUCCAACAAAAUUCAUCACGAUUAUUAAAAACCCAUUAAAAAAAAAUGAAGGUAACUAUUUAAAAAAUUCUAAUUGAAUUAUUUAACAACUACAUUUCAACUAAAUUGUGUUGCUAAUUAACUUCCUCAACUUAAACUAUAUUUUUCUCAAUUAAUUCAUAACAAAUAAUGUUAGAUAUUUUAUUCGAAUAAUAACAUUCAACAUCCUUAUUCUUUAUGAUUAUUGCAUAAAAACAUAUUUUAUCCAUUUACAUCACAUAUGUUCCUAAAUUGUAUAAGAAAAUCACCAAAUUUACUCUUGUAAGUUACUAUAUCAAUGAACAUGAAAUUCACUAAUCAUUAAAGUCUCGGAAUGACAUCAUGAGAGGGAUUCAGUUACAUUUAUUGAUAGGAUUAGAUAUAUGUCUUCUCAAAUAUUAGUAGGAGCAAUUUAACAGAUGCAGCUACUAAAAAUAUAGAAUUACUUAUCUCGUCAAUAACUAACGAUAUUUUUUAUCUAUGCUCAAUAAAUUGUAAUAUUUGUAGAUUGUAACAAUUGUUAAAAAAAAAGAGCUCCCUGAGACUAAAUGACAAAAGGACUGUUUUGAAAUAGAUAGAUAAAAUAUGCCCUUAUUUGAGAAAAUGUAAAACACUAGGGAUCUAAAUGUUAUUAUAAUCCCAUGCACAAAAAUACCAAAAAUAACUAAUAACAACUAACCGAAAAUCCCAGGCGUCAUAUUCCUUUUUUCCGCGUUUUAAAAUGCCCUCUGAUUCAUUCACAGUCAGACGCUGUCGGCAUUUCUCUUCUCUCCCUCUCUCUCCACGUAUUAAAACAUGUAAAGUACGGAAAAAUUUAAAAAAAAUUUUAAAAUUACAUAAUUUAAAAGAUAUAAAAUUAUAAAUUUUUAAAAUUAUACGGUUUUAAAAUUUUUUUAAAUUUUUUCGUAUUUUAAAAUUUCAGACUAAAAAAUUAUUAUACGAAUACUUCGUAUAACCGCUUUGCGCUUAAAAUCUGUGCCUAACAAACUCACGAAAUCACUCCUCAUUUUCCUCUCUCCCUCUCCUCCUCUCAUUCCCUUUCAAAUCCUUCCACCACCUUCCCCGCCUCUCUCUCUUUCUCUCUCCCCUCACCGCCACAGCUCAACUUUUCCAUGUAAACCACCACGGGCGCCGUCGUUUCAACCUCCCACUCAUCCGACGUCGUUUUGUGUGAAUAAGAUAACGAUUUAAAUUAAAAUACGAAAAUGGAGAACUUAACGGCGCAGUUGAAGCGAGGGAUAUCGCGGCAGUUCUCGACGGGAUCGCUGCGGCGGAGCCUGACGAGGCAGAUGUCGAGGCAGUCGUCGUUCGAUCCGAGGAGGAAUAACAUGAGGUUUAGCUUCGGGAGGCAGUCGUCGUUGGAUCCGAUACGCAGGAGUCCGGUUCAGGACGAGUUGACGGUGCCGGAGAACCUUGACUCGACGAUGCAGCUGUUGUUUAUGGCAUGCAGAGGUGACGUCAAGGGAGUCGAGGAUUUGCUGAACGAAGGCAGUGAUGUCAACAGCAUUGAUCUUGACGGACGGUUUUGGCGAGAAAUCAAAGAAUUAAGAGACAAUAUUUAGUUAAGCUAAUAGUAUUUGUUCUGUUUAGUACGUCGUUUUACCAACAAGCAUCCCGGCAUUGCACGCAUUAAUAAAUUUUUUUUAUCUGUUUGGACUGAUGGUGGUAAAAAAUUCCACAUACUUUAUAUUAAAAAGGAAAAAGGACAAACACACCCCUAACGUCAACUUGGAGGGGGGUCGAUUCCGAGCUCAAGAAGUGGGAAAGAAGAAAGCUGAAGAUGAUUCAGGCGGUGCUCAAUGGUGGGUAUGACGGCAAAAAUAAGUUGGAGGUUUUCUAUGAAUUUGAACAUCUAAGAACAUUCUUCCCAUUACACAUAAGAGGUGGCUCCAAAACUGGUUACAUAACUCGUAUGGUUCUAACUGAUUUGUUGCCGAAGUUUAAAAGGUUGAGGGUGCUAUCUUUACAAGGAUACCAUAUUGGACCAAUUCCAUUUGAAGAUUUGAGACUUCAAAGUAUAAUUACCCAAAGUGUAUACAAUAAAAGCCAAAUUUAAGAAAUUCCUGAACCUUGCUGACACUGACAUAAGAAGUUUACCAGAGUCAACAUGCUCAAUGUUGAACUUGGAAAUUUUGAUAUUAAGAAAUUGUUUCCGUUUGAUGAUACUCCCACCCAAAAUGAGGAACUUGGUUAAUUUACACCCAGACUCUUUUCUUUUGACAUGGGGUUAACGAUCAAAGUUGGUUUCGUGCGGUAUAUAUUUACAAAUUGAUAGGUAUGCCUGGUGUUGAUGCAGGAUUCCGGUUCUUCUCGUUCUACGACCAGGAUCUCUGCUCGAUCAACUUCGUCACGACCAGGAGGUCUCCUCGCAAGACUUUUUCUCCAGAGAUUCCUGCGCACACAGACAAGUCAGAGUACGCCGGUUGUUUUCCCGGCGCAAACCCUCCGACGCUCAAGUCAGAUAUGAAGGUUCGGGGAACGCUUGCCACCGAUCUUAUGGCUUUUUCGUGGUUUUCUCUUCUUUUUAAUUCCUUUUCUAAUGAGAAAAAUGCCAACCCUUUUACCUCGUCGGCUACCUUUUUAUAGGCUUCCUCUGAAUCCCAGUUUUCCGCUCUUUUCGAGACGGUAUGGGACUCUGACUGCUGUGUUAUGGGCAAACGUGGGAUCUUGCGUGUUACGCCACCGUUCUGGGAAAAGCGCGGCAGUCGUGGUUCUGUGAGAUCUUGCGUGUUACGCCACGGUUCUGGGGAAAGCGUGGCUGUCGUGCUUAGGUUCUCGGGCUGGAGAGCAUGUCUCGUCAACUGCCGUCGACCGGGUCUCCUCGCCUCUCGACCUCUAGCCGGAAUGACCUUAUGCCUCUUACAGGAAAUUGGCCUCGCGGAUGACCUGCUCGUGGACGAGCAGGAUAUUUCUGCUCCUGUUCCCCCGCGUACCAGGCUUUUACGGGACACACCGGUUCGCAGAACUCUGCCAUCAGAUAUCUGCUCACCGUGCCUGGUCUCGUCGACGUAUUUCUCCCAAACACCGGUCCCCCAGUUUCUGGUGUUGGGUAAUGUAGUGGACCAGCAGUAGAAACUCGUUAGUACUCGCCCGCGUGGGAUUGGAAAAGGCUGCCAAGAGUCAUGUCGCAUUUAAUUGCGGACGAGGUGACGUGGCAGAAAUCCCCCCCUCCAUUUGAAUUUCAAACCGACGGUUAUGAGAUCCUCGGGAUUCAGCGCCGUUAAAUGCUGGCAACCCAAGAGUCCGUCCUCAUUAGGAAAACCAAAUCCUCUCGAACGGCAUAUUCGUCAUUCACUCCGUCUCCGUCUCUGUCUCCCCGGCAAAGAGGUUCCGGCAUAAAAGCCCUCCAUCUCUGAUUUUCACCGACUGAACCGUUACUUCAGGUAUUUCUUCUAUCUCCUUGGUCUCGGAUAGUUGUAGAUAAUUUCUCUUCUCUUCUGUUGGGUAGUAGUUGGUGGUGUUGUGGUUAGAGCUUAGGGAAUGUCGAAAGGCAAAGAGAAGGUCAUUGAGGUUGGUGACGACGAGUUGGACUUCCUGCCUAGUCUGCUCACCGAUCCUGCUUUUGACCCCGGGAUCCCCUUAGAGCCCAUUAGGUCUAGUGUCGGGACUAGUGCUAGGAGGAUGUCUCCCCAAACAACCUCUACGAGCGGAAGUAAUGGUGAGGAGAGAUCUUCUGGCUCCGAGGAUACUUUGAGUGAGAAUGGCGAAGGUGACUCUGGUGAGGUGUCUCCAUCUGGAACAUCACGACCAGAAGAACGGGGUAUAGUAGGAGGCAGAGCCUUGUCGCGCGAUUAUGCCAUUGAUUACAUGACGUGCACGACCUCGUUUGACGAGCUCAAUGACCUCCGGCUUAGGUAUAGCAUUCCUGGUGAGAUACCUCUCAAGGUCCCAGGAAAGAAGGAUGCUCCCAGCCGGCCUCCUAGGGGAUAUGUUACCCUGUAUCUGGACAGCUUUAAGUACGGGCUGAGGUGUCCCUUGCAACCUUACUUUGCCCGGAUACUUAACGGGCUAAAUCUAGCUCCUGGUCAGCUGAAUCCCAAUGGGUGGAGAGUGCUCUCUGGUCUGUUCAUAUUGUGGGACAGAUGUUGCCAAAGCGAGCCCACGGUUGAUGAGGUGAAGCACCUGUACCAGCUAAAGAGCAGCCCCAAAGAUGCCGUCUGGUACUACUUCCAAUCUAGCACCAAGAGCAGGAAACCUAUAACCGACCUCCCUACUGGUGGUGGUGGGAAUUGGAAGAGAAAAUUCUUUUUUGCUGGGGGUCCUUGGGGUCAGGUUGCACAAAUGGACGGGAAGGAUUAUCGGGUCCCACCCCGUUUCACGGUCCCAGGUUGCCUGCUCGCUUUAGAUGUCUUGUAUCCACAAUUGUUAUUGCUUUAUUGGCUUGUCUCUAACCAAGUGUCUGUUUGCGUUGUAGUUUCUUGGGGUGUUCACUUCCCGCUCCCACCUGACCAGCUCAAACGGGUCAAGGCUGUGCUCGCCAAUUCCUGCUCGAGUCGAGAACUGCUAACUACAUACAACUUGCUCGAAUCUCGCUUGAUACUUCCUGGCCAUAGGAUGGAGGACGCCGUGAUUGGGGCUCUGACCCGAAAACGUUCUCGACCUCCAACCACGAAGAGGGACCAGGGUAAGGAUGCCCCUGCUGCAAAGCGGGCCAGCAUCGUGCAGCAGGUCCCACCCUUGGAGAUUUUACCUCCUGCUCCUGAAAAAGUCGGGGAAGCUAGUGGAGCAGCCACAGAUCCUGCUUCCUCAUCUGUUCCUGUCGGGCCUCGAUCUCGCUUACCUGACAGCCGAGCAGAACACCUGGUCCCCUACCUCAAUGAGUUGUCUAAACUCGUGAGCAAGAAGGACCUGGAGGACUUCGACGGCUGCACCUUGGGUGAGCUGGUGGGGGCCAUGCAGCAUAGCGCUUUCCACCUCAGCUGCAUGACCACCUAUUACAAGGCUAAGGUUGGUCGAUACGAUCGGAAAAUGAAGGGGGAUAUUCAAUCGGCGACGACCAGAGCUGACAUUGCCGAGAAGAAAGCAGGGGAGCUGAACCUCGAGAAUCUGAAGCUGAUAGAGCAAGAAUCACUUGCUCAAGCAAAGACCAUUACCCUCGAGGAGGAGCUUACCAAGGUCAAGGAGGAUCUGCAAAGGCAGAAGGCUAUGUAUGAGGCCCAGCUCGAAUCUCUCCGGGACUCCAACCGAGCUCAGGUCGAGAACUUGGAGAGGGAGGCAGAGAAUCAGUACGACCAGGGACUUCGGCAUUCCUAUCGUUGCAUCAUGGCCGUCCUCGGGAAGCAACACCCUGAUCUGAAGAUGGAUGACCUUGCGGCUGGUGUUGCCCAACAUAUGGACGAGGAGGCGGCCAAGGAAGAUGCUGAAGGGGUAGAGCCGAUCGUGAUCGAGGAGGAAAGCUCUCCUCCUCGUGCAGUCCCUGCUGAUGUUGGCGAGGCGAGCACCCCUCCGGACGCAACUGGCGAUACCCCUCCCGCACCUGAGGAGGUCCAGUCAACCGAUGCUGCUCGGCUCACUGAUCUACCAUCUUUUUGAUAUAUUUCUUUUUGUAUUGUAAUAAACAACGUUUAUGAAAUUUAUCCCCUCUGUUAGCCAUUAACACAUUAAUAAAGAUGUUUUUUGAUUACUUUCUCGUCUUGUAAUCAUCACUUAUUUUCCGUUUGGGAAUCUGCUCGUCUCGUCUGGUCGAGCAGGUUCUGGUUUGGCAUAUGGUUUUGCAACAUGCCUUAGAAAAAUUUCUUUUUUUUUUUUUUUUUUUUUUUUUUUUUUUUUUUUUGCUUGGGGAUUCUGCUUGCCUUCGCGUGGUCGAGCAGGUCCUGGCAUGCUUGGCUUCAGUCUCGCCAUAAAAAGGCUUUGAGACUUGGUGAGGCCUUUGCAUGCCUUAGAAAACUUUUUCGAUGCUUGGGGAUUCUGCUCGACUUCGCUCGGUCGAGCAGACCCUAGCAUGCUUGGCUUCCGUCUCGCCAUAAAAAGGCUUUGAGACUUAGUGAGCCUUUGCAUGCCUUAGGUGGCUUCUUCAAAGCUUGGGAUUCUGCUGCCUUCUCGUGGCCGAGCAGAUCCGGGCAUGCUUGGCUUCUGUCUCGCCAUAAGACAGGCUUUGAGACUCGACGAGCCUUUGCAUGCCUUAGAUGGCUUCUUCGAAGCUUGGGAUUCUGCUGCCUUCUCGUGGCCGAGCAGAUCCGGGCAUGCUUGGCUUCUGUCUCGCCAUAAGACAGGCUUUGAGACUUGACGAGCCUUUGCAUGCCUUAGAAAUUUUCUUGGUUUCAAGCGAAAGGAAUUCCUCGACGUUCCAUUAAUGGCAGGAUUCGGCUUACAUGAACUUGUUUGGACAUAAAGCGUGAAAGAUAAACGAUAAUGAUCAUGAGCAAAAAUAGCUUUCAGAUGUGAACAAAUCUUACUGGAAGUAUUUUCGGAGGUGUGCUGCGUUCCAUGGGCGUUUCAGCUCGUGGCCGUCCGUGCGAACCAGCUUGUAAGCUCCGGGUCCCGCUAUCUGCUUGACUCUAUAUGGCCCUUCCCAAUUCGGUCCCAGCACUCCUUGAGUCGAAUCUUUGGUGCUCUGAUUCACUCUUCUCAGUACCCAGUCUCCGACCUUGAAUUGCCGUAUGUUCACCUUCUGGUUAUAAUACCGAGCAACCCUCUGUUGGUAAAGGGCUGAUCGCUCGGCUGCUUGCUCCCUCCUUUCCGUUAGCAGAUCAAGAUUCAAACAUAUCUGCUCGUCGUUCUCCUGCUCGUUGAAAUGACCUGUCCGGUGUGUGGUCGUUCCUAUCUCAGCCGGCACGACCGCUUCAUGUCCGAAAGCCAAAGCGAACGGUGUCUCCCCAGUUGCGGUUUUGUGGGUUGUUCUGUAUGCCCAUAGCACACCUGACAGCUCGUCAACCCACGCACCCUUUUUUGCUCCAAGCCUGGUUUUCAAAAGCCUCUUGAUGGUCUUGUUGGCUGCUUCUACUUGUCCAUUCGAUUGAGGGUGAGCAGGCGAGCAAUACUUCAGCUCUAUCCCGAGGUUCUGGCAGAAAUCCCUGAAGCUGUGAUUAUCGAACUGCCUGCCAUUAUCCGUUACCAAGGCAUAAGGGAUCCCGUAUCGACAGACCAGGUUUCUCCACACGAAGUCUGUUGUUUUCUUCUUUGUGAUCCUGCUAAGGGCUUCUACCUCUAUCCACUUCGUGAAGUAAUCUAUAGCAACUAUUGCAUGUGUUGCUGCUCCUUGUGCCUUUGGCAAUGGGCCGAUCAGAUCAAUUCCCCAUUGAGCAAAUGGCCAAGGGGAGGCCAUGGAGGUGAGCUUCUCUGGGGGUUGGUUAGAGAAAUUUGCAAAACUCUGGCAGCUUACACAACUCCUGGUCUUCUCUUGCGCAUCCUGGUGCAUUGUCGGCCAGAAAUAUCCCUGCCUAAGAACCUUGUGGGCCAGGGACCUCCCGCCAGAAUGAUUUCCGCAAAUUCCUUCAUGUACUUCUCUCAGUACGUAAUCCGCGUCGUCCUCAUCCAAACACCGAAGGAACGGUAGUGUAUAUCCUCGCCGAUACAGCGCCCCAUCAAUCAUCGUGUAUCUCGAGGCCUGGGCUCUAAUCUUGCGAGCUCGCAGCUUAUCUGGUGGUAAUACUCCGUCUCUAAGGUAUGAAACUAUCGGGUCCCUCCACGAGCAUUUUUGUUCUAUCCGCAACACCCCCGAAUUCUGAUCGAUACUUGGGCUGGACUUCACCUCCAGAGGGACCGACUUUGGCAUUUUUGGGUCGGCUACUGCUGCCAUCCUCGCCAAAAUGUCUGCUCGACUAUUCUGCUCCCUGGGGAUCUGUACCACCUCCACUGCUUCGAACUUCCCCAUCAUCUGCCUGACUAUCUUCAGGUACUGCUCCAUCUUCUCCUCUCUUGGUUGGAAUCUUUCACUGACGUGAUUCGCAACCAGCUGGGAAUCAGUUCUGAUCUUAACUCUGUCUUCUUUCACGGCCUUAGCCAAUUCCAGACCUGCUAUCAAGGCUUCAUACUCUGCCUGGUUAUUUGUGGCUGCAAAUUCCAACUUUACAGCAUAAGAGAUCUCCUCCCCCUCAAGGCCUUCCAGGACAAUCCCUGCUCCUGAACCCCGCUCCCCUGAUGACCCGUCCACAGACAUCUGCCAUACUUGAUUUUCGUCAUUGCCUAUAACUGCAUCCUGUUGAUCUGAGCAUACUUCGGGCUCUGUGAAUUCAGCUACGAAAUCGGCCAUUGCCUGGGCUUUUAUCGCUGCGCGGGGUUUAUAGUCUAUGUCGAACUCGCUCAGCUCUACAGCCCACUUGACGAGCCGACCAGAGGCAUCUGGCUUGUGCAGAGUUUGACGCAAUGGCUGGUUUGUUAUUACCGAGACCGGGAAUGCUUGAAAAUAUGGCCUCAACUUCCGAGCAGCAACCACAAGGGCAAGUGCCCAUUUCUCCAACAGUGGGUAUCUAGUCUCAGCGUCGAGUAGGGCCUUGCUGGUGUAGUAUAUCGGAUACUGAACUCCUUCUUCCUCUCUCACCAGAACAGAACUGGCGGCCCGAUCCGACACCGCCAAAUACAGAUACAACUUGUCCCCAUCCCUUGGUGUGGACAGCAGCGGAGCUUGCUGCAAGUAUUGCUUCAAGUUCUGGAAGGCUUCCUCGCACUCUGGGGUCCAUUCUGUUUUCUUUCCCCUCCUUAUCACUUGAAAGAAUGGCUGACACUUAUCUGUAGCCUUGGAGAUGAAUCUGCUCAACGCCGCCAACCUCCCUGUGAGGCUCUGCAUCUCCUUCAGGUUACGAGGAGACGUCAUUUGCACAAUCGCCUGGAUUUUCUCGGGAUUUGCUUCAAUCCCCCUAUGGCUCACCAUGAAUCCAAGGAAUUUCCCUGACUCGACCCCAAAAGCACACUUUUCCGGGUUGAGCUUCAUCUUAUACUUCCUCAAAAGCUCGAAUGUCUCCUCGAGGUGUCUGACAUGUUCCUUCGGGAUUUUGGACUUGGUGAUCAUGUCAUCCACGUACACCUCCAUGGUUUUCCCAAUCAACGGCUUAAAGACUUUGUUCACCAGCCUUUGAUAGGUGGCCCCAGCAUUUUUGAGACCGAACGGCAUUACCCUGUAACAGAACAAACCUUGGUUAGUGACGAAAGCCGUGCUCUCCUCAUCCUGCUCGUACAUGGGGAUCUGGUUGUAUCCCGAGAACGCGUCCAUGAAGCUGAGCAGACCAUGUCCAGCCGUUGAAUCUACUAGCUGAUCGAUCUUUGGUAGAGGGAAGCUGUCUUUUGGGCACGCCUUAUUGAGGUCUGUGAAAUCCACACACAUCCUCCACUUGCCGUUUGCCUUCUUUACCAACACCACAUUCGAUAUCCACUCAGGGUAACUGACUUCCCGAAUGAACCCUGCUCUCAAGAACUUCUCCACCUCGCUAUUUAUUGCCUCAUACAUCUCCUGGUUGAAGCACCUCCUCUUCUGCCUUACUGCCCGAGCACCUUUCUUUAUUGCCAGCUUAUGACAUGCUACCUCAGGGUCAAUCCCUGGCAUGUCUUCAUGUGUCCAAGCAAACACAUCAGAAUGAGCCUGUAAGCAUUUCACCAACUCCUGCUUUUGCUCUCCCUCAAGCCUCGACCCGAUUCUGAUCAUCUUUCCCGGAUUCUCUGGUCCCAGGCUUACUGUUUCCAGAUCUUCUACAGGUUCUUGUCUGCCCUUCUUGUUUUCCACUCGGGUAUCGAGGGAUGUUAUCUGCAUUGCUUCCCUUGCUGCCGAGGAGUAGCAGCUUCUUGCGAUCCUCUGGUCUCCUCGUACCACUCCUACUACCCCAUUCACCCGGUACUUCAGAGCGAGAUAGUGGUUGGACAACACCGCUUUGCUCAUCCUUAAAAAUGGCCGACCUAGGAUCAUCUGGUAAGGACCUUCCUCGUCCACUACGACAAAGUCCAGUAUCAUUGUUCUUUCUGUCAGGGAGCUCCCAAUUGUGAUAGGCAGCUCGACCACGCCCAGAGGGACCAGCUUCCCUCCUCCGAACCCCUUCAAGGAGGUAUUGGUGUAUUCCAACUUUCGGUCGGCUAUUCCCAUCUCUUCCAGGGUUGACUUAAAUAACACAUCAACUGAGCUCCCUGUAUCAAUCAGUAUCCGGUCAAACUUCUUGCUAGCGACAGUAGCCUUGAUGACUAAAGCAUCAUCGUGGGGGUAUAGAAUCCCUUCCUCAUCCUCAUCCGUCCACAUGAUUGGCACUUGCCUGACCCUUGCUCGUUUGGCUGCUGGGGUGUUGAAGAGUACCUCUUUACUGGUCAUGGCGUACCUAGCAUAAUUUUUUCUCGAUCUGUUGGAAUCUCCGGCCAAUGUUGGGCCCCCAGCUAUCACCCUUACUGCGGGCUGCUCGCGCCUCAAGUUUCUACCACUCUGCUCCCCUUCACCUGUUGUGGCCACCAUCGGGAAAGUCCCAUCCAUAAACUCGUCCAGGUACCGAUUUCUCACCAAAUCUUCGACCUGGAUCUUGAGAUCUCUACACUCUGCCGUGGUAUGGCCAUGGGUGCCAUGGAACUUACAAUAACGUCUUCUAUCCCUCCUGUUGGGUAGCUUUGUUAUUGGUGUAGGGAGGUGCAGCAGACCUCGAUCCUUUAUGGCCUCGUACACCUCAUCCAGGGACAUCUUCAAGGAAGUGUACCGCCCAUAGUCCGGGUCCUGGUCGAUCAGGUGCACUGCUCUUUCUCUGUUUGCCCCGCUUUGAGUUGGGGGCGGUGGAAGUAAUUCUGGUCUGCUCGCUCUGCUACCAUGUUGGUGAAGACCACCAGAUGCCGACUCAUGCCUUCUCCAAGGCUCCCUAGCUGGGGAACGAGGAGGUUGCGCCCCGCUGCGCUGAUACUGUGGUGGCCUCUGAUGAGGCUGGUAAGCAGUUACCCGACCUCCUGCUCUACUACCGGAGGCCUGGUGGUCUCUCCUCCUGAUCGGCCCAUUCCCCGGUAAUGCUUUCUUCUCUUUCCUCCCCAACCCUUCCAACUGGUCUGUCUUAAUCCGUGCAGCCUUCUCCUCUUCAAUCUCGAUGUCUCUCUUAGCCUGUUCGUAUGCGGCUGCAUACGUUUGAAUAGCUGGGCUUCUCAAAUUGUACCACAACCUUCCUAUCUUCACCCCUUCUUUCAAUCCCCUUAACGCCUGAGGGUGGUUGAAGGCUCCCAAGUCGAGGACAGCCCGAUGAAACCUCUUGAUGAAUUCCCGAAGGGUUUCUUGCUCCCCCUGUUUCAUGCUUUUCAGCUCCAUCAUGUCGUCUUCCGGUGCCAUUGCCCCACUAAACUGCUCCGCGAAUUCCUGGCACAUCUGCUCGAAGGUUUUAAUGCUGCCCCGAGGAAGUUUCCUGUACCAUUCUCGUGCACGUCCCUCAAGGGAUAGUGGGAACACCCUGCACCUUUGGGAUUGAGAUAAUCCUUGUACCCCAGUUAUGUCGUUGAAGCGCUCUAUAUGCACCAGCGGAUCAGUUCUUCCCGAGUAUCUGAGGUCUGGGAGGCGGAAAUCUCUCGGAAUAACUGCCCUCAUGAUUUCUGUUGCGAGCGGCGAUUCUCCGUCCAGCAUUAUCCUCCAACCAGGGGCUCUGUUCCUUCCUUGCAUGUCGUCAAUUAUCUGCGCUAGUCUGCGCACUUCCCCCUCCAGCUGCAACGCACGACCAGGGUCACGUGCUGCAACUUGAUCCCACUCUUGCUCUACAUCAUGCAAGUGUUGCCUCAACUCUGUUUCCUCUGCAUUCACCACCCCGUCGCCCUCGUCACCAGUCUGUCUUGCUGGGGACUGCUCUCUUUCUCUAUGAAAUUCUCCCUGCAGAGGUACGUUACCUCUCUCACCACCAAAUCUCCCGGGGGUUUGACUUCUCCCCGCACUAUCGGGACCUGGUGCCACUCCACCGCCUCUCACCCUUCCCUCUUGGGUUACCCUUCGCUCGCUCCGCAGCUCAUGCAGGAUGGUUGUCAAGGUCUCCAUCUGCUUUUCCAUCCGUUCCAUCUGGUCGAACAUGACUUUUUCCCGUGCUUCGCUGACUAUCUCCCUCAGCGUCACGGAAUCGUUAAGCCUCCUAUCACCCCCUUGUGCACUACUUCUUCCUGUCUCCAUUGCUUUUCACUUGCUUCACCCCUCUUCUUGCUAUCAACAGAAGCUUUUUGCUCUGGUCCCCACAGACGGCGCCAAAAUGUUGAUGCAGGAUUCCGGUUCUUCUCGUUCUACGACCAGGAUCUCUGCUCGAUCAACUUCGUCACGACCAGGAGGUCUCCUCGCAAGACUUUUUCUCUAGAGAUUCCUGCGCACACAGACAAGUCAGAGUACGCCGGUUGUUUUCCCGGCGCAAACCCUCCGACGCUCAAGUCAGAUAUGAAGGUUCGGGGAACGCUUGCCACCGAUCUUAUGGCUUUUUCGUGGUUUUCUCUUCUUUUUAAUUCCUUUUCUAAUGAGAAAAAUGCCAACCCUUUUACCUCGUCGGCUACCUUUUUAUAGGCUUCCUCUGAAUCCCAGUUUUCCGCUCUUUUCGAGACGGUAUGGGACUCUGACUGCUGCGUUAUGGGCAAACGUGGGAUCUUGCGUGUUACGCCACCGUUCUGGGAAAAGCGCGGCAGUCGUGGUUCUGUGAGAUCUUGCGUGUUACGCCACGGUUCUGGGGAAAGCGUGGCUGUCGUGCCUAGGUUCUCGGGCUGGAGAGCAUGUCUCGUCAACUGCCGUCGACCGGGUCUCCUCGCCUCUCGACCUCUAGCCGGAAUGACCUUAUGCCUCUUACAGGAAAUUGGCCUCGCGGAUGACCUGCUCGUGGACGAGCAGGAUAUUUCUGCUCCUGUUCCCCCGCGUACCAGGCUUUUACGGGACACACCGGUUCGCAGAACUCUGCCAUCAGAUAUCUGCUCACCGUGCCUGGUCUCGUCGACGUAUUUCUCCCAAACACCUGGUAUGACUGCUUAUGCUGGAUUUUAUGAGGUGUGCUCUCCUAAGCAAGGAGAGUGGGUCUUAAUAUGGGCAAGGGUGCAGUUGGUCAGCUUAUGGGGCAGUUUGCAAAGUUACUGGGCUGCUAUGUUGUCGGAAGUGCUGGAAGCAAAGACCAGGUAUACAAACAAACAAUCCGUAUCAGUUGCUUGAUUGUUCCCAUUUUGCUUUCAAAAUAUCUAACUUACAUAAGGAAAAUUUUCACCAUCUCGUCUUUUCUUUGAUUUUGAACGCUAAGAUUGAUCUACUGAAGAAUAGGUUUGGGUUCGAUGAGGCGUUCAACUAUAAAGAAGAUCCUGAUUUGAAUGCAGCCUUGAUAAGGUUAGUAUAUCAGCAAACUACAAAUUAGAAGACAUUUUUUCCUGAAAAUCAAAUAAUGUUUCUAAUUUGACAGGUGGUUUCCUGAAGGCAUUGACAUAUACUUUGAAAACGUUGGUGGGAAAAUGCUCGAUGCGGUGCUGAUCAACAUGAAAAUCGGUGGUCGAAUUGCUGUGUGUGGGAUGAUCUCGCAGUACAACCUUGACGAACCCAAAGGCGUACACAACUUGACGCGUCUUAUUUCGAAACGGGUUCGGAUGGAAGGAUUCCUCGUAUCGGAUUACAAUAAACUCUAUCCGAAAUUUCUGGAAAUGAUCAUUCCUCACAUCAAGGGGGGAAAGAUUGUAUACAUUGAAGACACGGCUGAAGGUCUUGAGAGUGCUCGGGCAGCUCUCGUCGGUCUGUUCUCUGGCCGGAAUCUCGGGAAACAGGUGGUUGCAGUUGCUUCUGAAUGAAUGAAGGAUUUGGUUGUUUACAUCAUGCUUCUACUCGUCCAUUUAUUUAAUAAAAUGGUUACGCUCAAUGAGUGUAAUUUUUAUGAUGCUAAAUUAAAUGUGGAAUGUGGCUGCUGGUUUGAUAAUGUUAAAAGUGCUAAAAAAUUUCAUGUUAGGCGCGGUGUGCGUCUGUAUAUCAUUUUUAGGUACGGGCAUUCUAUCUUUUUUUUUUAAUUAAUACAGACACAUUCUUAAACUGUAUGGUUUAAGAGAGAGUUAAAAAAAACUUUUACCACAUGGUUUAAAAGCGUAUCCGUAUGGAAAAAAAAUGAAAGUCCAUUGGAGAAGAAUUUUAUAUAUAGUCCAGGAUAUUAAAGUGCGGGAAAACUAUAGAGUUUUAAAAACUUAAAAUUUAAAACGUUUAAACUGCACGAUUUAUGUGUUUUUCGAUGUGAUCCCACAUUUUAAAAUUGUGGAUUGGAACAUUUGUCUUUGAGGGAAAAAAAACAAUAACAACAACUUCUUUUGGAGACCGUGGGGCUCAUAUGCAGAUUCAACCCCGAGCUAUACACUGGAUCUGGUGGGCUAGGUUUGAACCCAAAACAAGCUCUAUUCAUUACACGGUUCAGCGGGUUGGUCCAUUUGACGCUUCUAACUUAACAAUUUAAUCAUAAUAAAUUGAAAAAAUAAAAUAAAACCCACGUAUCUAAAUUAUUGUAUUGAGCUAUUGGUGCAGAGAAUAAGUAUAUAUGAGAACAAAAACAACACGAUGUAGUCGCUCGUUUUGUCACUUCUAAAAUCAGGAUUUAGAGCAUCACCAAAAGGCUCUUCAAAUAAGAUUUUAUUACUCAUUUGAAGAGCCACAUCAAUAUUUAAAGCUCCAAAAGACACUCUAAUUAAGAUUCUUCAAAUAAGAAUUGAUUCUCUCUCUUCAAAUUUGGAGAGUUAAUUUCUCCCUCUUCAAUUUAUAUUUUAUUACUUUUCAUUAAAAAAAGAGAGAGAAGUGCUUUAAUUGCUAUUGACUUUUCCUUUUAAAAACUAAUUAUAUGAUUAAAAUAAUAUUAACUUAUUUCUAUUUGAAGAGUCUUUUGGAAAAUAUCAUAUUUUUUCACCCUUCUAUUUGCCACAUAGGUAAGCAAAUAGAUAUUUGAAGAGUAAAAUUUAUAGAGGCUUUUGGAGAUGCUCUUAUGAUAGAGUCAUAGUGUUAACAGUACAUCGGUGUAUAAUUAUUUGUAAUGAAAUUAAUUAAUAUGGGUUUUAUGUUGUCUUUGUCAAUAAUCAAUUAAAUUUUUCGUUUUCAUUUAAAUGUUACUGAUCGAUGAAACAUUUGACUGCGUUCAAGUUAUCUUUUAAUUUUGUGAGAUCCACAUUGUUUUUAUUUCAAAAACAUAAUUUUUCAUAUUAUUAAAAAGCUGUUGCUUGGGCCUAGAGAAAUUGGAUUAAUGAAAUACCUUAAGGGUGUGUUUGACACAUUAUAUUGUAUUAUGUUGCAUUGCAUUAUUUUAUUUGGUGUUGCACUAUACUUUACUAAUUUUUUUGCAAUUAAUUUAAAUUACAUAGUUAGCAAAUAAUAUUUAUUAGUGCUUAGAAAAAUACUAAAUAUAGAAGUCUUAAAUUUUAGAAAUUUAACAAUUUUUUUACUAUAAAUGUUAAAAAAUAUAAUAAUUCUUCAUAAAGAUGGAAGCUUACAGCCUUAAGUUUUUGGAAGCAGAGCAUUUAUUUUUUAGUAUCUUCUAAAUAUAUAAUUUUUGAAAUAAAGAUAUAAGCACAUAAUUUAAUCACAUAGUCUUUAAAUAAUAUAACAACAUAAAUAAAUAGUUAAAAUGUGCAAGAUUAGUUCAAAACUCAUCUUAGGAUGAUAUAAUAAAAGUUUAUACACACCACAAGAUAAUCACAAAAUAAUAAAGUGAUAAAAUUAUUAUAACAUAUUCACUACCAAAAUAAAUUAUAUUAAAUAAUCCAAGUGAGAGUUCUGUAGUUUAUAUAAUAAUAUUAUUUAUGUUAUUAUUAUUAAUUUUAAAUUAAUAUUAUCCAAAUUUAUUCAUACUUAAAUAUGUAUUAUUAGUUAUAUUACAUUAUUUUUACAUAUUAAUUAUUGUAAUAUAAUUAAAUAAUGUAAAAUUAUAUUAUAUUUUUAUAUACUAUUUAAGUAUUUAUUAUUAAUUAUAUUCAAUUAUAAAUUUAUUAAUAAAUUAUAGUGCAAAAAAAAAUAGAAAUAAAAAUUAAUAUUGUAUAAUAAAUAACAUUCUGCUCCCAAUUUCUGGAUUUUAAAUUCCAAAAAUAGUAUUCACGUUCGCCACAUUCAAAAAUCCAACCUGGGCUUGGAGAUUCGAUUCAUCUCAUAGAUUAAUUUUAUAAACUAAUGUUUAGUGAAAAAUUAACCUUAAUGGGUCCUCCUCUCCAGGCCUAAUUCUUAAUUUUUUUUUUAAUUUGGUCCUACUUAAGUGGCUUCUAACGUUACCGUGUCUUUAUUUUGUGUACAGUUGUUUUACUAAUUUGUCAUUUAGUGCAAAUAACAGCACUCAACUUGUAAUAUCCAGUAUCCACAAAUCAGCCACUUCGGCCAAGGCCGAAGUGGUGGGCUGCUGCCCUCACAAUGCUUGUGAGGGCAGCGGUUCUAGCCCCCACAAAAGCAUUGUGGGGGUUAAAUGUUCUUUAUAUUUCCAAAAAAAUCCUUCUCUCUUGCAAAAUGUAAGUGGAGUAUGGACAUCCCUCUCCUGUGAGGGGUUAUUUGUCUGGGCAUGUACUUCAUAGAAUUCAUUGUAAUAAUGUAAGUCCCAAUCAUGUAUAUCUGAUUGUAAAUAUCAGUGUAAUAUCUCUGCUACAAUAAGCAGUUGUUGUAAAUAUCUGUCUGAUGAUUAAUCAGUAUUCAAAAAAAAAAAAGUAUCCACAAAUCAUGAACUCAUUUUUUAGUUCUUUCAUGUGUACUAACAUUCGUACAAAUAUACAAUAAGUUCAUAAUUUAGUCCAAGUUGACGAGAAAUUCUUGACCCACCCCUAAAUAUCUGUCCGCCAAUAGCGUGAAGUGGCCGGCAUAAAUUUAAAGCAGCUGGGACAUUGUAACUCAUCCAAAGAUUGUAUAACAUCUCUUUUUUGCUUUAUCGUUUUUCUCCAGUUGCAUAGUUUCUUAUCCUACCGCUUUAAAAACAAUUAUUCCUAGAAAUUUUCAUUUAUCUAAUGAAUUUUAAGAAUUUUUUCAGCAAACAAUUUUUACUUUUUUUUUUUUUUAUCAUUGAUGGGUAAAGAAAAUAUUAAUGAAAAAUGAGGAGUUAUUGGCUGGUUCAACGGAUUAAUUGCAAUGAUAAAUACAGGGAGGAUUGGAUUAUAUGGCAAAUUUUUAUAGUAAAUGUAAUAUAUAUGCUAACACUUUUUAUUUAUGGCAAAAUAUCUUCCUCUUUUGAGACUUUUCCCUCUAAGAAAAUUGGAGGAUACGACAAUAUAUAUAUAUAUAUAUAUACUAAUAUUUAUCAUUUAUAGAAAAGUAUCUAUCCCACUUAAGAUUUGCCCCACUAGAAAAGGAAAAAAAAAUCCCUCAAAAUAAAAGAGCGAAAUGGAAACAGAACAAAAUUUGAUUUUGUGGAUCUUGUAUUGUGUGAUAAGUCCGGCAUGCAAUUUUGGGCCAGCUUACCGUGCGCAUGGGAGCAUUCACAAAGUAUCUCUCGUCACUAUCGAAAACUUUUAACAGUCAAUACAAAUGCUUCCGUUUCAUCCCAUAAACAAAUAAAAUUCACAUCUGUACACAUCUACUUUGCUUUGCUAGAUAGAGUUCCUCUGCAUUUCCCAAUUGCCUAAAGAGAAGGGGAAAAGAAAAAGAGGGCCAAAAAAUGCCUGAAAUGGUAAGGAACAAGCAAGUGAUAUUGAAGGACUAUGUGUCUGGUUUCCCAAAAGAAACAGACAUGUACAUGACCGAAAGUUCCAUAGAAUUGAAGGUGCCAAAAGGUUCAAAUGGGGUUCUUUUAAAGAACUUGUACUUGUCCUGUGAUCCGUACAUGCGACCAAGAAUGACCUACAUCGAAGGAUCUUAUGUUGAAUCCUUUAAACCUGGCUUGGUUAGUGCACUCGCUCAUGGCCACGCUUUUCAUUUCCAUGGCUUCUUGCUCUUUUGUUAUAGAAAAUUUAUUUUUGGUUGCAGUUUGGUUCGACUGCUAAAAUCUCGUGCGAUAAUUGUAUAAGAUAUCUAGAGUUUGAACUUCUUUCACAUUAGGGUUCAAGGAAGUUAACUUAAAUGAUUUUCAAAAUUUUAAAUGUGUACCAAUGAAUUUAAUUUCAUAGCUUAAACUUAUUGUUUGAUCAUACUCUAACUUUGGACAGGAAAAUUAUAUUUUUCCUUUUGUUCUUUGACUUCGUGUAUGUUGUGUGAAGUACUUGUGCUUGAAAAUGAAUUGCUGACACAGAAAUUUCUAUGAAUGCAUGCAGCCCAUAAGUGGAUAUGGGGUGGCUAAAGUUUUGGAUUCAGAGAAUCCAGAGUUCAACAAAGGUGACUUGGUUUGGGGAAUGACUGGAUGGGAAGAGUAUAGUCUCAUUACGGCUCCACACUUGUUUAAAAUUCAGCACACAGAUGUGCCUCUUUCUUACUAUACUGGAAUCCUCGGUAAACUUUUUGUUUGCGCAAUUUAUGUGAGCAAAUUGUGUCUUCUUUUUCAUAUGUAAAUGUUUUUGAUAUCUUGAUGUGAAGGUAGAAAAUUGCAUGUUUUGAGUUUUUGCAUAUUUGAUGGAAACACAGAACCGUACCUGAAUAUUUCAGAACCCCCUUUUCUUUGAAGUUUGAACACUUUUCUUGAAUGUAUCAACUUUAUUUAUGGGAUAUGUUGCCAAAUUGGCAAAUCUAUUCGUUAUAAAACUUUCCUUUGACAGUUUAAUCUAAGCAGAUGUUAAUUCUGCAAAUAGAGUGUGCCUUAGUUUAGAUUGAUAGAUUUGUCUCCUUCUGUACAGUAAAAACUUUGAGCAUUUUCGCCAUAUUCUGAUCAAUACACUCCAACUAGUUAGUUCUUGAGGCGUUUCCUGGUUUCGUGGAGUGAGCCAAGAUGUAUACGUUUGCAAAUUGGCAAUGUCUUUUGCUUGAUGUGUUGUGAGUUGUGAGUGUCAAUAGGAAAGUUUCAAAGUGCGCAGUGCUCACUUGAGCACCCAUAUUACUUGGUGACCUGUUGCCUCAGCAAACAAGACCUCUGUUUUAUGAACUCCAAAAAGUUAUUCUGUUAAAAAGAUCGAGACAGAGGCCAUACUAUAUUUAUUAUUGCUAUAAAAGUGUCAAACAAUAUUCUUUAUUUAAUAUUCUAAACGAUUGAGCCAUUUAGUUAUGAUACUCUGCUGUACUGGGGCUAAUAAUCUAAGUCGGUUCAAAGUGGUAAAUUUAUAAAUUGAUAGGUAUGCCUGGUAUGACCGCUUACGUUGGAUUUUAUGAGGUCUGCUCUCCUAAGCAUGGAGAGUGCGUCUUCAUAUCAGCAGCAUCUGGUGCAGUUGGUCAGCUUGUGGGGCAGUUUGCAAAGUUAUUGGGUUGCUAUGUCGUCGGAAGUGCUGGAAGCAAAGACAAGGUAUGUAAUCUGUGUGAACUACUUGAUUGUUUCCAUGUUACUUUCAAACAUUUAAAUUAAAAAGGAAAUUUUCAUAAUCUUGCCUUUUCUAUGAUUUUCAACACCAAGGUUGAUCUACUGAAGAACAAGUUUGGGUUCGACGAGGCAUUUAACUAUAAAGAAGAAGCUGAUUUGAAUGCAGCAUUGAAAAGGUUAGCAUCAAUAAAUGCCUUAGCUUGAUGCAGCUUGAUGAAGUAUGAUACACAUUUCUGACCAAUAUACUGCGUUCCCUGAUCUCUUACUUGAAAUAUCUUGGUUUGAGAAUCUCAUGCCAAUGCCUUUAACAUUUUGGCAGGUACUUUCCUGAAGGAAUUGAUAUAUAUUUUGAAAACGUUGGUGGAAAAUUGCUUGACGCAGUGCUACCCAACAUGAAAAUCCGUGGUCGAAUUGCUGCAUGCGGUAUGAUCUCACAGUACAAUCUUGACAAGCCUGAAGGUGUGCACAACUUGAUGUAUCUUGUUUCGAAACGGCUUCGAAUGGAAGGAUUCAUUGUUCUGGAUCACUAUCACCUCUAUCCAAAGUUUCUGGAAAUGAUCAUUCCUCACAUCAAAGAAGGGAAGCUUGUAUACGUCGAAGACAUGGCUGAAGGUCUGGAGAGUGCUCCGGCAGCUCUCAUCGGUCUAUUCUCUGGCCAGAAUGUUGGGAAACAGGUGGUUGCUGUUGCUCCUGAAUGAAGAACAAGUUAGUGUUGUGUGUUCUUUUACCCUUUGACACAAAACUUCAAUGUUAAAGAGAGAAUGCUGCUCAUACUGCUUUAUAAAAUAAUCAAAUGAGUGCAAGUUUCAUGAUAUGUGCUGAAUAAAAAUAUUGGAAAUUAAGCAGCUAGCCUAGCUCCUUCUUGUAGUUGCAGUUUGAAUGAUGCUGCUGCACAACUGCUGCCGAAAAAAUCCUUAAUAGAUGAUUAGCAAGGUUUCAAAAAUAAAAAUAAAUGUUUGUGCAAUGUGCCGAAUAUGACAGCCACAAAGAAAGAGCAUACAAAUUGACUGGUUUUAUGUCUUCUCUAGGAGAAAGCUACAAUACAAGAAAUUGUAUUGAUGCCAUGGACCAAAUUUCUUAUUUAAACUUUUAAUUUUUUUUUAUUAAAAUUACUUAUGUUAUUAUGGUUUAUAUUUUUAGAAAUUCUUUAGAAAUUAAUACAGAACUAGUAGCAAGUUGAGAAAUCUAAUGAAUGGUCGAGAUAUGAUCAUGUUUAUUGAAUUAAAUUGACAAUCAUCAUUUUGAUAAAUUAUUGUUAGGAUAUUUGAUUCAUCACAGGUGUAAGUAACUAAAUGUGCUAAAAAAAAAGUUAAUGAGUUGUGAGUGUUUGAUAUUCGUUUGUUGUAAUUCUUUUAAUAAUUGUUGUGGGAAAAAAAUUAUGGUAAAAAAAUUAUAAUUAUAAAAUAAAAAUUAAUAAUAUAUUAUAAAUAAAAUUUUUAAAUAAUAAUUUUAAUAAAAUAAUAAAUAUAUUAUGAAUUUUUCAUUAUAAAUUUUUAAGUUAAAAUAAUAAAUAUUUAUUAAAUAUUUUAAUAGCACAACUUUUAAAUUAUAACAGUACAAUGUAAAUACCAGAGGUCUUAAAAAAUAAAAUUACAGUCAAGUUUUAAAACUGUUAAUAAUGCUAUUCAUAAAGGCGCUCGUCGUGUAAACAACACAUGGGACCCAACCAAUAAAUGUUUAUGAUCCUCAACUUUCCUCCUCACCGUCCCUGCAAACAAUUCUGAUUUUCUUGUCUGAGAAAAAAACUGAGAAACAAUGGCGGCCGAACAAGAAGCUGUGAGCAAUAAGCGGGUGAUUCUAAGCAACUAUGUGACAGGUUUUCCAAAAGAAUCGGACAUGAAGAUAACAUGUGGAUCAAUAAAACUGGAGGUAGCAGACGGUUUAAAAGACACGGUGCUUUUGAAGAAUCUUUAUAUUUCUUGUGAUCCUUACAUGCGAGAGCGUAUGAGCAAGCUUGAUAGACCUUCUUUUGUUGAUUCAUUCCAUCCUGGUGAGGUUAGUUCAUCACGACCCAUCUCUUGAUUUUUUUUUUUUUUCAUUUGCUUCAAGUUUUGAUGAGUUUCUGAGGUCAUUUGUACGGUUUUGGAAUGUGAACACUAUUAGUGAUUUUGGGGCUGUAACUGUCAUUAAUGAUAUGUAGUAAUUCAAUCAGAAUUUGGAUUUAGUGCUGAUAUGAUCUCUGCUCAUUUUUUAAAAUCUUGUGUCCAGAUGCAUUUUUAUAAUCUUGUACGGUUGAGAUUGUAAGUAGAUUAAUCUACGUGCAGUAUUCUUGUCUAAUGACUACUAACCACAACCUUAUGAGACGAUCGAAACCAAGCUCAGAUCAAUAAUCCAAUUGAGAGAGGGUCCUAACUCAAGCUUAUCGUGUGUAGGAAUAUUUCGGUUAAAUUGUAAUUCUUUUAAUAAUUGUUGUGAAAAAAAAAAAGUUAUGAUAAAAAAAUUAAUAAUUAUAAAAUAAAAAUUAAUAAUAUAUAAUAAAUAAGAUUUUUAAAUAAUAAUUUUAAUAAAAAAUAAUAAAUACAUUAUCAGUUUUUCAUCGUUAAUUUUUAAGUCACAACCACAAAUAUUUACUAAACACUUUAACACCAUAAUUAACACCACAACUAUUGAAUUAUAACUGUACAAUCUAGACGCCAAGAGGCCUUAGUAUGAAAAAAAAAAAUUACAGUUAAGUUAAAAUUCAUCAUACAGAUGUGCCACUUUCAUACUAUACCGGGAUCCUCGGUAAUGAUUUUUGUUACACAAUAAGAUUUGCUUAUAGUAAUAUCAAUACAUAUGCUGCUUAAAUGCUUUCUGAUUUUUUGCCGGCCAUUGUCCAUUUUGCCAGGGAGUCUAUAAUUGAAGGAAUUUACUGAAGGAAUGCUGAUUGUUGGGAAUUUGAUUAUUCUAGGUAUGCCUGGUGUAACUGCAUACGCUGGUUUAUACGAAGUUUGCUUUCCGAAGAAAGGAGAGUAUGUCUAUGUAUCUGCAGCAUCUGGAGCUGUUGGUCAGCUUGUUGGACAGUUUGCAAAAUUAGCUCGUUGCUAUGUUGUUGGAAGUGCAGGAAGCAAAGAAAAUAUAGCACCGUGCCUUCUAGCAGAAUUUUACUUGCUUUAUGUUCCAACUAAGCAUCCAUAUUUGAUCAUGAUAAUUAGCAAGGUCAAUAAUUUUUUUUUGACUAUUUUUUCAACGUAAGGUCGAUUUGUUGAAGAACAAGUUUGAACGAUGCUUUUAACUACAAGGAAGAGCCUGAUUUGGAUGCAGCACUCAAAAGGUCAGCUGCAACAAACGUUUCAACUCUAAUAUUUCAUUUUAAUAUUACAGAGCUUUGGUUGAAGUGUGUGAGUUGAUCCCAGAAACGUAACUUCAUCAGUGUCUCUGUUUUCAAAAAACAGGACAAAUAGAAAUCUGAUUUUGCUUUAAAAUUUCCCAGAUGCUUCCCUCAAGGAAUCGACAUAUAUUUCGAAAAUGUUGGGGGAAAGAUGCUGGACGCAGUGCUACUCAACAUGAGGCUCCGGGCCGCAUUGCAGUAAGCAGUAUGAUCUCACAGUAUAACCUGGAAAAACCCGAAGGCGUUCACAACUUAGAGCAACUGAUCGGGAAACGGAUUCGCCUGGAAGGAUUUCUAGCUGGUGAUUACUAUCACCUCUAUCUGAAAUUCUUGGAACUGGUCAUUCCUCCAAUCAGAGAAGGAAAGAUGCUGUAUGUGGAAGACAUGGCCGAAGGACUCGAGAAAAUUUCUCGUAACUGCUACACAUUAAACGCGUUUCACAUUUCCACUCUCUUUCUAUAAAUAAAUACGCACAUAAAAUUUCUCACCAUCCAAAAACAAAAUCUACAUAAAAAAUGGCGGGUGAAGAAGCAGUGAGCAACAAGCAGGUGAUUCUGAGCAACUACGUGACAGGGUUUCCCAAGGAAUCAGACAUGAAGAUAAUAACAGGCUCAAUAAACCUUAAGGUGCCAGAGGGUUCAAAAGACACAAUGCUUUUGAAGAAUCUUUAUCUUUCUUGUGAUCCUUACAUGAGAGGACGUAUGAGCGAGCUUGAUAAGCCUUCGUUUGUUGCCUCAUUCGAGUCUGGCGAGGUCAGUUACUUCAAUUCCCAUCUCUUGGUUUCAUAAUCUUUUAUGGUUUUAGAAGGUGUUUUAGGGAAACAUUGUGGUUUUGGUUAGUGGGCAUGAGUCUUUGAAGAGAUUAUAAUGUGUAGGACUAUGCAUGCAAUAAUAAGCAUAGGGGAUCUUGUUAGGAGAAGAUUCUCUUAGCAAAAUAAAAACUUUUAUCUUAUCAAAACAUAUGCAGGGAACUUAGUUAUGAUGUCAUGUUAGCAUUAUCUCUGAGGAUUUGAUUUCUUGAUGGGGAAAGGGGAAUUUAAGGUUACAUUAUUCAGCAAUGUUUUUUUUUUAAAAAAUUAUGUUCAAAUUAUGCAGCCUUUAAGCGGAUAUGGAGUGUCCAAAGUGUUGGAUUCCACGCCUCCAAAUUAUAAGAAAGAUGACUUGGGUGGCGUUUGUUUUUUAACUUAAUGACUUAAAGUGACUUAACUUAAUUAAUUAAGUUAAUUAGAGAUGUUUGUUUUUAUAACUUAAUGUGACUUUUUAAAUAAUUUUGACUUAAUAAAAUAAGCCAAUUUUAUUUACUUUUUACUUAAUAGAGACAUCUGAAUUAAGUCAAGUACUUUCUAAUGUCAAAAAUAUACAUGCUUUAUAAUUUAUUUUUCAUGUCUAUCCCAAAACUCACCCAUAGACAUUUACCCCACAUAAUAAUCUCAUCAUUAUUUUUUUAGCCGUCAUGAAAUCCCUCCUCACUUUGGUAUCAACUCCUCAACUAUUGAAGAUCAAAAUUACAUGCGACAACUUCGAGAUGAAUGGCAAAUCAACUGUUUCAAGCAUCUUAUUCGUUUUUUUUCUUUUUUAUAUUAUAUACGAUAAAAUUUGAAAUUUAUGGUAUUUUAUAUAUUAAAAUUCCAAAAUCAUUAUAUAUUCACUUGAAUAUAGUUUUACUUAUAAAUGUUAAAAUAUUGUGAUAUUUAAUAUAUUAUUUAUUUGACAUUCAAAUUUAAUAAGGAUACAAAUGUAAAAGUACAUAUUUUUCAGUUUUUUAAGUUGAAAAAAGCAAACAACUUAAUAAUUAUUUUUCGAGAUUCAGACGAAAAAACAAACAUAUUAUUCAGAUUCAGACAUUCAGAUCUAUUCAGAAUUUAGACUAAUUCAGGUCUAUUCAGAUUUCAGAUAAAAAAACAAACGCCACCUUGGUCCGGGGCUUAACCAGUUGGGAGGAGUUCAGUCUCAUCCAAUCACCACAACUUCUGAUUAAAAUUCUGGAUACAAGUGUGCCUCUGCCAUAAUUAAUUGACAGGUUGCUAUGUUGUUGGAAGUGCCGGAAGCAAAGAAAAGGUGAGUUUGCACCCUUAACCCUUACGCUCUAAAUAAAAACAUAACACCUUCUGAAAGAAUUGUGCAUAGAGAAUUUUGCAUGUCACAUUAUUUGUGUUCUAACUAAUCAUGGAUAUUUGAUCAUUAGUCUAACUAAAACUGACAUAUUACCACCUAGUUGACUGGUCUUUGAGAAAUGUUAGUUGAUAUAUGCUUGAAAUCAUACUUGUUUUAUUAGAUGAUUAUAUUAACCUGCUUCUUUUUCUUUGUGCUGUUUCUCGUUUGAUUACAUUUUCAACAUUAGGUCGAUCUAUUGAAGCACAAGUUUGGGUUUGAUGAUGCCUUUAACUAUAAGGAAGAGCCUGACUUGGAUGCAGCUCUUAAUAGGUUAGCACGAAUGAAUGCUUUAACCAUUUUUCUCACUUCAUUAUUACAAUGCGCUGAUUGAAGUAAUCAGUGUUGGCUCUGAAAAUGUAACGUAUACUUCUCUGUUUUCAUAAAACAGGACAAACAGUGAUCAGUGAUCUCAUUCGUUACAUUGAUAUUUUCUACCAUUGCCAUACAUAGUAUAAACUAGGAAUUCAGUUGCUUAAUAGAUAUUCAUUUCAGAGGGAAAUUUUCACUUGCAGCUAACAGAAUCAUGUUUGUGAUGUAUGUUUAUUUGGGAAAUGAAAGGAUUUGUUGCAUUAUUUUAUUCCAAGUUUGCUGAAAUCAUAUUUGUUUUCCCAGGUGCUUUCCUGAAGUUAUCGACAUCUAUUUCGAAAAUUUUGGAGGUAAGAUGCUUGAUGCAGUGCUACUCAACAUGAGAAUUUGUGGCCGCAUCGCUGUAUGCGGAAUGAUCUCACAGUACAACUUUGAGAAGCCUGAAGGUGUACACAACUUGAUGCAAGUAGUUGGAAAACGAAUUCGCAUGGAAGGAUUUCUUGCCAGUGAUUUCUACCACCAAUAUCCAAAAUUCUUGGAACUGGUUAUGCCGGCAAUCAAAGAAGGAAAGUUAGUAUAUGUCGAGGACAUAGCUGAAGGCCUCGAGAAAGCUCCAUCAGCCCUAGUUGGGAUAUUCACAGGUCAAAAUGUUAAAAAACAACUGGUUGUAGUUGCUCGGGAAUGAUAUGAUUACUAUAUGCUUUAAAAAGUGGACUUUGCCAUGCACUUUAAAAGCUUAGUGAAGAUGCCUUUGUCUUAUUUUUGAUACAUGUUAUGUUUGUUUGAUCAAGUUGUACUCAGCUAUAAAUCAAAGAUUCAGAACAUGUGUAUGAUACUGGUUUCUAAAUCAAUGAACGCGUUGAAAUGUUAGUGUUUUCACAGGAGAAUGCAAUUUAAUUCAUCAACAAUGUCCCAACAAGACCCUCAGAGCUGUAGCUUGUAAAGUUAAUUACGAUAUUUUUUUGUAAAGUAAAUUACCAUAUUUUUUUCUUUCCAAUAUAUUGCUUAUUUCAUAGAAAGUUUACAUUAAAGUCUCAUGUUUCUUUGAAAGGUAAGCAAGUGUGAACGUUUCAAUCUAGAGCUGGAAAAUGCAUUUCCGGGCAACUUACUUGAUACAUGAAGUUUUCAUCUCUGACCUUGAUGUUUCCCAUAGUUGCAUUCAUUUCAGCUGAUCUAUUUAAUUUUGUUUUCGAAGGAGUGACACAAAAUCUCCUUUGUUAAGGGGAGAAUUUAGAGUGGCUUUGACUGUUAGCAAAUAGCCUAAUGUAAGACUUAACCAACUUCCUGCCCUGUUGUAUGCUUAUGAAUUUUGAUAGAGCUAAGAGUUUGCAGAAGCUACUGUAUUAUUUGUCGUUAGAGGCUGUAAAAAUCAAACACAUUUAAAUUUCAAUGAAAAUUUACUGGAAGUAAAUUUCCUAUGAUCCCACAGGUGACUAAUUAAUGAGAACUUGACAAUGACAAAAGAAAGUCUAUGAACUUUGCAGGCUGGCAUGCCAAUAUUGACUGGGUGGCACCAUCCACCAUCUGCAAGUGAAUAUCAUUGUUGUUUAAUCAACAAGGUGGAGUCCACUGGGACCACACCACAUCGUCAGCCUUAUCUCUAUUCCUCAAUUUUCAGUAUUCCAUACAUCAAACCAAUUUCAGUUUUGUUAUCAAUUAUAAUUUUAUUGUUGGUGACGAUUCUGAUUCCUUUCUGACAAAAGGGAACCAUGGCUGCUGCUGGAGAGAUCUUACUCAACGCCUUCUUUCAGGUACUGUUCGACAGGUUGGCUUCUCGUAAUUUGCUCAGCUUUGUGCGUCAACUCCAAGGCGGGGUUGAUUCGGAGCUCAAAAAGUGGGAGAAAAAGCUGAAGAUGAUUCGGGCUGUGCUCUGCGAUGCAGAGGAGAAGCAACUGACUGACGAGGCUGUGAAGAUGUGGCUGGACGAACUCCAAGACUUGGCUUAUGACGCUGAGGACACUCUUGAUGAGUUUGCUACUCAAGCUUUGGAAAGCAAGUUGAUGGCGCAAAAUCACGAUAGUUCUGGCCAGGUUCUCAGUUUCAUCCCGGCUGGUUUGAAUCCGAAUGCUAUUAUGUUCAAUUAUAGCAUGGGGUCCAAGAUGAAAGAUAUUACUAGCCGGCUGGAGCAACUCUGCCAAGAAAGAAUUGAACUUGGACUGCAACGGAUUACCGGAGAGGCAUCAUCAACUGCUGCUGCUGCACACCAGAGGCCACCCAGUUCGAGUGUCCCAACAGAACGUGAAGUAUUUGGAAGAGAAAAAGAUAAGGCCAAAAUUCUUGAUAUGUUAUUAGCCGAUACCAUAAGUGAUCAUGCUAACUUUGUUGUAAUACCCAUUGUUGGCAUGGGUGGGAUAGGAAAAACAACUCUCGCUCGGGAGGUUUACAAUGACAAAGCCGUUGGAGGUUCCAAGUUUGAUGUAAAAGCAUGGGUUUGUGUAUCUGAUGUCUUUGAUGUUUUGGGCAUCUCAAAGGCACUUCUCGAGUCAAUCACCCGCAGGCCUUGUCUUCUAAACAGUUUAAAUGAAGUGCAGGUUGAAUUGAAAGUAGCUGUGGAUAAGAAAAGAUUCUUGCUGGUCUUAGAUGAUGUUUGGAACGAGGACUACAGCUUGUGGGUAGACUUAAAAGCUCCGUUCCUGGGUGCUGCACCAAACAGUAAGAUGAUCGUCACCACACGCAAUUCAAAUGUUGCAUCAACAAUGGGACCAAUUGAACAUUACAAUCUCAAGAGUCUGUCAGAUGAUGAUUGCUGGUCCAUUUUCAUAAAGCAUGCAUUUGAAUCUAGAGAUCUUAACGCACAUCAAAUUUCAGAAUCAUUCCGCAAGAAAGUUGUUGCCAAGUGUGGAGGCUUGGCCCUGGCAGCAAAAACACUCGGAGGCCUUCUGCGUACGACGAGGCAUGAUGCGUGGGAUGAUAUAUUAGAGAGCAAAAUAUGGGAUUUACCUCGACAAAGUGGGGUUCUCCCAGUAUUAAGAUUGAGUUACCAUCAUCUUCCUUCUCAUUUGAAAAGAUGUUUUGCUUUUUGUGCCAUCUUUCCAAAAGAUUAUGAAUUCACUGAGAAGGAGCUGACUUUCUUAUGGAUGGCUGGAGGUAUUAUUCGACAGUCAAGAAACAAUGAGCAGCUGGAAGAUUUGGGCAGCAAGUGCUUUGGUGAUCUAGUGUCGAGGUCAAUUUUUCAGCAAACAGCAAGCUCUGAUAGUUCUAAAUUUGUAAUGCAUGACCUUAUUCAUGAUCUUGCUGAAUUGGUCUCUGGAGAAACCAUAUUCAGGUUAGAGGAGGCCAAUACUCUGUCAAGAAGAUUUGAAAGGGUUCGCCAUUCUUCCUAUGCUUGUGGUGGAUGUGAUGGUAAAAAUAUGUUCGUGGUUUUCAAUGAAAUUGAACAUCUACGAACAUUCUUGCCAUUACGCUUACGCAUAAGAGGUGGCUCUAAUACUAGUUACAUAACUCGUACGGUUCUAUCUGAUUUGCUGCCGAAGUUCAAAAUGUUGAGAAUGCUAUCUUUACAAGGAUACCGUAUUGGUGAGUUACCAAUUCCAUUUGAAGAUUUGAGACUACUAAGGUUCCUCAACCUUGCUGACACUGACAUAAGAAGUUUACCUGAGUCAACAUGCAAAUUGCUGAACUUGGAAAUUUUGAUAUUAAGAAAUUGUUCCUAUUUGAUAAAGCUUCCGCAGAAAAUGAGGAAUUUGAUCAAUUUACAUCACCUCGAUAUAAGAGGUGCGAAGUUGCUGAAGGAGAUGCCAUUCGGAAUGAAAGAGUUGAAGAAGCUUCAAACAUUGUCCAAUUUCAUCGUGGGCAAGGGCGAAACUGCAUCUGGUUUGGAAGAUUUAAAAUGUUUAAACUUUCUUGGUAAUGAACUUUGCAUUGCUGGAUUAGAGAAUGUGAAUAAUCCACAGAAUGCAAGAAGAGCCGCAUUAUGCGAGAAGCUCAAUCUUGAAGCAUUGACUCUAGAAUGGGGGUCUCAAUCUGACAGUCCUCGAGAUGCAGUACCAGAAGAGAAUGUACUUGACACUCUACAGCCGCAUAAACGUAUAAAAGAGCUGGCAAUCAGACACUAUGGUGGUGCAAGAUUUCCACUUUGGAUCGGAGAUCCUUCAUUCUACGAGAUGAAGGUCCUUAAAUUGGAGAACUGUGACAAUUGUGUAUCUUUGCCGUCGCUUGGCCUGAUGAGUUCACUUAAGCACCUUGCUGUUAAAGGGCUGAAGAAACUAAAAAGCAUAGAGUCUGAGGUUUAUGGGGAGGGUUUCUCAAUGCCUUUUCCGUCACUGGAGAUUCUAAGUUUCGAGAAUUUGCCAGAAUGGGAGCAUUGGGACACCGAGAUCAAAGGAAAUGCGCCUGUUGAUUUAUUUCCUCGUCUCCAAGAACUUUCCAUUGCAGAAUGUCCCAAACUCUCUGGACAACUGCCUGAGCUCCUGCCUUCCUUGAAGACACUUGUUGUUAGUAAAUGUGAAAAGUUGGUAGUUCCAUUGUCUUGCUAUCCAAUGCUUUGCAGAUUAGAAGUUGAUGAGUGCAAAGAACUAGUCUGCCGGACUCCGAUUGAUUUUAAGUUGAUAAAGUCCAUGACUAUUUCAAAUAGUUCAUUAGACAUGAAUGGACGCAAGGGGAUGUUAUACGAUGGUCCAGCUGGCUCUUCACUGCCAAACCCCAUGACUACUACAAAUGUUUUAGAGUUUGGAAAAUUAUUGAAGCCUGGAUUUCAGAUAUUCGAAACUUUGGUAAUUGGCAAUUCUGAACAGCUCAAGUUAUGGAGGCAGCAUGGGGAUUUUCCGAAAAAAUACAUGGUCACUGACCAUGGGUUCAAGAAACCAGUACGAGGGCUGAAUAUGCUCGCUUCCCCUGAAGAGGUAACAAUUGAAGAAAGUUGCGUACGUCUUGUUUUGAUUCCAGAGAUCAAUUUCCUUCUCAGAAAUCUGCGCUCUCUUAUAAUUAACAACAGCACUGCUUUCAAAUCCUUACCCGAGGAAAUGAUGGAAAACAAUUCACAACUCGAAAGAUUGUAUAUCAGAGAUUGCGACUCUCUAAUAUUCAUCGCAAGACGGAGGCUACCAGCAUCUCUUAAAAGGUUUGAGAUAGGAAAUUGUGAGAAAUUGCAACGUCUGUUCGAUGAUGAAGAGGAUGCUUCUUCUUCUUCUUCUCCUUCAUCCUCGUCUUCCCCAGUGAUGCUGCAACACCUGAGUAUAGAGAACUGCCCAGAGCUCACCAGUUUAUCAUCGGGUGUCCAAUUCCUUGAGGCGCUUGAAGACCUCGUGAUACAGCAGUGUCGAAAGCUGGAGUCAAUACCGGAUGGCCUGCCCAAUCUUAAAUGUUUACAGAGCAUUAAUAUACGGGAAUGUCCAAGUCUUGUUUCCUUAACAGAAAGAGGGCUUCCCAACACCAUUUCAUUUGUUUACAUUUGCAGAUGUGACAAGCUCGAAGCCUUGCCCAAUGAUUUGCACAAACUCAGCUCUCUUCGAGAAUUAUUCAUACAGCUCUGUCCAAAUCUUGUAUCGUUUCCAGAAGAAGGUUUUCCUACCAAUCUAACAACACUUGUAAUUGGAGAUUUCAAAAUGUAUAAGACACUCGUCCAGUGGGGGUUGCACAGGCUUACCUCUCUUAAACGCCUCUGGAUUGCUGUACGUGAUGAUGAAGCAGAGUGUUUUCCAGACGAGGAGAUAGGAAUGACGCUGCCCACCUCUCUCACUGAUCUGCACCUUUUUGAUUUCGAAAAAUUGAUAUCUCUGUCUGCGACGGGUUUUCAGAGUCUCACCUCUCUUCAGAGUUUGUGGAUCGGGAAUUGCCCGAAUCUCACAUCAUUUCCAGAGGUGGGCCUUCCAUCCUCACUUUUGGGCUUAGACAUUAGAUAUUGUCCAAAGCUUAAAACAGCGUGCAAAAGAGAUGAAGGAAAAGAGUGGUCCAAAAUUGCUCACAUCCCUCACGUUGAGAUAGACGGUAAAUUCAUAUACGAUCCAGAAGCAGAGGAGUAGGUUCUACUAUUAAGGUCAGUUGAUUUGUAUUAUCCGCUAUAACAAGCUCCUCCUUUUUUAUUUUUUUUAAAAAUAAUAAUUUUGCAGUCACUCACGUGAUUCCGUUUUCACAAGUCAGAUUGUAUGUUGAGGCUAUUUGCCUUUUAAUCGCAGAUUAAAUUAUAACACUUAUCUUAAAAUUUAAUACCAUACACAGAUAGACGAUUUUUUAAUCCAAAGUUUUUUUUAUUCACUUCAGUUAGCAUUUUUUUUUUCCCCAAAUCAUGCAAGCCGAGAGUUUCAAUCAAGAAUUGGAGGAUGUGAAUGGGAUUUUUGUGAAAGAGUAACAUAAUGGAUGAACGAACAUUUCAUAUGUGAUCUCAAAGUCAACAGAAUUUUAUUCACUCGUUGACUUUUCAACUGCUGUGGUUAUUUAUGGGUGAAAGAUAAGGGCAAUUACAAAAAAUUUGCAAAAUUUGUCAAUUUCUUAGAUGGUAGAAAUUGGAGUAUAAUAUUUUGGAGCAAGCAUACUUGAAAUUUCUGUCUUCAAUAUUUUGAUGCUUUCUUAUCCCAUGCACAAAAGUACUAGAAAAAACUAAUAACAACUAACCGAAAAUCCCAGGCGUCAUAUUCCUUUUUACCGCGUUUUAAAAUGCACAACAAUGAUAUUCUUACAAAUUUGCAAAAUUUGUCAAUUUCUUAGAUUUCAGAUAUUUUAAUGCUUUUUUUAAUUUUUGAUCUAGUAAAAAUACAUAGCCUUCACCGGCAGGAUUCUAGUCUUGGCUUUCACCUCUCUAACUCAUCUGUUCCCAUUGGGAUUCCAGAAGCUAGAAAAAUGUGUAGUUUUCAGAUAAGGAGGCUUGUCAGUUCUCUAGUAAGAAUCCAAUGAUUUGCUUUUGAACGUCCAUCUAAUUUGUGGAUCCUUGCAUCAGAAUUUGAUCAAUCCAAAAGGAAUUGCUUUUAGACAGAAGAAGAAUAGCAGCACCUAGCCUACCCGCAAACCUGAAACUAUUAGAUUGAGGUAAAAAAAUCAUUGACCCUCACAUGUUAACUUCUUCUAGUUACUUUCGUUGGGAAAAAAAAAAACAUUUAAGGAAUUUGCAAUUUGUUGUUAGUUAUGGUAUCUGAUGUUCUUUUCUGCUUUAGCAUUUGUAGAAUCUACUGUAUUAUGUGUUGGCAGUUGCCGUAUCUGAGGUAACUUGCCUUUAUUUGUUUGCUUCUGACUUAAGGACACCAACAUUUGCCAGAGAUUUAGAGAAUCAUCUCAAAACACUUAGCAAACUUGACAAACUUCAAGAUGCACUUGCCCCCACGCCUUAUUCUCAACAACGCAAAACUUGUGAGUACACCUAUGCCUGCAAUUAUUGUGAAGUGUUCGCAAUUCUGAUGCAGAGAAAUGGUUUCUUGAUGCAAAGUAUUAAACUGUUAAGAUUUAUCCUGCAGGCUUGUUAGAUGCUGGAUACGCGAAAAGCCAACAACAUCAAGAACUGCAACUCCAAGACCAGCUUUGCGUUAAUUCAGUCAGCUGUAAUAAUGAUGCAAAUGACACUAUAUCAAGCUGGACUUAGAGACUAGUCAGAUAAAUCAUCCAUUUCAUCAACGGUUAAUGUCAUGAUGGUGGCUAUCAGAGGAAACAAAAGAUGUGUCGGAAUCUAUACAAACAUUGAGAAGCAUGAGAGGAGCUUUGAUUUUGAGUAGGGUCAAUGAACUCAUAUUGGUAAGUGGUAAUUAAAGAAACUUUGUAAGCUUAGUAGAGUUUCAGUAUUUUCUGUUUGGAGUAUAGUUGAUAAGUUGACUCUGUUUAAGAAGCCCGAUUAUAGUAGCUGACUGUAUUAACCUUUUUUUUUUUUUUUUUGGGUCUGCUGUUGUUUUUGGUUUCGAUUAUUUUUUCAACAUUGGGUUGAUCUGUUGAAGAACAAGCUUGGGUUUGAUUAUGCUUUAACUACAAGGAAGAGCCAGACUUGGAUGCAGGCGUUAAGCUUUUAAUGGGUAAGAACAAAUGAAUGCUUUAACUAUGUUUCUCACUUAUUAAAAUGCACGGAUUGAAGGCAUCUGGGUUGAUCCUGACAAUGUGAUGGAAAUACUUCUCUGUUUUCAUAUAACAGGACAAAUAGAGAUCUCUGAUCAUGCCUGAAUUUUUGUUGCAUUGAAAUUUCUACCAUUAUCAAACAUAGAAUGAACUAGGGAUACAUUAGCUUAAGACUAAAUUUUGAGAAGGAAGUUUGUACUUGCAGCCUAUAAAAUCAUGUCCAUGUUGUACGUUUCUUUGGGAAAUGAAAGAUUCUGUGUGUUCUUUUAUUUCAAGUUCACUGAAAUCACAUUUGUUUUCUCAGCUGCUUUCCAGAAGGUAACAACAUCAAUUUCAAAAAUGCUGGGGCAAGAUGUAUCAUGCAGUGCGACUCAACUUGAGAAUUCCUGGCCACAUUACCCGUAUGUCUAAUGAUCGCACAGUACAACCUUGAGAAGCUUGUAAUGAGUACACAACUGGGUGCAAGUAGUUUUGAAAUGAAUUUGCCUCAAAUGAUUUCUUGCCGGUGAUUAAUAUAACCUCUAUUCCAAAAUUCUUGGAACUGGUCAUACUAGCAAUGAAGGAUUGCAUACAUUGAAGACAUAGCUGAAGGCCUUGCGAGAGCUCUGUCAGCCCUUGUACCGGAAAACAGCUGGUCGUAGUCGCUUGUGAAUGAUAUGAUUAAUAGAUACUGCAAAAAUGAAUUGUGCCAUACAUUUUCAGCGCUCUGUGAAGAUGUCUUGGUCAUUUGUUUGAUGCUUGUUUGAUUUAUGUUGUAUUCAGCCAUAAAUCAGAGAUUCAGAACUUGGGUAUGUUUCUGGUUUCCAAAUCAAAAAAUUGCCUUGUGAUGUUAGUGUUCACUGUUUUCACAGGAGAUCAGGUUCCUUGUUAAUGAAUCAAGAAGAAGGCAAGCGCAUCCAUGUCCAAGUUCAAAUGUGUCUCCUCUAUUUUCUAUUACCCACUCAUUUAUUUUGAUUUCUUCAUUGUAAUUGAAUUAGUUUUUUAUUCCAAAUUAGUCAAAACCUCGUAGAGUCAUUAAGUUCUUUUAGCAUUUAAAGACAGAACUACGAACCAAAUGAUUUAAGUUCUUCGUUGUAAUUGAAUUUGCUUUCCCAUCUUUAAAGAUAUUAUGUUCUUUUUCACUUUUUCGAUUUGGUUAGUGGUGAUUUCUUAAAGACUCAAUCCAUUUGCGUUAAUACAUUUUUCUUUUGCCUUGAUUUCUGUUUCUUGGGGAGUUUAUACAUAUUCUUAUUUUAUGCUACACAUGCCAUAUACAGAUUCUUAUUUUAUGCUUCACAUGCCACAUGAAAGGUCAAAGCCUUGUGUGUGAUUAGAAUUUACUGGCAUCAUAGUAACUUUAAACCAUUGUGACGUUUUAGUAAUAACAGUCUGAGCUCUCCCUGAAGGAUUCAAAGCAUUUUAUUUUAUAUUAUACUCCUUUAUAUGGUUUGGCUGGUCUCUUUUAAGGCAAUUCCUGUUUAAAGUAAUCAAAAUUUUGAUUUCGAAGUGUCUUUCAACACUACCGCUAGUUCUUUAAGAAAAGUAAAUCGAUUUUGAGUCUUCUGUAUCAUCUGAUUGAAAUACAUGAAAGCACUCUUAGCUGCAAAAGUACACUUGGAGUUAUAAUAGCAUUCUGAAAUCUCCUUGAAGGAUUCAAAAGCUCUUUAUUUGCUAGUCUUUGCUUGCAAUAAACUCCUUUAAUAUACAUUGGUUGAUCUUCUUUAAAGCAAUUACCAUAAGUUCUUUAAAUAAUAAAACGAUUUUGAGUCUUCUGUAUCAUCUUGUUGAAAUACAUGAAAGCACUCUUGGCUGCAAAAAUGCACUUGGGGUUAUAUAUAAAGUCUUCAACAGAAUUUUAUUUCCCCCUUUAUCCUCAUGGUGGUUUUUUUAGUUGUUUUUUAAGAAAUCGCUUGAAGGUUCUCUUUAAAAAUAAUUUUAACAUAAGCAUUCUUUAGAAGCACUUUAGAUGUCUGGCAUUUAGAAAAUUUUGUUCCUGUGUUCACAUAAUAUAAUAUAUAUAUAGAAAGCUGACUGUAGAAUAGAGGAGAACGAGUUGGUGUUGGUCUGAACUCUGAUCUUUGAACCUCAUGUGACUCCACUACUUUUUACUUGUUCUGUACAAGGUCUUUUAGCUUUUCAAAAAGUUUUAGCUUUAUGGAUAAAAUACUGUUAAUUGUAAUCUAUAAAUAAUGAAAGGAAUUAAUAAAAUAUUAGGUAAAUUUUAUUUUCUAAAGUGUUAUGAGUUCUAAAACGGCUGUAUGUAUAUAAAUUUAUUUACACAUAUAUUUAUAAAUAUGAUUAUAUAAUAAUAUUUUAUGUGUACAUAUCAUAAUUGAUAACUAAAAUAAAUAUUUUUAUUUUAUUAAUGGUUUUUUCGUCUCAAUGUAGUUGGUAAUAAUAAUCUCUUUAGAUGUAACGAUUUUAUUUCCUAACUGAAUAAGGAAAAUUUUAGAUUUUUAUAAUAAAUGUUAAAUAUAUUUAGAAUUACAUUAAGUAUGAAAUAAUCCUCAAAAUUAGAUUUUGAAAAGUUAUUCUUUUCUUGCUUUUAAAAAUAUGUCAUAUGAUGAGAUGAUUUUACUAAAAGUGAUUUUUUUAAAAAAAAUUACUAAACAUCAAAAUUAACUCUUAACUUUUUAAAAUCAUUUCUAAUCUUCUCAUCCUAAGUUCUUUAUUGUUUUGUACAAAAUCCAAGGUUUUGACUUUUAUAAAAUGCCCACUCAAAAAUAAAUUAUUUUCUAAUUAAGAUUUGUUGUUAAUGUAUAACUCGAAGUAAUAUUAGAUAUUUGUAAUUUUAUUUCAAAAAUUUUAUUCAAAUGAUAUGGCAAGCAAUGAACAAUAGUUGAUAGCAAUUUGUUUUUUUUUUUAACAAUGUUCAAAUCAAUCAGUUGCAUUAUCUCACCAUUUUUAUGAUGUCAUGUUAUUUUAAAUGAUUUUUUUAAUUUUUAUAUAAAGCAUACGACGUGUUAACAUCAUUUGCAUAACUUGACCUUUUUUUUUUCCUACAAAUAGUAAGUCAAAUUUACUCACCCUAUUUGUACCUAAAAUCUACCUAAAACUCAUGCAUCACUGUAAAGCAAAUCCAAAGAUUGCGGUACGUUUUUCUUGGUAAGAAAUCAAUAAUUAGGUCAAGUACCGCUACUAAGCGUGCUCAAUUAAUUCUAAAAUACGGUGAUCAAACUCAUACUUCACGCAAGAGGAUAAGGGCUAAACCUCAAUUAGGCAUUAUUCAUCCAAAAUUCAUUGACUGGGCAUUCUUUGCAAGUGGUAGCAUGGGACAGCUAAGAUAAUUAGCAAAUGAUAUGGACCAUACGCACCCGUAUGUUUGUGACAUGUGAAUCUUGGCAUUAAAGGAAAGGUAAUGUGUUAAAAUUUAAUAGAGCCCAACUCUUCAUUGAAUGAUUAUCAGAUCCAACGAGCAUCCUUUGAUGGGAUUAUUUUAAGUCAAUUAUUGGUGGAUUGGGGCCCACUUGACUCUACCAAAUCGGGCUCCACCAUAUCACCUAUUAACGACCACCUGUCCUUAUCAUAAAUAGCAAAUGUCACUUGUUUUAUUUUGUAUUUUACCAAAAGCAAAGUCACUACGAGCACUAAUGAAAGUGACCCCAAUUUUGGGGGUCAUGAACUUGGGAUUAUUAUGGACACAAGAGACAAGCGCAAUGUUUCUCAUUUCUCACUAGAUAAGAUUUAAGUUAUCAACCCAAUAUUAAUAAAUUCUGCUUGAAAAGUAAAGUUUGAAGCUUCAUUUUGCGAAUAUUCAAUGGUUAACAUUUAAGGGUGCGUUUGGGAUUGAGGUUGGGCAGCUGUAGCUUAAAAGCUACAGUACUAAAGUGUUUGGUAAACACUAGCUACUGUAGCUUUUAAGCUAUGUUGAUAUAAUUUUUCACUUGUAUAAUAUAAAAUUUAUUAUAUCUUUAAUAAUUUUGAUAAAAUUAUUAUUUAAAAUUUAUAUUUACUAUAUAUUAUUAACUUUUAUUUCAUAAUUACAGCUUUUUUUUCACAGCAGCUGUAGCUUAAAAGCUACAGCACCUCAAUCCCAAACACACCCUAAGUAAUUAACCUGAUAUUAAUCCAAUUAAACUUUUUAUGUAAUCCAAGUCAAACAUAUAUUGAUAAACCUAAAUUAAUCUAAUUGGACAUAUUAUUUCAACUUGAAAAGGUGAAUCUAUCAUUUUUCAAUUAAUUUUGAAUCAAGCUAUGUAAAAUAUAAGCUUAUUAAGGACAUAUUUGAAAAAUUCAAAUUGAAUUAUUUGACAAUUACAUUUCAACUAAGUUGUACUGCUAAUUAACUUCCUCAACUUAAAAUGUAUUUUUCUCAAUUAAUUCGUAACAAAGAAUGUUAGAUGUUUUGUUCGAAUAAUAACAUUCAACAUCCUUAUUCUUUAUGAUUAUUGCAUAAAAAAUAUAUUUUAUCCAUUUACGUCACAUAUGUUCCUAAAUUGUAUAAGAAAAUCACUAAAUUUACUCUUGUAAGUUACUAUAUCAAUGAACAUGAAAUUAACUAAUCAUUAAAGUCUCGGAAUGACAUCAUGAGGGGGAUUCAGUUACAUUUAUUGAUAGGAUUAUAUAUAUACCUUCUCAAAUAUUAGUAAGAGCAAUUAAACAGAUGCAGCAAUUAAAAAUAUGGAAUUACUUAUCUCGUCAAUAACUAACGAUAUUUUUUAUCUAUGCUCGAUAGGCGUCUGAGCUAUAUUAUAAAUUGUAAUAUUUGUAGAUUGUAACAAUUAUUAAAAAAAAAAAAAAAAGCUCCCUAAGACUAAAUGACAAAAGGACUGUUUUGAAAUAGAUAGAUAAAAUAUGCCCUUAUUUGAGAAAAGGUAAAACACUAGGGAUCUAAAUGUUAUUAUAAUCCCAUGCACAAAAAUACCAGAAAAAACUAAUAACAACUAACCGAAAAUCCCAGGCGUCAUAUUCCUUUUUACCGCGUUUUAAAAUGCAACAAUGAUAUCACUACUACAAAAAUGACAUUUACUGACACUUUGUUUCUGACACUUAGUAAAAAGUGUCAGAAAUGGUGUACAUUUGGACCAUUUUCCUCCUUUAACAAGUAUGUAUCAUAAAUCAUUGAUACUAAGGUGUCAGUAGCUUAAAACUCAGUGAUUAUUGAUACUAAAGCAUCAGUGAUAAAAAAAUAAUAGUAUUAAUUUUGUUUUAAUUUGAACUCGAACUCAAGAUCUCUAAACUUAAAAUUUGUAAGUUUAGAGUGCAAACCAUUGAUGCAAGUGUUUUUAAAUUUUCAAUUUGAUUAAUUUUUUUAUUUAAUUAAAUUUUAUACAAUUACUUUGUGGACAAUAAUAAUAAUAAUAAUAGUUUUGAGAAUAAUAUUUUUUAUUUUGCCACAUGUCAGCUUGUAAUUCGUUGUUAAUAAUAAUAAUUUUACUUGACCACGUGUCGACUUAUAGUUUGUUGUUUUAUUAAAUUACAAUGCGAACAACUACACUAUAUAAUUUUUCAAAGUAUAAAAUGAAAAUAAGAAACCCUAAAUCUAACCUAAUCAAACACACCACUUCUUAAGUUGCUGCCGCCGCUCCCCUGCUCCUUGACUUUCACUGCUGCCGGCCGCUGCUCCUCGACUUUCACUGCUGUCGGCUGUCGUUCCUUGACGUCACUGCCGCCUUUGCUCUGCUGUUGCCAAGCUUCAGCCACCGACGACUAGCUAGCCACCUUUCAGUACGUCGCUGCUACCACUUUUAUGCCGUCACAUCAACUUCAGCUCAGCCAGCCACCGUUCCUUUACCGCCGAGAUCAAGAACCAUUUCUUUCUCUUCUCUCUUUUGGUACAGGUAUGAAAAUAUUGCAGAGGAGUUAAUCUGUUAAUUACCUUUCUGUACGUCGCUGCUGUCAUUCGUGUACGUCAUUGCUGCUACUCAUCUUGGUCACUGCUGCCGCUCCUCUGCCGCCACGACAAGCUUCAGCCUUUUUGACAAAACAUUUCACUUGGAAUUAUAAGCAAACCCUUUUGAGACCAUAAAAAACUAAGCCAAUUUCUUUGGUUUCAAGGCCUUGUUUUUUCACUUUGAAAUCGGAUCAUACAAUGACAAGCCAAUUGAAAACUUCUGUUCAAGAUUUCAUUGUUAAAUUCAGCUUUAUUUUUAUUAUUUGUGUUCCUUUCAUUUUCUUUCCCUUUUUUUGAUUUUUAAUUCAAUUUGGGAUUUGACAGAUAUAUUUUUUAAUUUUUAUAAAAAUUUAUCUUAUUUGCAGGAUGCUAAGGGACAGGAUGUUGAUCUUAGCAUCUACAAGGGAAAGGUUCUUUUGAUUGUCAAUCUUGCAUCACAAUGGUGUGCCUCAGCUCCUUUCAUUUUUAAUUUUUUUUCCAUAAUGAUUUAUUGAUUAUUGUUGAUGCUUCCAUUUAAUUAAUGCUAAUACGUGUUAUCUAUCUAUCGGGAGUCUAAAUUUUAUAGAAUUAUAUCAUACUCGGAAGUAUGCAUGCUCCCAAUACAAAUAAGUGUUUAUAAGAGAGGAUUUCACCCAAAAUCUUUAAUUCUUGCAAAAUGCUAGUGGCUCCGUUUGCACAAGUUUAGUUUUCAUCCAUGUUCGUUCCUUUACCAUAGCGGUUCCUUUACCACUGAGGUCAGACACCAUUUCUUUCUCUUCUCUGUUUUGGCACAGGUAUGAAAAUACUACAGAGAAGUUUCUCUAUUAAUUACCUUUUAUGAAAAUAAUAUAUAUAUAUUAUUCACAUGUUUAAUUGAGAACAUCUAAUAAUAUAGUAAUAAUAUAGUGGGCAAACUAUAGGAAGGUUGUUAGUAGACAAUUCUAAUUUUAGCUUUACUUUGCAAAUGAAAGAUUAGAAAUAUUCCGUCGAACCCAUUUUACUAUAUUGGAGGUUUGGGCUAAUCUUGUAUAGAUUUUUGCUCAGAAGAAGGAUGGUUCUCCAAGGGCGGUGGGUUGGUUUUUCUAUAGACUAUUCCCCUAUUUUCCCAUUUUGCUUUUCUUUGAGGAAACCUGGUCCAUUUUUUUUGUGUUUUCUUUCUUCAAUCAAAUAUGUAUUUCUCAAUCUCCUCUCAAAAAAUACCUAUCUCAUUUUAUUAUAUGUUUAUGAAUUACUAAUUGUAUUUUGUUAGUAUUCCAUGUUCGAAGAAGAAUAUUAGAUUGAAGAAAGAAGAAUAUUAGAUUGAAGAAAGAAGAAGUUGUUCCUUUGCUAAUCGUUUGAAACCCAGGUUUGCACUGAAUCUGAUUUUUAUCUUUAACUUUUUUACUUGACCCAUACUUGAAUCAAAUUUUUGCUCCACUUUCCUUUCUUUCGUCAAUUUAAUUAUCAAUCCACUUCAAACCUAAAAAGAUUUAGUAAUUGGGAAACCCUUUUUUUUUUAAAGAAUUGCAAAGUACUGUAAUUGGAAACUGGGUUCAUGUCUUAAAAAGUAACCUGAUUUGUAAUGUUUGGCUUAUAGUGGCCUUCUAUUUCUGUUUUUCAUCUCGGCUUGGUUAAUUUCUUUACUAGUCGUUUAAAUUUUGUUAAUUUUUAUUUUUCCUCUUUAAGCUCAUUAAAUAUCUUUUUUUUUUCAAUUUAUGGCUUUCGGUCCAACUGAUCAUCGUUGAAUGUGGGCACUAUAAAUGUUAUAGUGCUUGUUAACUUAAUGUAUUUGAUCAUAUAUUAUAGUAUUGUUUACUUUAAAUUUAGACAAUGAAAUAGAUUACAAAAAAAAUAACUUAUGCUUGUCAAGUUGUAGACACCAUCGUUCAUGUCAUCAUUACUGAAUAUUGAUGUACUUAUUAAGUGUUCUCUUUAAUACUUGAUAGAAUACUUUUGGUGAAGCAAUUUUGGUAUCAUGAUUGCAGGCUGUAAUUAACUUGGGAACGUGUAGAUUCUACAAUUUCUUUUUCUGAUUCCUUAACUUGCUUCUUUUAAUCCUACUCUUCUAUGUUGAAGUAAUUUAUGAAUAUUUUUGCUUCAAAAUAACUAAGAUAUAUUUUUCACAGUAUACUAAUUGAUUUUAUGCAUUUGUAGGUGGGAAAAAAAUGAAGCCGUGGAUGGAUAUUGAGUGACCUUGUGCUUUUUUUUUUUUUUUUUUGGGUUGGAAACUUAAUUGAGUAGUAGUUAGCACUUGUUGUUUAGAGAUUGUUGAAAAUUUAAUUUGAUACUUAUGUUAAGUCUUUUACAUAUAGUGAUGUAGUUGAAUUGUGUGAAUUUAUGUGAUGUAUUUGAGAUGUUUAUUAUAUGAAUUGUGUUGCAAGAUAUUUAAUAAUAAAUAUAUUUCGUGUUUUCUUUUGGUUGUACAACAAACACGAAAAAUAUAAUUAAAAUAAAAAUAUACUAUUAACCAAAAGCAGUAUAACAUUACUAAAUACUGACACUACAUAUUUAAAAUAACAAUAAGAAUUUUUUAUAUUAUCGAGUCAGUUUCUGAUACUAUAGUCACAUAAAUUACUGACAUGUAAAUAGUAUCAUUAAAUACCAACAUCAUCGUGUCAUUAUUUUAGUGAUACUAUAGUGAAACAAAUUACUGACACAAAAAUUACUGACACCAAAAAUUAGUGUCAGUGUGUUCUGGCUUGAGCAACACUGACACAAUUAACAAGUGUCAAUAAAAGUAAUUACUGACGCUAAAUUAGUGUCAGUAAAACUCAUUUUUCUAGUAGUGUAUUCUCACAAAAGUUGGUACAAAGGUUUGUACAACCAGGGCCUCUUUGUAAAUUAUUUCAAAGUUUUGUGUUAUUUUUUAAAUUUAUGAAUUUUGUUAAUUUUGAUUGAUUGGAGCAUUUCUCCUUCCAUCUCUUCUACAUCUAUCUUUAAAUUUCUUUAAAAUUUUGACUAUAUCUUUAUAGAGUUCUAAAUGAUUAUCUUUUUCAUAAAAAUCUAUACUUAAAUUAAUCCCUGAAUUUAUAAUCAUUUGUCUUCUUUGAGUCAUAGACCAAAUUUUUUCUUCUAACAUAUCUAUAUAUACUCCUAAGCUAUCUUUGCAGCUUAGAUACAUUCUAUCAAAGCUUUCGCAUAUAAAUUGUAAUUUGAGAUCUGCAUCUUGAAUCAACAUGUCUAUAUUAUCCAUUGUUUUACGCUCGAUUUUGAGUUCUAUUAUUAGUCUUGCACAUGUCUUGGAUUAUUUCGAGGGUAGUUAAAAUUGAUUCUAUUAAUGCUAUCCUGUUUUCUUCUUCAAAAGAAUCAAAUAUUUCUGAAUCAUUAAUUUCUUUUAUUUCUUCAUACAAGCGUUUGUUUGUCGCUAAUCUUGUUUUAAUCAAGGAAACUGUAUAAGCAGCUUGAUAUUCUUGACAAAAGUCUAAAUGAUCUAUUGCAUCUAGAAAUUUAUUAAUAGAUCUUUCCAUUUUUAAGAAAUUGAGUUACUCUUAUCACUUCCAAUCUUUUAACAUCUCAGAAAACAAACAAGGCCCAACAUGCUUCCGUUUGUAGCUAAAAUAAAAGAAGAGUUCAUAUCACUAACCAGUGUAAUAUCUCUCGGAAUUCUGAGAUAGACUCACUAAUUGCCUCUAACCAUAGAGAGGUCCAUGGUUAGCACCACUAUAGCUCCACAUAUCAUACAAAAUCACUUCAACGACUGUUCCAUAUGGCCCAAAGCAACACACAGCAGACUGGCCUAAUAGGAUAUGUUUAAGUGAUUUUCUUGCAGUUGUCUCUGGAAGAGUGCUUAGUAAUAGAAAAUCUUCUUCGUUUAGUACAAGUAUUGGCAUGUAAGGUUCUUGGUUAAUUUUUAAAAGAUGUAUAAGAUAUCUAGAAGAUGAUAAUUUCACUCAAAAGAGUUUUAUUUAUUCCAUCAUUGAAAUUGUUUACAGAGGAAGGUUACAGAGAAUACAGAGGUAAUUGAAGGUUAGACAUCUGAUAUAUUUCCUUUCUUACAUGCUUUCAUUUAUAUAUCUCUCUAGAGAUAAGAUUAUUUCUUUUACAUAACACAUGUUCGAUCCUUGUGGUGGAAUCUCAAUUUCCUUUUGAUAAGGUGACCCCUUCUUUAUCAUUGAAGCUAGUAGUUGUCUUCUUUUCAUGUUGGCAGACAUGAAAUAUCUGGUUCUGGUGAGCUUUUUCUUUUUUGGAAUCUGUCUUUUUGAAUUAUUGAUACUUUUUGGAUAGCACCUUUUAUCUUUUUCAGUGGUCCUCGUCACGUGCCAAUUAUCAGAUCUUCAUCUAUAGACAUGUCUUCCCCACUAGAAUCUCUUUUUUUGAUCCUUCGUAGUAGUAGCCACAUGAUGAUUGAUGCUUUAGCACCUUAUAUAUCUCGUGGUGUGUUAGCAAGGUGGAUUCCACGAGAUUUUCGAAUAUGCCCUUUUUCUUUUCUAAUAUGUUAUCCUCAUCUUUAUCAAAUUCACAUUUACAAUAUAAUUCUUUGAAGCUACAUGUAUAUUCUUCUAAAUAACAUAUAUUACAUAUUUCAAGCCUUGUUAGCUUCAUUAAAUUUUCUAUCUGUUUUCUUUUUAUUUCUUGUUGAAAAUCAAUUUCCUAAUCUUCUCCCAAGAAUUUUUUUCUUAUUUCAUUUUUGAAUCUAUUUAAAACCUGAUCAACACUUUCGUUUCGAUUAUUAUUUUCUCCAUACAAUAUUCUAUUUUUAUGGUUAUCAUUUAAUCCCAUAAACCAAUGAGAAACAAUUCCUAUAAACGAAAUUUUAAGGAAUUCUAUACUAUUAUCCCUAUCAAUUUUGUGAAAUGCAAAAGCCAUUUUCAUAGAUUUAACCCAAGCGGUAAUCGUUUUAUCUCUAUCUUUGAUACAGUCUAAAUCUAACCAUACACCAUCAUGGUUGAUUGGUCUUUCUCUAUAUUCUCCUGGAGUUUUAUAAUCUUUUUUAGGCUUGUUAAUCCUAAAAUAUUGACCUUGUAAUCUUUCCUGAGUUGGUAUUUCUUCCCUAACAUAGGAAGCUCCAUUACUAGUUUCUCCUUGUUAAAAACCAUUUGGCUUUGAUUCAUUCAUUUUUAGAUGUUCUAUUCUAUUUUCAAUAUCCUGCAAAUUAAUGACUAUAUCACCUUCUUCUUCGGAUUCAGAUUCUUUAUUAGAUAUCUCUUGAUUAGGUAAUUCUAUGUUUUCACUUAGCAUUCUUAGACUUAUUAAUUUUUUGUCUUUGUUUAUUUUGUUAAAUAUCGGUUUAGAUAUUGUUAUCAUUUCUUUAUCUUUAAGUUCAUUAUAGUAAAUUAUGGUAUCUUGUAAAAUUUUGUUUUGUUUAUUGAUCUUCUGUACUUCAAUCCUUUUGUAAUUUUCCAUUUAUGCUUAUAGCGAAUUUAUUACCAAGUUGUUCAACAAUUUUUUCAAAUUUUUGUAGUUGGAUUUCAAUCUUGUUUGAAUUUAUUUUCAAUUGAACUUUUGUUCAUAAUAUUAAAGAUUUCUUGUUUUAAUCUAUCUUGAUCUUCAAUAUUAAAGUCUUUUAUUAAUAGCUUAACAAAAUCAAAUUCUUCACUCAUUCGCUCUCCUAUCAUUUUGACUUGUCUUAUAUUUUCAGCAUCAAAGCUUUUAAUCUCAAGUAUCUCAUUUAUACUUUCUAUAUCAUCUAUGGUUAAAUUAGGGUUUCCUAAUUUAUUUAAUAAAUAUAAUGAAAUCCAAUUUAAUUGAUUAUUUCCCCACAUAUCGGAAUCAUUUACUAAAUCAAAUGGUUGAAAUCUUCCAUAAGUAAAUCCUCUAUGCCUAUAGCUAGAAGGUGGUAAUAUGUUGGUUUCAAUAUUUUGAGAAAUUAACAAUGGUUUUGGUAAUUUAUUCAUAGUACCAUCUGCAUAAUAUCUCAUUAUAUUCUAAUAAGUAUUUAUGACAUAUAAUAUUUCUUAUAUCCUUAGGGAUAUUGUUUUAUGUUAAUCCUUUAUGUAUAUAGCAAAGUUUAUACAUAAUUAAAUCUUUAUAUCCUAUUAGCAUGUUGCUAGAAGGAUAAUAUUUACUUCUGAUUCUUUUAUUUUUCCAAUUGUAUUCACCUCGUUGUUUAACAUUUAAAAAUCCGUUGUAAUCUAUUAUAAGAUCAUCUACAUAAUCUUCAAUAGAGUUAAUAUUCCAUUGUUUCCAUGAAAAAUUAUUUCUAUAUACUUCUCUCCUGAUCCUAAAGAGAAGAAUAGGAUCAAUAUUUAAAUUUCUAAUUUUUAUUAUGAUGAGUUCUCCAAUUUUAAAUUCAUGAACUCUAACUAAAUAAAACUGUAUUAAUUGUUUAUCAUCCAAUAUAUUAACUUCUGAAUAAUAAUAUUGUUUAUGUUUUGUUAUAUUAUCUUUAAUUGUAUUUCUAUCUAUCAUUAAAUUAUAUCUUCCAUUAUUAAUGGAAUAAAUAACUGUUUCGUCUAUUUUUAUAUUUUAAACCAAAAACUUGGCUCUAAUACCGUUUUGCAGAAAUCAACUAAACCCAAAAUCCAAAUGAAUUCAAAUAGGGAUGUAUAUGAUUAAUUGUUAAGAUUUUAUCUAAAUUUUGUAAUUAUAAUUUUUCAAAACUCACAGUUUUGUGCAAUCAUUUGUGUAAUCCGUUGUGAGAAUGUCUUUUUCCUUGCAUCUAAGGCAACAAAGUGGAAAACGCGUACCAACGACUCACAUAACAAUAUAACAUCUGUCCCGGAUGGAGCCGGUUGUUCAUGUCAGCAACCUACUUUGAAACGACACGUGGACCGCAAUUUGUUCUUGUUCUCAACGUUGCUAUGAAAGAAAGCAUUUUUUUCCCCUUUUCUUCUUCAUUUUUUAAAGAAAUAUUUUACUAUAUAUUUAAAAAAAAAAAUCGUUGCAAUCUGAAGAUAUUAAAUUGUGGAUCUUGUAUUGUGUGAUAAGUCCGGCAUGCAAUUUUGGGCCAGCAUACCGCGCGCAUGGGAGCAUUCACAAAGAAUCUCUCGUCACUAUCGAAAACUUUUAAUAGUCAAUACAAAUGCUUCCGUUUCAUCCCAUAAACAGAUAAAAUUCACAUCUGUACACAUCUACUUUUCUUUGCUAGAUAGAGUUCCUCUGCAUUUCCCAAUUGCCUAAAGAGAAGGGGAAAAGAAAAAGAGGGCCAAAAAAUGCCUGAAAUGGUAAGGAACAAGCAAGUGAUAUUGAAGGACUAUGUGUCUGGUUUCCCAAAAGAAACAGACAUGUACAUGACCGAAAGUUCCAUAGAAUUGAAGGUGCCAAAAGGUUCAAAUGGGGUUCUUUUAAAGAACUUGUUUGGGAGAAAUACGUCGACGAGACCAGGCAUGGUGAGCAUAUAUCUGAUGGCAGAGUUCUGCGAACCGGUGUGUUCCGUAAAAGCCUGGUGCACGGGGGAACAGGAGCAGAAGUAUCCUGCUCGUCCACGAGCACGUCAUCCGCGAGGCCAAUUUCCUGUAAGAGGCAUAAGGUCAUUCCGGCUAGAGGUCGAGAGGCGAGGAGACCCGGUCGACGGCAGUUGGCAAGACAUGCUCCCCAGCCCGAGAAUCUAGGCACGACAGCCACGCUUUCCCCAGAACCGUGGCGUAACACGCAAGAUCUCACAGAACCACGACAGCCACGCUUUCCCCAGAACCGUGGCGUAACACGCAAGAUCUCACAGAACCACGACAGCCACGCUUUCCCCAGAACCGUGGCGUAACACGCAAGAUCUCACAGAACCACGACAGCCACGCUUUCCCCAGAACCGUGGCGUAACACGCAAGAUCUCACAGAACCACGACAACCACGCUUUCCCCAGAACCGUGGCGUAACACGCAAGAUCUCACAGAACCACGACAGCCACGCUUUCCCCAGAACCGUGGCGUAACACGCAAGAUCCCACGUUUGCCCAUAACGCAGCAGUCAGAGUCCCAUACCGUCUCGGAAAAAGCGGAAAACUGGGAUUCAGGGGAAGCCUAUAAAAAGGUAGCCAACGAAGGUAAAAGGGUUGGCAUUUUUGAGAUUAUAAAAGAAAUGAAAAAAGAAGAGAAAACGACGAGAAAGCCAUAAGAUCUGUGGCAAGUGUCCCCCGAACCUUCAUAUCUGACUUGAGCGUCGGAGGGUUUGCGCCGGGAAAACAACCGGCGUACUCUGACUUGUCUGUGUGCGCAGGAACCUCUGGAGAAGAAGCCUCACGUGGAGACCUCCUGGUCGUGAAGAAGUUGAUCGGACAGAGAUCCUGGUCGUAGAACGAGGAGAACCAGAAUCCCGCAUCAACAUUUUGGCGCCGUCUGUGGGGAGUGGAGCAAAAAGCUUCUGUUGAUAGCAAGAAGAGGGGUGAAGCAAGUGAAAAGCAAUGGAGACAGGAGGAAGUAGUGCACAAGGGGGUGAUAGGAUUAACGAUUCCGUGACGCUGAGGGAGAUAGUCAGUGAAGCACGGGAAAAAGUCAUGUUCGACCGGAUGGAACGGAUAGAAAAGCAGAUGGAGACCUUGACAACCAUCCUGCAUGAGCUGCGGAGCGAGCGAAGUAUAAUCCAAGAGGGAAGGGUGAGAGGCGGUGGAGUGGCACCAGGUCCCGAUAGUGCGGGGAGAAGUCAAACCACCGGGAGAUUUGGUGGUGAGAGAGGUAACGUACCUCUGCGGGGAGAAUUUCAUAGAGAAAGAGAGCAGUCCCCGGCAAGACAGACUGGCGACGAGGACGACGGGGUGGUGAAUGCAGAGGAAACAGAGUUGAGGCAACACUUGCAUGAUGUAGAGCAAGAGCGGGAUUAAGUCGCAGCACGUGACCCUGGUCGUGCAGUGCAGCUGGAGGAGGAAGUGCGCAGACUAGCGCAGAUAAUCGACGACAUGCAAGGAAGGAACAGAGCCCCUGGUUGGAGGAUAAUGCUGGAUGGAGAAUCACCGCUCGCAGCAGAGAUCAUGAGGGCAGUUAUUCCGAGAGAUUUCCGCCUCCCAGACCUCAGAUACUCGGGAAGAACUGAUCCGUUGGUGCACAUAGAGCGCUUCAACGACAUAACUAGGGUACAAGGAUUAUCUCAAUCCCAAAGGUGCAGAGUGUUCCCACUAUCCCUUGAGGGACGUGCACGAGAAUGGUACAGGAAACUUCCUCGGGGCAGCAUUAAAACCUUCGAGCAGAUGUGCUAGGAAUUCGCGGAGCAGUUUAGUGGGGCAAUGGCGCCGGAAGAUGACAUGAUGGAGCUGAAAAGCAUGAAACAGGGGGAGCAAGAAACCCUUCGGGAAUUCAUCAAGAGGUUUCAUCGGGCUGUCCUCGACUUGGGAGCCUUCAACCACCCUCAGGCGUUAAGGGGAUUGAAAGAAGGGGUGAAGAUAGGAAGGCUGUGGUACAAUUUGAGAAGCCCAGCUAUUCAAACGUAUGCAGCCGCAUACGAACAGGCUAAGAGAGACAUCGAGAUUGAAGAGGAGAAGGCUGCACGGAUUAAGACAGACCAGUUAGAAGGGCUGGGGAGGAAAGAGAAGAAAGCAUUACCGGGGAAUGGGCCGAUCAGGAGGAGGGACCACCAGGCCUCCGGUAGUGGAGCAGGAGGUCGGGUAGCCGCUUACCAGCCUCAUCAAAGGCCACCACAGUAUCAGCGCAGCAGGGCGCAACCUCCUCGUUCCCCAGCUAGGGAGCCUUGGAAAAGGCAUGAGUCGGCAUCUGGUGGUCUCCAACAACACCCCCACGGUAUCAGAGCGAGCAGACCAGAAGUACUUCCACCGCCCCCAACUCAGAGCGGGGCAAACAGGGAAAGAGCAGUGCACCUGAUCGACCAGAACCCGGACUAUGGGCGGUACACUUCCUUGAAGAUGUCCCUGGAUGAGGUGUACGAGGCCAUAAAGGAUCGAGGGCUGCUACACCUCCCUACACCAAUAACAAAGCUACCUAACAGGAGGGAUAGAGGACGUUAUUGUAAGUUCCAUGGCACCCAUGGCCAUACCACAGCAGAGUGUAGAGAUCUCAAGACCCAGGUCGAAGAUUUGGUGAGAAAUCGGUACCUGGACGAGUUUAUGGAUGGGACUUUCCCGAUGGGGGCCACAACAGGUGAAGGGGAGCAGAGUGGCGGAAACGUGAGGCGCGAGCAGCCCGCAGUAAGGGUGAUAGCUGGGGGCCCGACAUUGGCCGGAGAUUCCAACAGAUCGAGAAAAAAUUAUGCUAGGUACGCCAUGACCAGUAAAGAGGUACUCCUCAACACCCCAGCAGCCAAACGAGCAAGGGUCAGGCAAGUGCCAAUCAUGUGGACGGAUGAGGAUGAGGAAGGGAUUCUAUACCCCCAUGAGGAUGCUUUAGUCAUCAAGGCUACUGUCGCUAGCAAGAAGUUUGACCGGAUACUGAUUGAUACAGGGAGCUCAGUUGAUGUGUUAUUUAAGUCAACCCUGGAAGAGAUGGGAAUAGCCGACCGGAAGUUGGAAUAUACCAAUACCUCCUUGAAGGGGUUCGGAGGAGGGAAGCUGGUCCCUCUGGGCGUGGUCGAGCUGCCUAUCACAAUUGGGAGCUCCCCGACAGAAAGAACAAUGAUACUGGACUUUGUCGUAGUGGAUGAGGAAGGUCCUUACCAGAUGAUCCUAGGUCGGCCAUUUUUAAGGAUGAGCAAAGCGGUGUUGUCCAAUCAUUAUCUGGCUCUGAAGUACCGGGUGAACGGGGUAGUAGGAGUGGUACGAGGAGACCAGAGGAUCGCAAGAAGCUGCUACUCCUCGGCAGCAAGGGAAGCAAUGCAGAUAACAUCCCUCGAUACCCGAGUGGAAAACAAGAAGGGCAGACAAGAACCUGUAGAGGAUCUGGAAACAGUAAGCCUGGGACCAGAGAACCCGGGAAAGAUGAUCAGAAUCGGGUCGAGACUUAAGGGAGAGCAAAAGCAGGAGUUGGUGAAAUGCUUACAGGCUCAUGCUGAUGUGUUUGCUUGGACACAUGAAGACAUGCCAGGGAUUGACCCUGAGGUAGCAUGUCAUAAGCUGGCAAUAAAGAAAGGUGCUCGGGCAGUAAGGCAGAAGAGGAGGUGUUUCAACCAGGAGAGGUAUGAGGCUAUAAAUGGCGAGGUGGAGAAGCUCUUGAGAGCAGGGUUCAUUCGGGAAGUCAGUUACCCUGAGUGGAUAUCGAAUGUGGUGUUGGUAAAGAAGGCAAACGGCAAGUGGAGGAUGUGUGUGGAUUUCACAGACCUCAAUAAGGCGUGCCCAAAAGACAGCUUCCCUUUACCAAAGAUCGAUCAGCUAGUAGAUUCAACGGCUGGACAUGGUCUGCUUAGCUUCAUGGACGCGUUCUCGGGAUACAACCAGAUCCCCAUGUACGAGCAGGAUGAGGAGAGCACGGCUUUCAUCACUAACCAAGGUUUGUUCUGUUACAGGGUAAUGCCAUUCGGUCUCAAAAAUGCCGGGGCCACCUAUCAAAGGCUGGUGAACAAAGUCUUUAAGCCGUUGAUUGGGAAAACCAUGGAGGUGUACGUGGAUGACAUGAUCACCAAGUCCAAAAUCCCGGAGGAACAUGUCAGACACCUCGAGGAGACAUUCGAGCUUUUGAGGAAGUAUAAGAUGAAGCUCAACCCGGAGAAGUGUGCUUUUGGGGUCGAGUCGGGGAAAUUCCUUGGAUUCAUGGUGAGCCAUAGGGGGAUUGAAGCAAAUCCCGAGAAAAUCCAGGCGAUUGUGCAAAUGACGUCUCCCCGUAACCUGAAGGAGAUGCAGAGCCUCACGGGGAGGUUGGCGGCGUUGAGCAGAUUCAUAGCCAAGGCUACAGAUAAGUGUCAGCCGUUCUUUCAAGUGAUGAGGAGGGGAAAGAAAACAGAAUGGACCUCAGAAUGCGAGGAAGCCUUCCGGAACUUGAAGCAAUACUUGCAGCAAGCUCCGCUGCUGUCCACACCGAGGGAUGGGGACAAGUUAUAUCUGUAUUUAGCGGUAUCGGCUCGGGCCGUCAGUUCUGUUCUGGUGAGAGAGGAAGAAGGAGUUCAGUAUCCGAUAUAUUACACCAGCAAGGCCCUGCUCGACGCUGAGACCAGAUACCCACCGUUGGAGAAAUGGGCACUUGCCCUUGUGGUUGCUGCUCGGAAGUUGAGGCCAUAUUUUCAAGCAUUCCCGGUCUUGGUAAUAACAAACCAGCCAUUGCGUCAAACUCUGCACAAGCCAGAUGCCUCUGGUCGGCUCGUCAAGUGGGCUGUAGAGCUGAGCGAGUUCGACAUAGACUAUAAGCCCCGCGCAGCGAUAAAAGCCCAGGCAAUGGCCGAUUUCGUAGCUGAAUUCACAGAGCCCGAAGUAUGCUUAGAUCAACAAGAGGCAGAUAUAGGCAAUGACGAAACUCAAGUAUGGCAGAUGUCUGUGGAUGGGUCAUCAGGGGAGCGGGGUUCAGGAGUAGGGAUUGUCUUGGAAGGCCCAGAGGGGGAGGAGAUCUCUUAUGCUGUAAAAUUGGAAUUUGCAGCCACGAAUAACCAGGCAGAGUAUGAAGCCUUGAUAGCAGGUCUGGAAUUGGCUAAGGCCGUGAAAGCAAACAAAGUUAAGAUCAGAACUGAUUCCCAGCUGGUAGCGAAUCAUGUCAGUGAAAGAUUCCAACCAAGAGAGGAGAAGAUGGGGCAGUACCUGAAGAUAGUCAAGCAGAUGAUGGGGAAGUUCGAAGCAGUGGAGGUGAUACAGAUCCCCAGGGAGCAGAAUAGUCGAGCAGACAUUUUGGCUAGGAUGGCAGCAGUAGCCGACCCAAAAAUGCCAAAGUCGGUCCCUCUGGAGGUGAAGUCCGGCCCAAGUAUCGAUCAGAAUUUGGGGGUGAUGCGGAUAGAACAAAAAUGCUCGUGGAGGGACCCGAUAGUUUCAUACCUUAGAGACGGGGUAUUACCACCAGAUAAGAUGCGAGCUCGCAAGCUUAGAGCCCAGGCCUCGAGAUACACGAUGAUUGAUGGGGUACUGUAUCGGCGAGGAUAUACACUACCGUUCCUUCGGUGUUUGGAUGAGGACGACGCGGAUUACGUACUAAGAGAAGUACACGAAGGAAUUUGCGGAAAUCAUUCUGGCGGGAGGUCCCUGGCCCAUAAGGUUCUAAGGCAGGGAUAUUUCUGGCCGACAAUGCACCAGGAUGCGCAAGAGAAGACCAGGAGUUGUGUAAGUUGCCAGAGUUUUGCAAAUUUCUCUAACCAACCACCAGAGAAGCUUACCUCCAUGACCUCCCCCUGGCCAUUUGCUCAAUGGGGAAUUGAUCUGAUCGGCCCAUUGCCAAAGGCACGGGGAGCAGCAACACAUGCAAUAGUUGCUAUAGAUUACUUCACGAAGUGGAUAGAGGUAGAAGCCCUUAGCAGGAUCACAGAGAAGAAAACAACAGACUUCGUGUGGAGAAACCUGGUCUGUCGAUACGGGAUCCCUUAUGCCUUGGUAACGGAUAAUGGCAGGCAGUUCGAUAACCACAGCUUCAGGGAUUUCUGCCAGAACCUCGGGAUAGAGCUGAAGUAUUGCUCGCCUGCUCACCCUCAAUUGAAUGGACAAGUAGAAGCAGCCAACAAGACCAUCAAGAGGCUUUUAAAAACCAGGCUUGGAGCAAAAAAGGGUGCGUGGGUUGACGAGCUGUCAGGUGUGCUAUGGGCAUACAGAACAACCCACAAAACCGCAACUGGGGAGACACCGUUCGCUUUGGCUUUCGGACAUGAAGCGGUCGUGCCGGCUGAGAUAGGAACGACCACACACCGGACAAAUCAUUUCAAUGAGCAGGAGAACGACGAGCAGAUAUGUUUGAAUCUUGAUCUGCUAACGGAAAGGUGGGAGCAAGCAGCCGAGCGAUCAGUCAUUUACCAACAGAGGGUUGCUCGGUAUUAUAACCAGAAGGUGAACAUACGGCAAUUCAGGGUCGGAGACUGGGUACUGAGAAGAGUGAAUCAGAGCACCAAAGAUUCGACUCAAGGAGUGCUGGGACCGAAUUGGGAAGGGCCAUAUAGAGUCAAGCAGAUAGCGGGACCCGGAGCUUACAGGCUGGUUCGCACGGACGGCCACGAGGUGAAACGCCCAUGGAACGCAGCACACCUCCGAAAAUACUUCCAGUAAGACUUGUUCACAUGUGAAAACUAUUUUUGCUCAUGUUCAUUACCGUUUAUCUUUCACGCUUAUUGUCCAAACAAUUUCAUGUAAGUCGAAUCCUGCCAUUAAUGGAACGUCGAGGAAUUUCUUUCGCUUGAAACCGAGAAAAUUUUCCAAGGCAUGCAAAGGCUCACCAAGUCUCAAAGCCUGUCUUAUGGCGAGACAGAAGCCAAGCAUGCCAGGAUCUGCUCGGCCACGAGAAGGCAAGCAGAAUCCCAAUCCUCGAAGAAUCCAAGGCAUGCAAAGGCUCACCAAGUCUCAAAGCCUGUCUUAUGGCGAGACAGAAGCCAAGCAUGCCAGGAUCUGCUCGGCCACGAGAAGGCAAGCAGAAUCCCAAUCCUCGAAGAAUCCAAGGCAUGCAAAGGCUCACCAAGUCUCAAAGCCUGUUUUAUGGCGAGACAGAAGCCAAGCAUGCCAGGAUCUGCUCGGCCACUAGAAGGCGAGCAGACUCCAAAGCAUUCGAAGAAAUGCCCAAGGCAUGCAAAGGCUCGACAAAGUCUCAAAGCCUGUUUUAUGGCGAGACAGAAGCCAAGCAUGCCAGGAUCUGCUCGGCCACUAGAAGGCGAGCAGACUCCAAAGCAUUCGAAGAAAUGCCCAAGGCAUGCAAAGGCUCGACAAAGUCUCAAAGCCUGUUUUAUGGCGAGACAGAAGCCAAGCAUGCCAGGAUCUGCUCGACUACUAGAAGGCGAGCAGACUCCAAAGCAUUCGAAGAAAUGCCCAAGGCAUGCAAAGGCUCGACAAAGUCUCAAAGCCUGUUUUAUGGCGAGACAGAAGCCAAGCAUGCCAGGAUCUGCUCGGCCACUAGAAGGCGAGCAGACUCCAAAGCAUUCGAAGAAAUGCCCAAGGCAUGCAAAGGCUCGACAAAGUCUCAAAGCCUGUUUUAUGGCGAGACAGAAGCCAAGCAUGCCAGGAUCUGCUCGGCCACUAGAAGGCGAGCAGACUCCAAAGCAUUCGAAGAAAUGCCCAAGGCAUGCAAAGGCUCGACAAAGUCUCAAAGCCUGUUUUAUGGCGAGACAGAAGCCAAGCAUGCCAGGAUCUGCUCGACUACUAGAAGACGAGCAGACUCCAAAGCAUUCGAAGAAAUGCCCAAGGCAUGCAAAGGCUCGACAAAGUCUCAAAGCCUGUUUUAUGGCGAGACAGAAGCCAAGCAUGCCAGGAUCUGCUCGACUACUAGAAGGCGAGCAGACUCCAAAGCAUUCGAAGAAAUGCCCAAGGCAUGCAAAGGCUCGACAAAGUCUCAAAGCCUGUUUUAUGGCGAGACAGAAGCCAAGCAUGCCAGGAUCUGCUCGACUACUAGAAGGCGAGCAGACUCCAAAGCAUUCGAAGUAAUGCCCAAGGCAUGCAAAGGCUCGACAAAGUCUCAAAGCCUGUUUUAUGGCGAGACAGAAGCCAAGCAUGCCAGGAUCUGCUCGACUACUAGAAGGCGAGCAGACUCCAAAGCAUUCGAAGUAAUGCCCAAGGCAUGCAAAGGCUCGACAAAGUCUCAAAGCCUGUUUUAUGGCGAGACAGAAGCCAAGCAUGCCAGGAUCUGCUCGACUACUAGAAGGCGAGCAGACUCCAAAGCAUUCGAAGUAAUGCCCAAGGCAUGCAAAGACUCACCAAGUCUCAAAGCCUGUUUUAUGGCGAGGCAGAAGCCAAACGUGCCAGGAUCUGCUCGACCACUAGAAGGCGAGCAGUCUCCAAAGCAUUCGAAGAAUCUCCAAAGGCAUGUGGCAAAACCAUGAGCCAAGCCGGAACCUGCUCGUCUAGACAGAGACAAGCAGAUUCUCAACCGAAAAUUAAUUCAUAAUUACAUCACAAGAAAGUAAUCAAAAACCAUUUUUAUUAAUUUGUUAAUAAUUAACAGAGGGGAUAAUCUUCAUGAACAUUGUUCAUUACAAUACAAGAAAUAUAUCAGGAAGAUGGUGGACCAGUAAGCCCGGCAGCAUCGGUUGGCUGGACCUCCUCAGGUGCAGGAGGGGUAUCACCAGUUGCGUCCGGGGGGUGCUCGCCUCGCCAACAUCAGCAGGGACUGCACGAGCAGGAGAGUCUUCCUCCUCAAUCACGAUCGGCUCUACCCCAUCGGCAUCUUCCUUGGCCGCCUCCUCAUCCAUAUGUUGAGCAACACCAGCUGCAAGGUCAUCCAUCUUCAGAUCAGGGUGUUGCUUCCCGAGGACGGCCAUGAUGCAACGAUAGGAAUGCCGAAGUCCCUGGUCGUACUGGUUGUCAGCCUCCCUCUCCAAGUUCUCGACCUGAGCUCGGUGGGAGUCGCGGAGAGAUUCGAGCUGAGCCUCAUACAUAGCCUUCUGCCUUUGCAGAUCCUCCUUGACCGUGGUAAGCUCCUCCUCGAGGGAAAUGGCUUUUGCUUGAGCAAGUGAUUCUUGCUCUAUUAACUUCAGAUUCUCGAGAUUCAGCUCCCCUGCUUUCUUCUCGGCAACGUCAGCUCUGGUCGUCGCCGAUUGAAUAUCCUCCUUCAUCUUCCGGUCGUAGCGGCCAACCUUAGCCUUGUAAUAGGUGGUCAUGCAGCUGAGGUGGAAAGCGCUAUGCUGCAUGGCCCCCACCAGCUCACCCAAGGUGCGGCCGUCAAAGUCCUCCAAGUCCUUCUUGCUCAUGAGUUUAGUUAACUCAUUGAGGUAGGGGACCAGGUGUUCUGCUCGGCUGUCAGGUAAGCGAGAUCGAGGCCCGACAGGAGGAAAAGAGGAAGCAGGAUCUGUAGCUGCUCCACUAGCUUCCCCGACUUUUACAGGAGCAGGAGGUAAAAUCUUCAAGGGUGGGACCUGCUGCAUGAUGUUGGCCCGCUUUGCAGCAGGGGCAUUCUUAUUCUGGUCCCUCUUCGUGGUGGGAGGUCGGGAACGUUUUCGGGUCAGAGCCCCAAUCACAGCGUCCUCCAUCCUAUGGCCAGGAAGUAUCAAGCGAGACUCGAGCAAGUUGUAUGUAGUUAGCAGUUCUCGGCUCGAGCAGGAAUUGGCUAGUACAGCCUCGACCCGUUUGAGCUGGUCAGGUUCAAGCGGGAAGUGGACACCCCAAGAAACUACAACACAAACAGACACUUGGUUAGAGACAAGCCAAUAAAGCAAGAACAAUUAUGGAUGCAAGACAUCUAGAGCGAGCAGGCAACCUGGGACCGUGAAACGGGGUGGGACGCGACAAUCCUUCCCGCCUAUUUGUGCAACUUGACCCCAAGGACCCCCAGCAAAAAAGAAUUUCCUCUUCCAAGCCCCACCACCACCGGUUGGAAGAUCGGUUAUGGAUUUCCGGCUCUUGGUGCUAGAUUGGAAGUAGUACCAGCCGGCAUCUUUGGGGCUGCUCUUUAGCUGGUACAAGUGCUUCACCUCGUCAACCGUGGGCUCGCUUUGGCAACAUCUGUCCCACAAUAUGAACAGACCAGAGAGCACUCUCCACCCAUUGGGAUUCAGCUGACCAGGAGCUAGAUUUAGCCCGUUAAGUAUCCGGGCAAAGUAGGGUUGCAAGGGACACCUCAGCCCGUACUUAAAGCUCUCUAGAAACAGGGUAACGUAUCCCCUAGGAGGCCGGCUGGGAGCAUCCUUCUUUCCUGGGACCUUGAGAGGUAUCUCACCAGGAAUGCUAUACCUAAGCUGGAGGUCAUUGAGCUCGUCAAACAAGGUCGUGCACGUCAUGUAAUCAAUGGCAUAAUCGCGCGACAAGGCUCUGCCUCCUACUGUACCCCGUUCCUCUAGUCGUGAUGUUCCAGAUGGAGACACCUCACCAGAGUCACCUUCCCCAUUCUCACUUAAGGUGUCCUCAGAGCCAGAAGGUCCCCCCUCACCAUUGCUUCCGCUCGUGGAGGUUGUUUGGGGGGACAUCCUCCUAGCACUAGUCCCGACACUAAACCUAAUGGGUUCUAAGGGGAUCCCGGGGUCAAAAGCCGGAUCAGUGAGCAGACUAGGCAGGAAACUUAGUUCGUCGUCAUCAAUCUCAACGACUUUCUCCUUACCUUUCGACAUUCCCUAAGCCCUAACCACAACACCACCAACUACUACCUAAACAGAAGAGAAGAGAAAUUAUCUACAACUAUCCGAGACCAAGGAGAUAGAAGAAAUACCUGAAGUAAUGGUUCAGUCGGUGAAAGUCAGAGAUGGAGGCCUUUUAUGCCGGAACUUCUUUGCCGGAGAAACAGAGACGGAGACGGAGUGAAUGAUGAAUAUGCCGUUCGAGAGGAUUUGGUUUUCCUAAUGAAGACGGACUCUUGGGUUGCCAGCAUUUAACGGCGCCGAAUCCCGAGGGUCUCAUAACCGUCGGUUUGAAAUUCAAAUGAAGGGGGGGAUUUCUGCCACGUCACCUCGUCCGCAAUUAAAUGCGACAUGACUCUUGGCAGCCUUUUCCAAUCCCACGCGGGCGAGUACUAACGAGUUUCUACUGCUGGUCCACUACAUUACCCAACACCAGAAACUGGGGGACCGGUGUUUGGGAGAAAUACGUCGAUGAGACCAGGCAUGGUGAGCAGAUAUCUGAUGGCAGAGUUCUGCGAACCGGUGUGUUCCGUAAAAGCCUGGUGCACGGGGGAACAUGAGCAGAAGUAUCCUGCUCGUCCACGAGCACGUCAUCCGCGAGGCAAAUUUCCUGUAAGAGGCAUAAGGUCAUUCCGGCUAGAGGUCGAGAGGCGAGGAGACCCGGUCGACGGCAGUUGGCAAGACAUGCUCCCCAGCCCGAGAAUCUAGGCACGACAGCCACGCUUUCCCCAGAACUGUGGCGUAACACGCAAGAUCUCACAGAACCACGACAGCCACGCUUUCCCCAGAACCGUGGCGUAACACGCAAGAUCUCACAGAACCACGACAGCCACGCUUUCCCCAGAACCGUGGCAUAACACGCAAGAUCUCACAGAACCACGACAGCCACGCUUUCCCCAGAACCGUGGCGUAACACGCAAGAUCUCACAGAACCACGACAGCCACGCUUUCCCCAGAACCGUGGCGUAACACGCAAGAUCCCACGUUUGCCCAUAACGCAGCAGUCAGAGUCCCAUACCGUCUCAGAAAAAGCGGAAAACUGGGAUUCAGGGGAAGCCUAUAAAAAGGUAGCCAACGAAGGUAAAAGGGUUGGCAUUUUUGAGAUUAUAAAAGAAAUGAAAAAAGAAGAGAAAACGACGAAAAAGCCAUAAGAUCUGUGGCAAGUGUCCCCCGAACCUUCAUAUCUGACUUGAGCGUCGGAGGGUUUGCGCCGGGAAAACAACCGGCGUACUCUGACUUGUCUGUGUGCGCAGGAACCUCUGGAGAAGAAGCCUCACGUGGAGACCUCCUGGUCGUGAAGAAGUUGAUCGGGCAGAGAUCCUGGUCGUAGAACGAGGAGAACCGGAAUCCCGCAUCAACAGAACUUGUACUUGUCCUGUGAUCCGUACAUGCGACCACGAAUGACCUACAUCGAAGGAUCUUACGUUGAAUCCUUUAAACCUGGCUUGGUUAGUGCACUCGCUCAUGGCCACGCUUUUCAUUUCCAUGGCUUCUUGCUCUUUUGUUAUAGAAAAUUUAUUUUUGGUUGCAGUUUGAUUCGACUGCUAAAAUCUCGUGCGAUAAUUGUAUAAGAUAUCUAGAGUUUGAACUUCUUUCACAUUAGGGUUCAAGGAAGUUAACUUAAAUGAUUUUCAAAAUUUUAAAUGUGUACCAAAGAAUUUAAUUUCAUAGCUUAAACUUAUAUUUUGAUCAUACUCUAACUUUGGACAGGAAAAAUUAUAUUUUUCCUUUAGUUCUUUGCCUUGGUGUAUGUUGUGUGAAGUACUUGUGCUUGAAAAUGAAUUGCUGACACAGAAAUUUCUAUGAAUGCAUGCAGCCCAUAAGUGGAUAUGGGGUGGGUAAAGUUUUGGAUUCAGAGAAUCCAGAGUUCAACAAAGGUGACUUGGUUUGGGGAAUGACUGGAUGGGAAGAGUAUAGUCUCAUUACGGCUCCACACUUGUUUAAAAUUCAACACACAGAUGUGCCUCUUUCUUACUAUACUGGAAUCCUCGGUAAACUUUUUGUUUGCACAAUUUAUGUGAGCAAAUUGUGUCUUCUUUUUCAUAUGUAAAUGUUUUUGAUAUCUUGAUGUGAAGGUAGAAAAUUGCAUGUUUUGAGUUUUUGCAUAUUUGAUGGAAACACAGAACUGUACCUGAAUCUUUCAGAACCCCCUUCUCUUUGAAGUUUGAACACUUUUCUUGAAUGUAUCAACUUUAUUUAUGGGAUAUGUUGCCAAAUUGGAAAAUCUAUUCGUUAUAAAACUUUCCUUUGACAGUUUAAUCUAAGCAGAUGUUAAUUCUGCAAAUAGAGUGUGCCUUAGAUUAGUUUCAUAGAUUUGUCUCCUUCUGUACAGUAAAAACUUUGAGCAUUUUCGCCAUAUUCUGAUCAAUACACUCCAACUAGUUAGUUCUUGAGGCGUUUUAUGGUUUCGUGGAGUGAGGCAAGAUGUAUACGUUUGCAAAUUGGCAAUGUCUUUCUCUUGAUGGGUUGAGAGUUGUGAGUGUCAACAGGAAACAAGACCUCUGUUUUAUGAACUCCAAAAAGUUAUUCUGUUAAAAAGAUCGAGACAGAGGCCAUACUAUAUUUAUUAUUGCUAUAAAAGUGUGAAAAAAUAUUCUUUAUUUAAUAUUCUAAACGAUUGAGCCAUUUAGUUAUGAUACUCUGCUGUAUUGGGGCUAAUAAUCUAAGUCGGUUCAAAGUGGUAAAUUUAUAAAUUGAUAGGUAUGCCUGGUAUGACCGCUUACGUUGGAUUUUAUGAGGUCUGCUCUCUUAAGCAAGGAGAGUGUGUCUUCAUAUCCGCAGCAUCUGGUGCAGUUGGACAGCUUGUGGGGCAGUUUGCAAAGUUAUUGGGUUGCUAUGUCGUCGGAAGUGCUGGAAGCAAAGACAAGGUAUGUAAAAUUAGAAUUUGAUCAACAGAUUUGGAGUGUUUGUUUACAGAGAAAAUCUAAGAGAAAAUGUAAGAAACUUUAGCUGAGAAUAUUCAUUUUGUUCAACUUAAUAACAGAAUGAGAUUACAAAGCUUAUAUACUGCUAUCAAGAAUCAUCUUAACACAUACAUCAUUUUCACGUGUAUUUAUCUUUGAAAGAAGCUAAAUAACCAGCUUAACAAACUCACAACUACUUUGCUGACUGGACUGCCACGUCACCAUAACUAACUUAACUAAUCCAAUCAGUUAAUCACAGUUAACACAUAUUCUUAUCAUCCCCCCUCAAGCUUAAGUUCGGGGAAGGACAUUAAGCUUGGUACGAAGAUAAGCAAACUGAUCAAAAGAGAGGGGCUUGGUGAGAAUGUCUGCAAGUUGUUCUGAACUGGAAACAUGACUGAUCGUGAGUUGCUUCUGGGCAAUAUGCUCUCGAAUAAAAUGAAGAUCCAACUCAAUGUGCUUUGUUCGAGAGUGAUACUUAGGAUUGCUAGCUAAUGCCUCAGCACUCUGAUUAUCACAUUAUAGAACAGGACUUUGAGUUGGCUGAAUUUGCAGUUCUUGAAGCAAAUAAGUGAGCCAAAGAAUUUCAGAGGUUGCCGAAGCAAGAGCUCUAUAUUCAGACUCUGCUGAGGAACGAGAAACAAUGGUUUGUUUCUUGGAGGACCAAGAAAUAAUAUUGUUUCCUAAGAAUACACAAUACCCUCCAGUAGACUUUCGAUCAUCAGGAUCAGCUGCCCAAUCAGCAUCAGAAAAUGCUGUUAAAGUCACAGAGCCUGAAUUGAAGAAUUGAAUCCCAAAGUGUGAAGUAGCUUGAAGAUAUCGAAGAACCCUUUUACAAGCUUGCCAGUGUGCAAUGGUUGGAUGAGCUAGGAACUGACUAAGCUUGUUAACAGGAUAAGCUAUAUCAGGUCUUGUUAGCAACACAUACUGAAGAGAGCCCACAAUACUUCUGUAUAAUGAGGGAUUAUCAAAAACUUCACCACUGUCCUUUGUAAGCUUAUCACCUGGACUCAUAGGAGUAUUAAAACCUUUGCUGUCAAGCAUAUUUACUUUUCUAAGGAUAUCACCAAUGUAUUUGGUCUGAGAUAAAUGCAGUCCCUGAACAGAGGGUGUUACUUCAGUACCAAGAAAGUAGUUAAACUCUCCUAGAUCUUUGAGUGCAAACUCUGAAUGAAGAUAUUGAAUAACAGCCUCAAUAUGUUGAGAAUUAGAACCAGUAACUAAAAUAUCAUCAACAUAUAUAAGAAUGAGCACAAUAUCAUGGUCAAUAUGCUGAAUAAACAUGGAUGUAUCAGAUUUUGAGGAUUGAAAACCUUUAUGGAGUAAGGACCCUUUCAACCUCUCAUACCAAGCUCUAGGAGCUUGCUUGAGACCAUAUAAGGCUUUGUUUAACUUGCAAACAUAUGAUGGAUUUGCAAAGUCUAUAAAACCUUGUGGCUGAUGCAUGAACACAUCCUCUUCAAGCAUACCAUUGAGAAACGCAUUAUUAACAUCCAGCUGUCUAAUCUGCCAAUGAUGCAACACUGCUAGACUGAGGACAACUCUGACUGUGCAAGGUUUCACAACUGGGCUGAAGGUCUCAAAGAAAUCCACCCCUUGAGUUUGAUGAUAACCCUUGGCAACCAACCUAGCUUUGUAUUUGGAAAUGCUGCCAUCAGGGUUAUACUUCACCCUAAAUACCCACUUAUUACCAACUAUUUUAGCAGCACUUUCAGAGGGCACUAGAGUCCAGGUUUGAUUUCUUUGCAGAGCAUCAAAUUCCUCUUUCAUAGCACAAAACCACUUGGAGUCAUGCAAGGCACUUUUGACACUAGUUGGCUCAAGAUUUUCAGUAGCUGCUAGAUAUGACUUGGGUUUGAAGAUACCAGCUUUAGCUCUAGUAAUCAUUGGGUGAGAUGGUAAUGAAGAUGAGUGAGUUGGUUCAGCUGAAGGAUGAGAAUAAGAAGGUUGUGCUGAACUGGAACUUGAUGGAGGAGACAUUGCUGAAUGAAAAUUAGGAGAUGAUGACUCUACAUUGCUACUGUCAACCUGAGCAGAAGUUUGAAGAAAAGAAAGUUGUACUGGUGAAGAAGGGACAUCAACAUUGGAGACUUGUGAGGUAGAGUGUUUUAGAAACAAUUCUGUGUUAGGAAACUCAGUUUCAUUAAAAACAACAUGUCGAGCAACAAACACUUUACCAGAUGAAUUUAAACACUUAUAACCUUUAUGAAGUGGACUGUAACCAAUGAAAAUACAUUUUUGAGUAUGAAAGUCAAGUUUAUGCUGGUUAUAAGGUCUGAGGAAUGGAAAACAGGAGCAACCAAAAACCUUUGGAAACUGAUAGUCAGGCAGAUGAUUAUGUAAUUUCUGAAAUGGGGAUAGAUUGUUUAGAACUGAUGUGGGCAUUCUGUUGAUAAGGAAAGAAGCAGUGUGGAAUGCUUCCCACCAAAAGGAGAGAGGUAACUGUGAUUGAGCUAGAAGUGUCAGACCUGUUUCAACAAUAUGCCUGUGUUUCCUCUCAACAACACCAUUUUGAUGGUGUGUAUAUGGACAACUAUACCUAAAACAUAUACCCUCUUGCUGAAGAAAGGUUUUAAAAGCUAUAAAUUCACCCCCCAUAUCUGACUGUAGUGUUUUGAUAGACAAGGAGAACUGUUUUUCAACAAGAAGUUUGAAGUGUUUGAAGGUUUCUAAGGCUUCUGACUUUGCUGUGAGAGGAAAAAUCCAAGAAUAUCGAGUGAAAUCAUCCACAAAAGAGAUAUAAUAUCUGUAUCCACUCAUUGAAUAUUCAGGAGCUGGUCCCCAUAAAUCUGUAUAUAGAAGCUCAAGUGGUGCUUUUGUUUUAAUGGUAGUGACAGAAAAAUGAAGCUGAUGCAUUUUGCCAUGUUGACAAGCAUCACAGAAGCUAAUGAAUUUAUUUGAAAAGCAAUGUGUGGGAAGACUUUUAAUAAUUGUUUGCAAAGCAUGUUUAUUGGGAUGACCAUAUCUAUUAUGUAACAACUGAACUGAUAUCUUUCCAGCUCUAGAAGAAUUUCCAGAAACAGAACAUGCAAAAGCUUCAGACAUAUUUACAUUAUCCAACUUUGACACAUGAUUAUUUGACUCUGGUAAAGAGUUUACAACUUUAUUAUCAAAACAAAAUGACAACAUGGAACUUGGUUUAAAAAGAUUUGGAUUGCAAUCUGCAGAGUAAGGAGAGAAGACAUCAAGUGACAGUAGCUUGUAAAGACCACCUUUAACAAUCCCCUGUGCCAGCAAAGUUCCCUCCUUCUUGUCCUUAAUAAAGCACAUGGUGGAACAAAAUUCAAUGAUUAUGUUAUUAUCCAAAAGAAGUUUAGAUAUACUGAUGAGGUUUUUGGUUAUUUUAGGAACACACAAAGUAUUGGUUAAGGAUAAACAUGUGCCAAAAGAAGUAGAAAGAUGAGUGCAGCCAAUAUGUGUGAUAGUAAGACCUUGUCCAUUUCCAACAAACAACAGUUGAGUACCAUUAUAAGGAUUACCUUCAACCAGGUUUUGCACAUUGUUGGUGAGAUGAUGAGUGGCUCCACUGUCCAGAUACCAUCCCUGAUCAGCAACUCCUUCUGAGGUAGCCAUAUAAGCUGUUCUUGGCCCUGGGUUCUGCAUUGGAGAAUUUGAAACAAAAUUUCUGUUAAAUCUGUUUCUACAAUCAACAGCUGAAUGGUUUGGUUUAAAACAUAUUUGGCAGGUAAUAUUUCCUCUGCCACCUCCUCUACCAAAGCCACCAGAGGACCCUGGAUUUCCACCAUUAAAACCACCAUUUCCACUAAAUCCACCAGUAUUUCCAUUAAAACCACCAGAGUUUGAACCUCUUCCUUGGUUUCCAAACCAGCCUCUCCCUGAGUUUUGAUCCAUAAAGCCACCUCUGCCAGAUCCAUAACCUCCUCUAUUGUUGAAAUUUCCAUUUCCAUUUCUAUUCACAAAAUUAACAUUCCAAUUACCCUGGUUAUUAGUAUUCCAAUUAGCAUUGCUUCCUGACUUCUUCUGAUUAUUACCAGUCUGAGCCACAUUAGCACUAAAAUUCACCUUAGUUUCCUUAGCUACACCAGAAUGAUUACUCUCAAGCCUAGCUUCAUGAGAUAGCAACAUAGAAUAAGCCUCAUUGAUGCUCAUUUUAAGAGCAUUUGCCUCAAUAUAAACUACAACAGGAUAGUAAGCCUGACCUAGCCCUGAGAUUAAAUGUGUAAUGAAGUCAAUAGAGCUAACUGAACUUCCAGCCAUUGCUAAUUCAUCAGUUACUGACCUUAGUUUACAAAAAUAUUCAGUAAUUGACAUGGAUCCUUUCUUAAGAUUGUUUAGCAGCAUCUUUAAAUGCACUUUCUUAGCUGCUGUUUCAAAUCCAAACUGUUCCUCUAAGCUUAUCCAAAGUUCUCGAGAGUUUUUAGAAUUUACCACAAUGCUUAAGAUCUCCACACUGAUUGAAGAUAGAAGCCAGCUCAAGAUCAUCUGAUCUUGCCUUUUCCAAGUAGUGUAGGCAGGAUUUUCUGAGAUGACUGCCGCAUCUGUGCUUGUUGAUUCACCAGUCAGCAGCUGGUUUGGACAGGUACGUGAUCCAUCAAGAAAACCUUCCAGAUCAUUUGCUCGAAUGGCUGAAAGGAUCUGAGAUUUCCAUAUAGUAUAAUUCGAUCUGUCAAGCUUGAUUGGUGUGGCGAAAGUAAAUGUUGAGAUUGCGGAAGAAACAUUUGUACUAAGACUUGAAGAAGCCAUGAUCAAGAAGUGAUUCAAGGCUCUGAUACCAAAUUAGAAUUUGAUCAACAGAUUUGGAGUGUUUGUUUACAGAGAAAAUCUAAGAGAAAAUGUAAGAAACUUUAGCUGAGAAUAUUCAUUUUGUUCAACUUAAUAACAGAUUGAGAUUACAAAGCUUAUAUACUGCUAUCAAGAAUCAUCUUAACACAUACAUCAUUUUCACGUGUAUUUAUCUUUGAGAGAAGCUAAAUAACCAGCUUAACAAACUCACAACUACUUUGCUGACUGGACUGCCACGUCACCAUAACUAACUUAACUAAUCCAAUCAGUUAAUCACAGUUAACACAUAUUCUUAUCAUGUAAUCUGUGUGAAGUACUUGAUUGUUUCCAUGUUACUUUCAAACAUUUAAAUUAAAAAGGAAAUUUUCAUAAUCUUGCCUUUUCUAUGAUUUUCAAAACCAAGGUUGAUCUACUGAAGAACAAGUUUGGGUUCGACGAGGCAUUUAACUAUAAAGAAGAAGCUGAUUUGAAUGCAGCAUUGAAAAGGUUAGCAUCAAUAAAUGCCUUAGCUUGAUGCAGCUUGAUGAAGUAUGAUACACAUUUCUGACCAAUAUACUGCGUUCCCUGAUCUCUUACUUGAAAUAUCUUGGUUUGAGAACCUCAUGCCAAUGCCUUUAACAUUUUGGCAGGUACUUUCCUGAAGGAAUUGAUAUAUAUUUUGAAAACGUUGGUGGAAAAACGCUUGAUGCAGUGCUACCCAACAUGAAAAUCCGUGGUCGAAUUGCUGCAUGCGGUAUGAUCUCACAGUACAAUCUUGACAAGCCUGAAGGUGUGCACAACUUGAUGUAUCUUGUUUUGAAACGGCUUCGAAUGGAAGGAUUCAUUGUUCUCGAUCACUAUCACCUUUAUCCAAAGUUUCUGGAAAUGAUCAUUCCUCACAUCAAAGAAGGGAAGCUUGUAUACGUCGAAGACAUGGCUGAAGGUCUGGAGAGUGCUCCGGCAGCUCUCAUCGGUCUAUUCUCUGGCCAGAAUGUUGGGAAACAGGUGGUUGCUGUUGCUCCUGAAUGAAGAACAAGUUAGUGUUGUAUGUUCUUUUACCCUUUGACACAAAACUUCAAUGUCAAAGAGAGAAUGCUGCUCAUACUGCUUUAUAAAAUAAUCAAAUGAGUGCAAGUUUCAUGAUAUUUGCUGAAUAAAAUAUUGGAAAUUAAGCAGCUAGCCUAGCUCCUUCUUGUAGUUGCAGUUUGAAUGAUGCUGCUGCACAACUGCUGCCGAAAAAAAUCCUUAAUAGAUGAUUAGCAAGGUUUCAAAAAUAAAAAUAAAUGUUUGUGCAAUGUGCCGAAUAUGACAGCCACAAAGAAAGAGCAUACAAAUUGAUUGGUUUUAUGUCUUCUCUAGGAGAAAGCUACAAUACAAGAAAUUGUAUUGAUGGAGCCUUGGACCAAAUUUCUUAUUUAAAUUUUUAAUUUUUUUUAUUAAAUUACUUAUGUUAUUAUGGUUUAUAUUUUUAGAAAUUCUUUAGAAAUUAAUACAGAACUAGUAGCAAGUUGAGAAAUCUACUGAAUGGUCAAGAUAUGAUAAUGUUUAUUGAAUUAAAUUAACAAUCAUCAUUUUCAUAAAUUAUUGUCAGGAUAUUUGAUUCAUGUCAGGUGUAAGUAACUAAGAGAGCGUUUGGGACAGACACCACAGUUGCUCCCGAUGCUUUAUUUUAGGGAAAUAUCCCCUGGAAUAAUGCAUAGGGCGCAGCCCCAAACGGACCCUAAAUGUGCUAAAAAAAAAUUAAUGAGUUGGGUGUGUUUGAUAUUCAUUUGUUGUAAUUCUUUUAAUAAUUAUUGUAGAAAAAAAUAUGAUAAAAAAUUUAUAAUUAUAAAUAAAAAUUAAUAAUAUAAUAAAUAAAAUUUUUAAACAAUAAUUUUAAUAAAAUAAUAAAUAUAUUAUCAAUUUUUCAUCGUUAAUAUUUAAGUCACAAUAAUAAAUAUUUAUUAAACACUUUAAUACUAUAACUAACACUACAACUUUUGAAUUAUAACAGUACAUUCUAAAGACCGUGGAACAAUAGUACAAAAGGUGCUCGUCGUGUAAACAACACAUGGGACCCAAGCAAUAAAUGUUUCUGAUCCUCAACUUUCCUCAUCACUGUCCCUGCAAACAAUUCUGAUUUUCUUGUCUGAUAAAAAAACUGAGAAACAAUGGCGGCCGAACAAGAAGCUGUGAGCAAUAAUGUAAAGCCACAAAUUUUCAUAAUAUUAAAUUAUGAAAAUUGGGCUUUCAUUGAGAAUUAUGGGUGGCCUAUAACCCUUAUUAAGAAAGGGAUACUAAUUAUAAAUACAAGUUAUUUAUGAGAUAGUUUUGAAAAAAUGUUAUUUUUCCUUAUUAAAUAAGGUUUCUUAAGACUCCCUAUAAAUUCAUACUUUUUCCCUUCCAUGACCCUAAGUCCAUGACGUUUAUUCUUCUUCUCUGCUGCUCUUUACGCUCCUACCCAAAUCAUAGGAUUCAAACCUUUGUUUAGGAGAGAAUCAAAGCGACGAGUAAGUUAUUCUCCCUAUUCUCAACAGAUUUCUAAUCACUCUAUCUAGGGUUUAUAUUGGCACGAUUCUAGAUGGUUAUAGAUCAUAAUGCAUGAUUUAGAAUGUAUUUAGGCUUUGUUUAGGGUUUUGAUUUAUUAUGAGUUUAGUUAAUCAAUCCUUGACGUAUUAAGCACAGGAUAAUUCUGGACAAUAUGAGUAUCUCGAAUUUAAACCUAUAUUUUCUGAACGAGUUUUAUUAUAAAAUUUAUAUUUCUGGAAACUAGACAUGUAGGGCUUCUUGAGUAAAUUUUAUUUCAUUAAAUUCGACUUCGUUUUCAAUUUUAUAUUUAUUUUCGAAAUAGAAACCACUGCACUGGAAAACUGCGAUUCCAGCAUUGCGAUCGGAUUCACAAGACUAUUUGUACCACCAAACGAACUCGGAAAAUUCUGAAAGUUUAUAUGUAGGUUAAUAUAUGUGUCUAGGAUUACCAGUUUUAAUUUCAUAAUUUUCUGAUUAGUAUUUUAUUUUAUAAAAAUCACAGAACCCGUUCUGUUUGGUUUAGAUUAUGUGAAAACAGUUUCGAAUUUGCUGAGAAAUAAAUAGUUUCGAAAAUGUUUUUGAUAUCGGAUCCUCUUGCAAAUUUUACAUAGGGUACUCAUGGAUGUCCAGAAUAGUCCCAUAGAAUAUUAUAUCAUUCUGAGUCUUAGAUUAAGAGUUAAAUUCUGAGAAUCAGACCUGUACGGGUAUGAAUUAGAAAAUCAGAUUCUUAGAAUAAGUUAUUAAUUGUCAUAUCUUGUAUUUGUUUAAGGUGUUGAAGGUGAUUGAGGUUCUUAGAAGCUUAAAGGUGUGUUAAUUCAAAUUCAUUUGUCGAGGUAAGUUACUUCAUUCCUACUAUAUUGGAUAUGUAUAAGUAUUUUGAUAUUAUCAUUAUAAGUAUAAAUGUUUUCAUACUAUUUAGAAGAUUAAUGGAUUUUCAUAACAAAAUUAGCUUAUGAAAAUGUUUUCAAAACCUAAUUUCUUUUUAACAAAGCAUUUUAUAAAUACUUUUUAAAUAUGUAAGUUAUUUUGUUACAUGCCUACUUUUAUGAUUUUAUUUAUAAAAUAUUUUGCAAGCCUAAAUUAUUGUUAUGGACUUUUAUGAAUCCGAUACGAAUGUUUUAUGCCUAUGCAUGAUUUCAAUUAUAUAUGAUUGUAUGGGGGCCACCUCUUGGGACUAUAUGGGGGCCACCUCUUGAAGGCCAAAGUGUCGCAAAGUGCCACAUAUAGUGCAAAGUGCCACGUAUAAGUCAUUAUGUUUUGGCUCAUUGUCCGUAGUCAUUUUGAUUCUGAUUCUGAUCAUAUAAUACGAUAUAUGUCUGUUUUGGACCAGUACUGGGUUUCUGUUCUGAGUGUGCACACGAUAUUUUGAUUCUGUUUCUGGCCGGGUCACUGGGACUAUAGGUGACACUAUGUGACAAGAGCUAACCUUUUGUUUUCUGUAUACGUAUUAUAUGAUUUACUUCAUAAGUAAAUAUGCUUUUGGAUAUUCGGAAUUAUUAAGAAUUUAUGUUAUGUUAUCGUGAUAUAUUGUUUUAUGAAAUUUAUGGAUUAUGAUAUAUGUUUUAAACAAAAGAAGGCUUGCAAUAUUUUUGUAUCGAUAGGCCCAGUAUGUUAGAAAUUGUUUUACUUACCGAGUUGACGGCUCACCCCUCGUCAUUACUUUUUGCAGAUUAAGUUUCUUUUGAGAGGUGCGCUUAGCUUUGGAGUUAGUAAUUUUCCGUUUCCAUUUGCCAUUUGAAUAAGAGGAGGAAUAAACUCGUGUUUCUAUUUAGUUAUUUCUAUUAUGAACGUGUAAUUUGGAGUUUGAGACUUUUGUUAUUAUUUUUAUGUCCUCGGGAGAGAUUAUUUAGUAUUAGACGUUAGAAUUUGUGGAUUUAUUUGAAUAAGAAUUGGAGGUAUUUCAGUUUGAAACUUAUGAGUAAAGAUUAUGAUUUGUGAGUAACCUCCUUCUUCACGUGCUCCGCACGUGUUAGAUUUGGGGUGUUACAAAUAAGCGGGUGAUUCUAAGCAACUAUGUGACAGGUUUUCCAAAAGAAUCAGACAUGAAGAUAACAAGUGGAUCAAUAAAGCUGAAGGUAGCAGACUGUUCAAAAGACACGGUGCUUUUGAAGAAUCUUUAUCUUUCUUGUGAUCCUUACAUGCGAGAGCGUAUGAGCAAGCUUGAUAGCCCUUCUUUUGUUGAUUCAUUCCAU